ACUUUGGAUUAGGGGGAGAUGUGAUUGGGCCUAUGCUUCUAGCUGGGCUUAGGAAAGUCCCCGGGCCCGUACUGCAGAAAUGCAGGCCCUGUAAGGGGCUCACUACGAGAUGGAACUUGCGGCUGAGACAUGUGUGGAGCCUAUGCUUGUUCUGCCGUAGUAAUUGGCCAAUUUCACAGUCAUCCACAUGGUCAUCAUGACUAACAGAACGGGGCUUACUCCCUCCUAAUCAUCUUUUUUUAAUUUUUAUUUAAAUUAAUUUCUUUUAUCUUUUAUAACAUUUUAACUAAUAUUAUUGUGAUAGGUUGAUUAUAAUAAUAUUAUAUAUAUGGCAUGUAUUAUUAUUAUUAUUAUACAAUAUUGUAAUUAGUGAUAUACAAAUUAAACAUAUUUUUUAUAUAUGUAAUCGUAAUUUUUAUGUUAUUUUUUCUAUAUAUAUAAAUCUAUAAUGGUUAUAAAAAUGGUUUUGAUAAUUUAAUUAGAAAUUUUUGGAUAAUUUAAUUAGAAAAGUGAGUUAGUUGAAAUUUUAUAAAAUAUAUUAUCUAAAGGCUAUCAAAAUUAAUUAAGAUAAAAAUGGAUAUGUUUCUAAUUUAUAUUAUAUUAAAAUACAAAUCUUAAUUAUUAGAAAAAAAAAGACAGAAAAUCUCAAAAUAAGGUUUGAGUUGACAAUAUUACAUUAUUUUCUCUGUAAAGAGAAAAACCUAGAAGCUAAGUUAUUAGGAAGACUAAAAAAAUUUAAAACUAUGUGCUGAGAUAAGAGAACCUAACCUAUGUUUUGAUUUGAUUUUUAUGAUGUAAGAGGAAUUACCUCUCUUUUCUUUGUUUUGUCAUGUUUUGAGGAGAAUGAAUUGAUGUUAUUUAUUUAUUUAUUAAUUGUUUUGGAAAAGAGUGGAGCAAAUUGAAUGGAGGAUGUGGUAGGUGCGUGAACGUGAAAAUUUGAAUAUGAGAAUUGGGAAUUGGGAAAUAGAAUUGAAAAUUUCCUCCCUAUAACCUAAUUAAUAUGAAAUUGGGAAACAGAAUUGAAAUUUUGAAUUUUAUGAAUGAGAGAUAUGUUACUUGAAUUGAAAUAGAAAAAAUCGGUGUGAAACAUUAUUACGGUGAAAGUGGUGAUAAAACAUUUAAUAUUAUCAUUUGGUAAACAUUGUCUUUGGAGGUUGUGAAUGAGAAUGAGUUUUGAAAAACAUUGUGCAUAUUAAUGUUAAAAUAUUAUCAAAAAAAGAUGUUGUCAAAUUAUCAUCAUCUUUAUUAUUAUUUAUUAUGUGCAUAUGCACAAGUCAAGAGACUUGUUUUGAAUACACAUUAAACCAUUCCUACUAAAAUCUCAGUUUUGAAUACACAUUAAACCAUUAUUUUUAUCUUUUUAACUACAUAGAGUUAUGGAGCAGUUACUAAUUUUGUUUCAACAUAAAGCCCAUUUAUUUUGAACCCUGUGAUGACCAGACUUUAUAUAAGGGAAUGAGUUAUUUUCAGUUUUGAUCACUAAACUUACUUCUCUAUUCAGAAAACACACCAUUUAAUUUGAGUAAGUCAAGGUUCAGAAAACAAAGUUAUCUUUGUUUGGAUUACAAAAGUUGCAAUGACAGGAGGUACGCACAUUAUUAUUUUAUUUUUUUGCUUCCGCUGUUUUUUAUCUGGAUGUGUUAUUAUGAUGUUAAUAUAACAUGUUUAGGUCAAUUUUAUACUCUGUGAAUUUUUAUAAUAUCUCUAUUGCGUUUUGUCAUUAUUUAGUUCUAUAAAUGUGGUGUAUCUCUUAUUCUCUUUUUUAUUAUUUUUCAUCACAAUGUAAUAAUACAGAUUGUGUUUCUCUUCUCCUUUUCUUCAAUACCUUACAUACAUGUUUGUAAAUUAAUUAGCAUUGCUUUCACUAGUGCAGAAUUGGUUUUUAACGUCACCCCUUAGACGUCGGACCACAAAAUAUCCAACGUAAAUUAUUAACCGGUGGCAUUUUCGUAAAUAAGUUGGCCAUAUAGACGUCCAUUAGGUAGGUCCCCGACAUCUAUAAUUUUAUAGACGUAGGGCCCCCCUAACUGUCGUCUACGGGCCUGAUAAGUAAGUGAAAAGUCAUUUUUUUUCCGCCAUAUAGACGUCUGUUCCCGCCACCCCAACGUCUAUAUACGAUUAUAGACGUCGGUCCCCUUGUAACUGACGUCUAUAUGCCUGACAGGGUAGGUGAAAAGUUGACGUAGACGUUGAUGCCCCUAGUAACCAACUUCUAAAGUCAUUUAGACGUCUAUUGUGGGAGGACCGACGUCUAUAAACAUCUGUUAUGGUGGGAAUCGACUUCUAAAUACUCAACCCAGAAAUUUAAAAAGUCACUUUUUGAUUCCAUUUAGACGUUUGAUCCCACUACUCCGAUUUCUAAAGACAUUUAGACGUUUGUUGUGGGGGGAAACCAAUGUCUAUAAACGUCUGUUAUGGGGGAACCAACUUCUAAAUGUCUGUAUUAAAACACUACGAACGCGAGGCAGCAGUUACGCGUACUCACUGUUCAUCAUCUUCCUCACAUUUUCUCUUCACGGGCUACGUUUUCCAGGUUCGUUUUCUCACUUUUACACCGUUUAAAAUUAAUUUUACUCCGAUUACAUUACUCUUUGAUGAAUUAUCUUUCAUUUGAACCGAUUAAAAUACAUUUUCAUUGUGUUUUGGUGCAGUUUUGCUUGUGUCCUUGAGCGGCAAUUUCUUGUAUUUUGAACUCUUCGAAUUCCCUCUACUACAUUUUUAAAACCAUCCAAUACAAAAAAAAAACAUACAAUUAAUUUUCUUCAACUAAAAUAUAAAGUUGUAAACUCGAAUCCCCAUGAGCCAACAGUAACCCAAGAGGCCUCAAGUAGAGAAAGAUUCAAUUAAAUACGGCUACGUUUUAGACAUUUGACUUAUAUAGUCUGACUUCUAUAUAGACGUCUGACCUAUAUAAUUCGACGUCUAUAUAGAUCUCUGACCUAUAGAGUCCAACGUCCCAUUAAUGUCAACCACAAAGACGUCGGUUCGAGAUUUGACGUUAAAAACAAAAAAUAAUAAAUGUCUAAAACUUUUUUGCAGUAUUAUUUUUUGUUUUUAAGUACGUUCACGAGCCACUUAAUCUACUUUUACUCCUAAUUUCAGGAGAAUAUAAUACCGGUACAAAAACAAAGAAAAAAAUGCACAAAAAAAACCUUUUAGAAAUAUAAAAAAUUAAUAAUGUUUCAAAAAUCAAGCUAGCAAGAUAUUUAUGAAAUUCUUUUAUUAAAAAUAAUAAAAUAUUAAAUAUACACUAAUUUUGUCCCUACCUUCUUCACUUUAUAAAAAUAAGCUAAAGCAUCAUCUCCAACAAAUAUCACAUGAAGAUAUUGUUAUAAUUUACUGUAAAACUUGGUUUGUUACAUAAUAAACUCUCAACCUAGAAUUUUAUUGGAAUUAUAUUUUACAUUAAUUUUCAUAAAAUGCAAAGAUAAAAUAAAUAUAUAUUUAAUAUAGAACAAAACCAAUUUUUAAAAAUAAUUAAUUGAAAAUAAAAAAACAUAUUUAAUACAAUAAAUAAAUAAAAAAUAAACAUACAAUUUUAUUUAAUGUCAAGAUAUCUUGUAUCUUACAUUUAUUCCAAAGCCAAUUUUAAAGUCCUCAAACAGAUUAAGGUCUUUCUUAUGAUUUGGCUUAAGCAAAUAUUUUGUCUAUUGAGUUUGAGCUCCUUGUGGUGGAUAAUAAGGCUCGGGCAAGCAAAGUUCUUCAAUGGUUCCUUCAUCAAUGGGUGUCUUUAUAGGAUUAAGCUUGAUUUCAUACAGCUUUGGCCACAAUUUUCCAGUUACUGCAACAAAACACAUGUUACAAAUUCAAUACGAUAAACGGUAAGAACAUUAAUUUUCCAUUAUUCAUGCUUCUUAGGGAAUUCCUAGAAAGGAAAAGUAACUCAACAAUAAAAAACAUAUAAAUUGUAUUAGCAUAUUCUUUAAAUUUGAUGAGAUAAUGUUGUCCUAAAAAUAAAAUCAAUUAUAAUAUAAUAAAGAAAAUAAUAACUUAUCUAUAUAUAAAUUUAAAAUUUUAUAGUAAAGUAUAAGACUAUUAAUAUUUUCAGCAUAAAAACAUAAUAACAAAAUUUUUAAACUCUUACAAAUAAAACUAGUAUAAGUCAAGUUAAUGAAAGUACAUUUUUACUGAGAAAUAAAUAUCUGUAAUAACUACAAAUAUUUACUUUUAGGUAAGUAAAAUUAUUUAAGAGUUUGUACUAAAUAUGAAGAUAAGUGAAAUGUAUUAAAUCAAAUAGUUAGAUUUUAUCUACAUAUUAAUAAAUAUUUUUCCCUUUUUAUUUGAUUUGUUACUGUUGAUAUUUAACUCAUGUAUAACUGGACUUAUAUAUUUCUAAUAAAUUCCCCUGAUUAAUCUAGAAUGUAAUAUUUAUUAUUUUCAAUUUGAAUAAUACAAGUAUAACUUUCAUUUCACAACCCAUUUGGCAUACUUAUACAUCUAAAUAUUAUAAUAACAAAUUUCAAAUCGAUAAUUUAAUAAUUAGAAGAAAAAGAGCUUACCAAAUACACGCUUCUGCUCACCAUCCCAUGCUAUCCCAUUCAAAACAUCAUUCUCCUUAAAGAUGAAAGAUAUAUGAAUAUAAGUGCAACAAUACCAACUUUAAUUAUUAUUUUUUAUUUCGAAAAUGAAAUUAGAGUAACAUUUUGUUUUCAUAUAACAUGUUUUUAUAUAAUAGUAACAUUAUGAAAGUGCAACAUAUAUACAAUAAAUAUUAUCUCUUAAUAUCAAAAGAAUAAACUCCUUACAUUGAUCUCUCCAGCAUCUACAAGUUCCUUCCUGCGUAUAAUAGACCAAAUGUAACUUUAAACAACUAAUGAAUAAAGAAAUUUUCUGUUUUUAUAUACUUCAAUAAAUGAUUUUUUUAAACUAUUCAUUCCUAAAGUACUUGUUUUAUGUUUAAAUGGCGCUGAAAAAGAGAACAUUACUUUAAAUUUUGGAGUAGAAUCCAUCCAAGAAUUCUGCCAUCAUUGGGAGAUAUUCUCACUAUGCAAUCAGUCUACAUAAAACAAAAUGUCAAUCACAAACAAUACAAACUUAUAAAAAAUACAAAUUUAUUGAUUAAAAAAAAUAAAAAUUUGACAAUGCAUGCACUAAUAAAAAAUCACAAACAAAACCAACUUAAAAUUAUAAUGAAACAGAGAAAGACAUACCGGUAUAACAUUUGCCCAAACUUCACCAUUUAUGUAUUCUAAUUCAUUGAGAUUGUACACUUGGUGACCCUUAUAGUAGAUAACAUGUCUUGAUACAGCUGCAACAAAUAUGCCAAUGUAAAUUCCAUUAAAUACAACACAAAUUAUCAACACAAAAAUUUUGGGUAAGAGAUAUGCAUUCAUAAUAGUGAGAGAAAAAUAAUGAAACUAUUAAGAAAGUGGGUUUUAAAGUCUAACUCAACCCCACAAAGCCAGCUUGCAUGGUGAGGAUUGCACCUCACUUAUAUAUAUUAUAUUAUAAAUUGGUUCUUGCAUGGUGAGGAUUGCACCUCACUUAUAUAUAUUAUAAAUUGGUUUUAUCUCUAGUCGAUGUGAGACUUCCAACAGUGGACUUGAGCAUAACUUAAACCUUCCACAAAACCAGAAUUCAAUCUCACAAAAUCAGUUUAUAUGAUAAGGUUUGCACUGUACUUAUAUAUUAUAAACUGAUUUUAUCUCUAAUUGAUUUGAGACUUCCAACAAAAACUUUAUUUAGAUAAACAAACCUUUAAAUGUUUGAGGAUGAAGUUGAUACAACGUUGAACUGCCAUCACUUCCAAAAAACACUUUUCCAUCAGUUGCCAGACCCCACCCAUCAUUCAUAUCAUGAUUAAAUGUUCCAAUCUAUACAAUUUUUUAACUUUAACUUUUAGCAUGGAUGUUUAAAAAUCUUGGUAAGCAAUGAACAAUAGAAAAAGUAAAUGAGAUUGAAGUUAAAACAACAAACUUGGUUUGAAUUUUUAGGGUCAUAUAUUAAACCAUCUCUCCGCAACCAAGUUACUUGAUACAACCUACAUAAAGUGCAGUGGAUAAUUGUGUUAGAAUACAUCCAAAUAUCGAAUUUUAGAGUGAAAAUAAUUUACUUUUCGUUUUUAAGUCUUAGGAUUUUAGUAGGAACAUGAUAUUUGACACCAAUAAAUAAUGAAAGGGCUAAUAUAAAAAAAACAAAAAUAUCAAUUUCAAUAAAAUUUUAAAACAGCAAAUUUAUGUCUUUCUAUUUAUAUAUAUUUAUCUUACUAAUUUUUUCUUGAUCGACAUAAAUAGAAAACAAAAAUGCAAAGUGAUUAUCUUUUAAUACCUCUUAUUGAAGAGAGUUAAACCUUCCCCAAAUAAGGAAUCAUCCAUCUUAUGAAUAAUUUGAACCUGCAUGUCACAAAUAAUCAUUAAAAAAUUUAUAAUUCUCACUGAACUGCAUAACUUAAUAAAAUAUAGUAAUUUGAGAUCCAAAUCAAAUAAUAAUUGGAACAAGUGUAUAGUAACAGCUUAAGAAAUGAGUAUAUUUGUACCUUGCCACUAAGAAGAGCAACUUUUCGAACAGAUGACUGAAACAACGAAUUAGUGAAAGGUUAAAUGUAAUUUUAAAACAAUUAUUAAUUAGAAAAAAAGAAAACUGUUUUCUCUUUUAACUAAUAUUUUAAUUAUUUAUCUUUCAAAAAAUUAUUUUUUAUUUUAAAAUAAUUAACUUAUAAAUUUUAAAACAUGACUUUGGACUGCUUUUAGCUUAUUUAAUGUAUAUAAAAACUUGUUUUGUUUUAUUGAAAUUAUUUAACUAAAAAUUAGGGUUUAUCAUUAAACUGACCAAGAUUAUGCUUUAAGCUUAAUAAUUGAACUGUAAUUAAAUCCUUGAUCUACGAAUUUAUCCUUUUAAAUUCUCAUUUGAAAUCUUUUACUUUAUUUCUUAUUUCUUUUAAUUGAUGAAGUCAUUUUCAUUGCAGAAGUCAAUAGAUAAUCUCUUAGCUUGUGUUCGUUUGGGGUGAUUUACUGUAUGCGAGGAUAGAUUUGCGAUGAUUUGUUGUGUUUGUAUGUGCUGAUUUGUGAAGAAAGAAAAGCGGAGAAAAGGAAGGAUUUGCGAGAUUGUCCACUUUUUAGCAUCUCGUAAUUUUGUAAAGAUUUGCGAUGAUUUAUAAGGAAAAGCCAUCUAUGCCCCUCUACUAUUUCUAUAAUUCCAGGACAAUUUUACAGCAAGGAGUUUGGCAUGUGCCUCGCCAUGCUUUUGCAGUAGAGAACGAAGACGCUUGAUGAUGACGACUCAAGCGUAUGAAGAAGACAAGGAGAUGUAUUCGGAUCUAGUAAAAAGAGGUUUUCCAUGAAUUUGUGAAGCAAGCGUAUCUAGAUACAGGUUUCACGUAUCUGGAUCCAUGUUUUCCAUGAUUUUUCAAAGGAAGGGUAUCCGGAUACAUGUUUCGCGUAUCCGGAUCUAGGAGACAGUUUUCUUCGUCGCUGUCAAACGUACAGAUUCCCCAUGGAAGCAAUGGUGGCUUCGGGUUGAGGAGAAUGCCAGCAUAGAGACUCAGACAGAAAGUGCAGUGGAGAAAAGGAAGAGGGAAAGGAGGGAGAUGUCUGCCAUGGAAAAGAAGACAAAAGUUUGUGCGGUGCUGUAUUCAGUUGCAGCCAUUUUCAUUUCCCAAGCACGGUAUUCGAUUCCAGUGUUGGAGCAUUUCCAAGCUUCGAAGAUUCAUGGUGGAGGAAGUACAACUCGCUUGCUGACAUGAAGCUCUUCAAUGGCGACAAAUCAACAUCAUAAAAAAUAAUAAGUUUUAUUUAUAUUUUAAAUACACUACUAUUAAUUAAUAUUUCAUUUGUGAAUAAUUAAUUAAAGAAAUAAAAUAUAUAAUAUCUAAUUACAUGAUUUUAUUUUUACUUAAUUAAAUAUCCUAUUAAUAGCAAUAAUUAAAUAUCACAUUAUUAUUUUUUACUUAAAAACAAUUUUAUUUUAUUUUCAAAAUUAAUUAUUAUUUUUUUCUCUCUUAUAAAAAUUAUUUCAAUUUACUAAAUAGCUAAACUUAUUAAAAAAAUUAUUUCAAUUAAUUAAAUUACAAUUUUUAAAAUUUUAAAAAAUUAAUUUUUAUUUUUUUCUGUUAUAAACAUUUUUACAUUUAAAUAUAACAUUAACAAUUAUCAUUUUAUAUUACUUUAAUAGUUAGGAGUAUUUUGGUAAUCUUUAAUUUCUACCAAUUAAACAAAUUUUUUAAAUCUAUCAUAUCAAUCAAAUCUUACACUAAUUUUCAAAAACUUUACUUUCAAAUUCACUUCCAAUUACCCACAAAUUCACUAAAAAAACCAACAAAAAAAUUACUCUCAAAUCCACUCAAAUCAUCUCUUCCAAAUCAUCUCUCUCAAAUCCUUACAAAAGAACACAGCCGUAAUUUACUAGGUCAAAUUUCACAUCUUCCAACAUAAAUAUUUUUUAAAAUACUCAUACAUUCUUUUCAAAAGGAAAAUUCAAUCCAGAGAAUUGAUAUGGAAUGAAAUCACUUUUUGAAAUAAAAAAAAAACACUAAAAUGGAGAUAAUUUGCUAAAGAAAUAAUCUAGUGAUUGAAAAACUCUCCUUUGAUGUUUAUACUUAAAAACAUUUUAUUUUAUGAUUUUUUAAAAUACUGUUUAAAAAUCUUUAUAGUGAAUAUUAAAAAGGAUUAAACUAAUAUAUAAGAACUAAAAAUAAUUAAAUGGUGAUAAGAUAAGAAUGAAUUAAUGAAUGUUUACCUGCCCAUAAAGGCCAGUUGACUCAUAUAAGGUGUCAUUUCCAUAAUAAAGAAGGCCCUGAAAUCAAUAACAACAAUCAAAUAAAAUGUCCAAAUCAACAUUUUGGUAUUUCAUAAUUAAUAAUAACAUAAACUCUCUCUUCAACGUAAGGCUAAAUAUUCACACAAUUACUUGAAAGAUUGUCAAUUAGUUCUAUCUAUGAGAGAUUGUCAACAAAACUUUUUUUUCUCUCUCUUUUUAGUGACUUUCCUCCUCUUUCUUUCUAUUUUUUGUUCAGUCACUAAGUCUAUGUUCCUUUCAAUGGAUUUUAUUGUUGAAGCAUAUUUGGAAAGAUGGAUUUAUGGGAUUAUUUGUGUUCGUUUUCAUAAAUUUGAAAGGAAAAAAGAGUGACGAUUUACGGGAUAGAUUGUAUUUUUUAUCUCUUCUGAUGGAAAGAGAUUUGCGAUGAUUUUUAUGAAAUAUCCAUUUUAUCCCUUCCAUUUACAAGGUACAUGAUAAACUGCCUCGAAUAAACAUGGUGAUGCAGAGAACCUUAGGAGAAGUGCUCUCUUCGUUCUUUUUUACUUCAUAAUUUAUCAUCAGUUUAAUCCAUUUUUAUUGAGAUAUUAAAAUACAUUAAAUUGAAAUAAUUUUUUAAUUUAAAAUGGUUUGCUUUUUUAAUUACUUUAUUCGGUUAAAAUAUUUCAAAUACGAGUAUUGAAUAAAAUAAUACUUUAUUCUUAAAAAAAAUAUUUUAAAUAUAAUUAUAUAAUUUUACUUAAAUAUAUCUUUUUUAUUUUUGAAAAUAAUUUUGAUUUUUUUCCUCUUUAUAAUAUUUUUUUAUCAAUAAAUAUAUUAUUAAUAAAUAUAAUUUUAUAUUAUUUUUAUCAUAAAGGAUAUUUUAGUAAUUUUAAACUUCUACCAAUUAAAUAAAUUUUUUUAUCUAUCACAUCAAUCAAAUUUUACACUAAUUUUCAUAAACUUUACUCUCAAAUUCACCCUCAUUUACCUUCAAAUUCACUCAAACAAACAACACUUAAUUCAUCCUCAAAUCCCCUCAAAUCCAUCCAUUCACUCUUCCUCAAUUCCUCUCUCCCAAAAGAACACAUCCUAAAACUAGUUUUGAAAAAAAAAAUAUUGGAUAAUAUUAAAUAAAUUUUUCGCUUUAAAAAUGCUACAAACUUAAUGAAAAUACUCAUAUAACAUACUUUCUUUUAACAUACUUUCUUUUAAAGACGUAAUCAAUUAUACUUUGAUUUAUCUCUUCAAAUUCCGGAUUAUAUUAUGUUAAGAUAAUUGUAUUUUCUUUAUUAUAUGUUUCUCCUUCUUUUUUCGCAUUAUUUUUUCUCUCACGAAAUACAAUAUAAUUAGAGUUGUCAAAAUGGUUACCCGACUCGGUCUGGUCCGGCCCACGACGGGUUGAUCCCUUAGUGAAUCAACUCAAUUCGACUCAUUUAUUAGCGAGUAAAAAAAAUUUGAACACAGCUCGACCCACCACGUAUUGGCUCACUCACCCACUUAAUUAUAAUUUUUUUAAAAUAAUAAAAAAUUACAAACUUUCUAUAAUUCAAAUCUAAACAAAUUUCACUCCCAAAUUUCACUCCCAACAUGAAUAUUUAAUUAAUUUUGAAAAUAGGAAACUUAAAUAAUUUUUUCAAACAAAAAAUAAUAAUAAAUAUUUUUUUAUAAAAUUAAAAUUAAAUUUUAAUAAAAAUAAAAUAAGGUAGAUGAGUUGGUGGGCCAACCUGAUCUACCACGGAUUCAACCCGUAUGAGCCGGGUUUAAAUGAACCGGAUUGAAAUCUAACCGCAUGAAAGAAAUACAAUUUUUUCAAACAUAACCCAAUCUGAACUCGUGACAGAUUAAAUUGACCCGCAAAUUGUGAUCCAUUUAGACAGUGGUAAAGAGAAUAGGUCAUUCCUCGUCUCUUUUCACCUUACACAGCAAUACACUUACAUAGGGAUUUCAACCAUUUAAUGAGUGACUAUUAAAUUUAUUAAAAAUAUAAGACUUCCGACCAUUUCUUCUUAUUAAAGUUGUUUAACCUGAAUUAAAAUUUUCCAACCACUACAUACAGCUGAAGAAAAAAAAAUUGUAAAAUAUUAAAUUUGUCAGUAGUUAGAAAAAAAAAAUUAAAUCAAGUAUGUAAACCAAUUUCAACGCAGGACGAAGCACUAUUUUCAGUCCGCAUAUGUUAUAUGGAUUGCAGAUCAAGUUUGAACCAUACCUAAACGGAUGAGAGUAGCUCGCGUACUCACCCCCGAAGUAAAGUACAUUUUGGGUUUUGUCUCUCAGCGUACCGAAGAAGAGUUUGAAAGAUGCAAAGAAGAAAAGAGAGAAUAGAAAAAGGAUGACCUGGGUGAAGGCUUGAGGGUCGUGAGGGAAGACAUUGACGAUGGUGAAGUUGGCAUAGGAAAUUGGGUGUUCCAACGCGCAGCAACUGUUCGACGAAAGGACUGAUAAGAGAAGGAUGAGGGAGAGAAGAAGAGGAGCAGCCAUGGAAGGUGUGAGAGUGUGGUGAAAGCGUGAAAGAAGAACGCAUUUAAGGAGUUACAUGAUUGGUGCUAAUCCUAUCUCAUACACCUCAAAAGUGUAAAAUGUCGGUGUUUCUUCAAAACAAUAACUACAAGUGGGUACGCACGUUUUUUUUUUUUUUUUCUGUAUUGUUUAUAUUAAUUUAUUACAUUAAUAAAUAUUCAAGUUUUAUUUAUUAUAUUAUUAAUAAAAUAUUUUUAUAAUUAAUUUUUUAUAUUAUUAUUAGUUUUAAUUUAAUUUUAUUUAUACAAUGUUUUAAAUCAUGAUAUAUAUAUAUAUAUAUAUAUAUAUAUAUAUAUAUAUAUAUAUAUAUAUAUAUAUAUAUAUAUAUAUAUAUAUAUAUAUAUAUAUAGGUUUGUUAACGCGUGUAUGUCUGUUUUUCGGUUAUUACAUUUUAACAAUGUGUACCGGAUUAUAGGAGACAAAAAUACUCUCAUAUAUGAUGAAUUCUAAGUUUUAAAGUCAAGGAUAUCUAAAUAAUUUUCAUUCUCAAAACUAAAAAAAAAGAAACCCCCCAAACACUUACUGAGCUCUCUCAUUCCUCUCAAUCCUUCCUCUUUCAUCUCUCUCACUUCAACCUUUUCUCUGUCAUAUAUACGGUAAUCCCAAUUAAAAAAAAUUAGAAACAUAGGCGGUUAAGCAAUUUCUUACAAAAAAAAUAUUUUAUAAUGAGUUUUCAUUUUAUAAUUUUUGUCUUAUCUAAUUAGUUUAAUACCUAUUUUGGUCCCUCUUUUGGGGGAUUUGUUCAAAGUGGUCCUCCUUUUUUUUUAAAAAAAGUUCACUAAAUUUAAGCCCUACUUUUUGUAAAAAGUGUGCAAGUUAGUCCUUUUUGCUAACAAUGUUAAUUCUGCUAAUGGCAGAGCUGCCAGUUCGUUAUUAUGUGUUAAAAAAAAUUAUUAAUUGUGAUGUGGAAAUGUAAUAAAAUUAGGGUUAAAAUUAAAAUUGAAAUUAGGGUAAUUUGGAGUAAUUAGGCAAAGUGAUUUUGGUAAGAUGCAAUUGGGAUUUCCUUGCGAUUGGGAUUGGGAUUUCUUGGCGAUCUCAUCGCCAUCUCCGAUUCUAGUGUAGACCCAACUGCUGAUGGGUUCCAGAUUUUCUCCUUCUCGCGCUCUCUCUCUGUUUCGCCACCACCUCCCCUCUUCGCGCUUCGUGACAACAAACAACACCAUUUUUUUCCUUCAUCGCUCUAUCACAGCUUAACCACCUAGGGUUAAAUUAGAAAUUCAAUUUAGGGUAAUUUGGUGCUGGUAAUGUUUUGUUGUAGUUGCAGGGAUUUCGCGUUUUGGGUUGCAGGUUCGUGGUGAAGGUGGUUGCUAGCGUCAAUGGGCGACGGUGGUGGAAUGAAACUACUAUACCUUGGUUGAUAUAUGGUGCAAUGAAGGUUAGGGUUCAACGAUGGAACAAAAUUGUUGUGGGAAGGUUUUCAUGGCUGUGCGAUUUUGGCAUAUAUGCAAUUUGGACUUUGCAAAUUAAGAUUCAAUGAUGGAACAAAACCGCUGUCACGAGGUUUCCAUGAAUGGUUGUGCGAUUUUUGCAGAUCCAUGAUUUGGGUUUUUCGAAUUAGAAUUUGUGGAACAAAACUGUUGUUGCAAGGUUUCCAUGACUGCGAUUUUUGCAGAUUUACAAUUUGGACUUUGAGAAUUAGGGUUCAAUGGUGGAACAAAACAGCUAUCGCGAGGUGGAUUCACGAUUUGGUGUUAUAGAUUACCCACUCCAAAUUACCACAAACUGAAUUUCUAAUUUAACCUAACUAUAUUAAAUUCCACGUCAGAAUUUAUUAUUAUUUUUUAAACACAUAACAGUGCCAGCAAAGGAAAAACGUUACACCUCAUCAUAUAUUAGCCAGCUGGCAGUUCUGCCGUUAGCCGAAUUAACGCCGUUAGCAAAAAUGACUAACUUGCACACUUUUUACAAAAAGUAGGACUUUAGUGAAAUUUUUAAAAAAGGGAGGACCACUUUGAACACCCCCUCGAAAAGAGGGACCAAAAUAGGUAUUAAACCUAUCUAUCACAAGCAUAAUGACAUAUGAAGGAAUUAGUAAUUCGCCUGGAGAAAACCAGAAACACUCGCUAUUAAACAAUUUCUUACAAAAAAUGAUUUUAUAAUGAGUUUUCAUUUUAUAAUUUUUAUCUUAUCUAAUUUUCACAAGUAUAAUUACAUCAGAAGGAAUUGGUAAUUAACAUGAAGGUUUUUUAAGAGAUGACGAUUCAACAUCUGUAGAUGAUAAAAUUAGAGAAGUUAUUGAAGAUGAUGAAAUUGAAGAGUUCUUGAAUGAACCUUUGCUUGAAGACAAAUAUGCCAAUGACUCAACUAUUUACAAACGUUUGUUUAACGACGAUUGUAUUUAGAAAAACGUUUGUUACAUCAUAUAUGUUUUUAAAAACGUUUUUAAAUAUGAUUUGUAACUUGUUAUAUUGUAUUUAGAAAAACAAUUAAAAACUUGAUUAAAAUAAUUUAUUUUUAAAUAUUAUUUUGAAAUAUUUAAAAUUCGUAGUUACAUCAUAUAUGUUUUACAAUGGUUUAAUUAUUUUUUAUAUUUCAGUAUUUUAUUUAACGAACUAUUGUGUGUAUUAUUUGUUUAUAUGAUAUAGCAGAUCUUUUUGGUAUGGUUAUAUGUUAAAUGUUUAAGGUGCACUAAUGUUUUUCGAAAUUCUAUUGAUAUUUUGUGCAAAAGUUAUGUGAAAUUUUGUAAUGUAAUUGGUUAUGAUUAUUCUUAGUAGUAUAUUUUUCACUUACCAUUUAUGUAUAAUUUAAUAACCCAGCAUUAUUUUUUAAUACAUAAAUUUACAUAUUUGAAAUGAUCAAAUGGUAUAGAUAAAUUUACAUAUUUGAAUGUUUUUUAAUAAAUAAUGGCCUUGGUUUUGGCCCUGCUCCUAGUUGACAGGGGUACGGAGCAUUUGGCCAAAGUCUCUUUCUACUGUGGGACAUUGAGCUACGCAUGCCACCCAAGUUGGUUUUGGCACAUUAUUUAUAGAGUUGGUUUAGUUUCACUUUAAAAUUUUAAUUAAAUUUUUGAAACAUUUUUUUCACAAAAUAAAAUUUAAUAUUUUAAAUUAAAAAAAAUUAAAAAUAUAUUAAAUUAAAAAUUUAUGUGACUUAAUUCAAUAAUAAAUGAACAUUUUUUAUUUAAUAAAUAUUUAAUUAAAUUAAUAUUUUACAUAUAAUUAAGUACAUAUUAAUAUUUUAAUUUAUAAAAUAUUAUUUAUUAAAUAAAAAUAAAUAAAACAUAUUAAAAGAUUAAAAAAAAGAUAAAUUUUAAAAAAAUAUGUUAAAAAAUACAAUUAACAUAUUCAAUUUGAAUUAUUUAUAUGUAAUCGUAUUUCCAAUUCCAGUUAAUAUAUUUCUUUUAAGUUUUUUAUUAAUUUUAUAAUAUUUUUUAUUUAUUUUUGUUUAAUAAAUAAAAAUUUACAAAAUUAAAAUAUCAAUAUAUAUUUAUUUAUAUGAAAUAUGCUAAAUUAGUUUAUAUUUAUUAUAUUAAAAAACAAUUUUUUGAUUAAAUAUUUUUUUAAAUUAAAAUAUUAAAUUUUUAAUAUGUUUUUAUUAUUAUUAAUAUUAAUAUUAUUAUUAAAGUAAAAAAAGUAAAUUAAAAAAUUCUUAAUCGACGAUUAAAUGCCCAACAAAUUUUAAUUUUUUUAGGGAUAAUCAAUUAUCACACCUAAUUAUCAAUUUUUUUAAGGAUACUUUCUAACAAACACCUUCUCAAGGAAUCUCUUUUGAAGAAAAUAUAUAUCUUAUGAGUGGAGAGAUGAUUACUUUACUUUAGAUGCUAGGAUAAUGAUUUGUAACUGAUAACUAUCUAAUUUUGCAAUCUUUUAGGUGUUUAGAAGUCUAGGAUAACUUGUUUUUCUUUUUAAUUAUCUAGAAUUAGGAUGGUUUUAGGUUUUUCUUUAUAUUCUUUAGUUUUGUAUAAUUUUAGUUAAAAAUAAGUUUUUAGGAGUAUUUUUAGUUUUUGCUAAUAAUUAAAAUAUAUAUAUAUAUAUAUAUAUAUAUAUAUAUAUAUAUAUAUAUAUAUAUAUAUAUUAGAAAAUCUUUGAUAAUGAAAUCUCUCUUUUUAAUUGUUAAAUUUCCUUUUCUUUUCUUUAAUUUGGUAUUAUUAUUUUUUCUUUGAUUAGAUAUGAAAUAGAAUGGGUUGCUGCACUUAGAUUGGGUUACUGAAAUGUUGAUUGAAAUGUUGGGCCACUAUUGCAAGCUUGGCCGGAUUGGGCCUUGAUCUUUUUAUACUGUUUGAAGGAAAAAGUUGGGUGUUGCUCCCUCCACCUCCUCAACUCUUUCCAAAACUUAUUUAAUUACAAAACAAGCCUUAAGUUAAAAUUAUUUUACUUUUACCAUUUAGAUUUUAUUUUUUUAUUUUAAACCCUGAUUCUACCCUCUUUUAUUUGCACAUCACUCAAACCCACUCGUAAUUCUCUCUCUCACGGAUUUCUUUCCCAUUUUCGUUUUCUCCCUUCUUCUUUCUCCCCUUUCACUUUUAAUUUUCGUUUUCAUUUGUCAUCUCCGUUUCUUCUUCCUUUUCAUUUCUGUUUCACUGCUUCCAUUGGUCGUUGAGUGGUGGUGUGGAGCAACGUCCAGGAGCACCGUGGAGGAGCAGCACAGAGUAGAGCGAAGUUCUUUGUUUCGGCAUCCAGGUUGGUUUUCUUCACCACUGUUUUGUAUCUUUGUUUGCAUGUUAGGUAGUUUAAUUUGUUUGCUUUGAAUCUGUGUUGUGGUUGUUGUGUAAGUUGUUCGUCUGUUGUGCUGUAAACAAGGAACCUAAGGCCAAAACGGACAUGGGAUAUCCGUUUGGCCUUCAACGGAUAGCGACAUUCGUCGACGAAUAUGGGUAUCCAUUGAAGCUACUACCUCCAGACCACUUCUAAGAAGUUGCUACCUCCAAACAGAGAACCACCAACACCAACAAAAUGCACGAACAACGCAAUACGAGUGAAGGAGAAAUAGUACAGUGAAAAGAAGGAAAUGUGAUUUCUACUGGAUAAACUUUAGAUUUGUGGGUUCUAUAAAUAUCUAAGUGUAUUGUUUGUAUGUGAUUAUUGAUCACCGAAAGUCCACAUCCAUCCAAAGAUAAAGGCACCGUAAAUAAUUGGAAAGAAAAAAUGGGUACUGAAUGUUGCCAACUAAGUUUUUGUAUUAUUGUGAGAAUUAUGCACAAGUAGCUAGUGAUGUAUGAAACAUUAGGUGCAAAGAUCCACCGAAAGAUUUCUUGUUUGCUUGUAAUGAGUGGUAUUUUGGACCUUGUGUCUUCCUUAAUUAUAAAAGGGGCACACAUACAAAUGAAGAGGCAUGGUGCAGGAGAGAAGAAAUAAAGUGUGUCAGUGUUGUGUGCACCAUGUAGAAAAAGAUUAAAAAGAGUGAGUAGAAGUGAGGAGCAUCGUGUGAAGAAGAAAGAAAGUCUGUGUGCGUGCUGUGAGAACCGUGAAGAACAAAAUAGAGAGGAGGGUUGUAAUUUAAAUUAUUGAGUUUAUAUUUGUUGUAAGUUUUUCAGAUUUCAGAGUGUUGUACUUAUGUAUUCUGGAUUUCUAAACAAAAAUUGUCAGUUUAUUAAUAGAGAGUAUAUUUCCAAAAUUUUACAAUUUCGGUGUGGUGGUGUAGAGAUGAUUUUACAACAAGGACUGCAUGGGUGGGUUGGACGUUGGUGAAAAGAAUUUUUUUUACCAACUAUCUUUACCAGGUAAAAACAGGUUAAAUGAGGAAUGUGGCAGUGUAAGAAGAAGAGUAUAGUAGUGUAGAGAGAAGGGUUUCUUAUUAAUGUAAGGGUCCCGUUAUUUUGAUACCCAAUUUUUGACACAUAUUUGACACUGUCAUGUGUCAACGUCCUAUUGGGUAGUUUUUUUUUUUACUUUUUUUUUUAAAUUUGGCUUGCAAAAUGGAAAGCUUUUCAGAAAAUUUGUAUUCCAAUUCUACCCCCUCGGCUUUUUCAUUGGUUUUGUGUGACAGAUUGUCUCUCUCCCGUCGUCUCCCAUCGUGCUCUCCACUCCCCUUUUGUGUGCUCUCCAGUGCUCUGAAAUGGCAAGUUCCGGAAUGGACCUUCGUUGGACCAAAGGUUUGGGUAUUUCGUUUUAGGUUUGGGUAUUGGGGUUCUUGUGGUUUCUUGCACACGUUAUGGGUUUUGUUGAUUUGGUGUGUUAUUUUGUUUUGGACAGUUAAGUGUGCGUCAUUCAUUUUCAACUAUGUAUGUUAACACUCUCAACGAACGGUUGACAGAGGAACAACGGGAAGUCAUCUCGAAGACUCCAUUUGGUUGGUUUUUAGAGUUGCAUGGUAAAGUCAUAUUGAAUACUAAAAUUUUGCGUGAGUUAACCAAGACAUGGGUGGAUUCGAGCAACUCUUUUAUUAUUGCAGACAAGCAUUUCAAUAUCAAUGAAAAUGAUUUUUGUUCAGGAAUAUGAUUGAGUUUAGAUGGUGAAAGUAUAAACUUGAAGCAUUCUUCAGUGGGUAAUAGUAAAUGUGUUAAAUACUUAGGUCAGGAAAUUACCCAUUUGAAAUUCAUUUUCAAAUUUUUGUUGAAAAAACAUAAAAAACCCUUCCUUGUGAGGUUUUUUGUAGCUUGUACAUCUUGUUGGGGAUAUGUGAGAUUUUAUUCCCAACUCGUAGUGGACGAGUUCUUCCUAUAUUUUUUAAAAUUGUUGAUGAGUUGAGUGGUCUGAGUAAAUACUGUUGCGGCAAUUUAGUUUAUCGUUUUUUGUUAGAAAAUUUGAGUAAAGCUUCAGAUUCAUUGAAGAAAGGCAAAGCUAGAAGCAAUGUUUAUGUUGAUGGCUGUGUGUACAUGUUGCAGGUAUUGAUUUCACAACUAAAGUUUGGAAUAUUUGUUAUUUGAUUAUGAAUAAUUUUAAACAAUUACAUGUUAUAUAGGUUUGGUUUUGUGAGCAUUUCAUGGCUCCUGAAGGUGCAAUUGAGAAAGUUCCAAGGAUCUUGCACUGGAUGAAUACAAAUGUUGGAGACAACAUUGUGAAACGUGUUUUUGAGAUGGGUGUGGUAUGUGUAUGUUUUUUUUUUUUUUUACUUUUGAAUGUUAUUUUAUAUUAAUAGAUAUAAUAUAACAUAUUAUAUGUUGUUAAAUUUCAGGUUCAUGUUGUACAUGAAAUUGGUGUUGUCAAGAUUGAUGAGAAGGAUGGUAUAGAAAAAGAACCACCACCAAAAAGCUAUGAAGAGCAACGAAGAAAGAAAUUUCUUAAAAAAAACACAGGGAGAGUUUGAUGCGCACUGCAGAGGAUCAGAAAUGUGUAAUUGAAGAGCUUAAAAGGAAGGUGAAUGUCUUAGAGGCAGAGUUGGAGGCAGAGAAGGGCAGAACAACACCUAAAAGGUCAACUGCAGAUGAUAGUGUCCAAAGUGCAGGACGUCCACCACCAUUUAGUGAUGAUGCAUUUGUUUCACCUGUUGGAGUGUCGACCGAGGAAGCGGGUGGAAUGUGCAAGAAUGAAGAACGUGCAAUGUCCGCAAAUGCACCGGGUGGAAUGUCCAACAAACAAUUAGAGCUGAAGCAUUAUGUUAGGAUUGGUUCAAGAAGGUGAUUUAAGAGCCAAGCACUUAGGACACCAUACAUAGGAAAUGUAGUAGUUAGGAAGACAGAUGAGUAACUAUUGUACUAGACUUCAGUGUUAGGACAAGAAAAAGAUGGUGUAAUUAAACCUAUUUGGUUCAAUAUAUAGAACAAUAAUCUUUGUUUUAUUACAUUUAUGUAAUUACAAAAAAAUUUGUGUUUUAUUGAAUUGCUUUAUAAAUUGAAUUCCAAGUGAUAUUGUUUGUGCCCAAAAACGAAUUAAUGGUUGUGAUUUGAUGUAUAUAGUUGAAUUGGUGAACAUAAUGGUGGAAAAGAUUGCAAUGUAAUCGUUUUCACUUGGGACCACAGCUUCAGUUUUGGGUAAUCUGCUGUGAAAAUGUGUGUUGUAAUCGAUUACAAGAAGUUUGUAACUGUUUACACGAGUCUGAACAGAUAUUUGGACAUCCUGUUGAACUGAAGGAGCCACCUGUUAUAGCGUGGGGGACCACAGUGUGUUUUUAACAAAAACCAAUGAUUUAAAAUGUGUUUCAUGGUUAUGGAGUGAGGAGAAGCUUGAACCUAAUGUUCUGGGUCCCCCAACAUGUAAGGAGGGACCACCCAUGUUGACAAAGUUGUGUCAAGUGAAGUUGUUUUGUGUCUGGUGUCAAACUGAGCUUUGUAAUCGAUUACAAGCAGUUUGUAAUCGUUUACACGAGCCUGAACAGGUAUUUGGACAUCUUGUUCAAUUGAAGGAGCCACCUGUUAUAACGUGGGGGACCACAGUGUGUUUUUUACCAAAUCCAACGGUUUAAAAUGUGUUUUAUGGUUGUGGAGUGAGGAGAGCCUUCAACCGAAUGUUAUGGGGCCCCCAACAUGUAGGGAGGGACCACCCAUGUUGUCAAACUUGUGUCAAGUGAAGUUGUUUUGUCUAUGCUGUGAAAAUGUGUUUUGUAAUCGAUUACAAGGAGUUUGUAAUCGUUUACACGAGCCUAAACAAGUAUUUGGACAUCCUGUUCAACUGAAGGAGCCACCUGUUAUAACGUGGGGGACCACUGUGUGUUUUUUACCAAAUCCAAGGGUUUAAAAUGUGUUUUAUGGUUGUGGAGUGAGGAGAGCCUUCAACCUAAUGUUAUGGGCCCCCCAACAUGUAGGGAGGGACCACCCAUGUGGAGAAACUUGUGUCAAUUGAAGUUGUUUUGUGUCUGGUGUCAAACUGAGCUUUGUAAUCGAUUACAAGCAGUUUGUAAUCGUUUACAUGAGCCUGAACAGGUAUUUGGACAUCCUGUUCAACUGAAGGAGCCACCUGUUAUAACGUGGGGGACCAUUAUAUGUUUUUACCAAAUCCAAUGGUUUAAAAUCUGUUUUAUGGUUGUGGAGUGAGGAGAGGUUUCAACCUAAUGUUGUGGGCCCCCCAACAUGUAGGGAGGGACCACCCACGUGGAGAAACUUGUGUCAAGUGAAGUUGUUCUAUGUAUGUUGUUAAACUGAGCUUUGUAAUCGAUUACAAGCAGUUUGUAAUCAUUUACACUAGCUUGAACAGGUAUUUGGACAUCCUGUUCAACUGAAGGAGCCACCCUUUUAUAACGUGGGGGACCAAAGUUUGUUUUUUACCAAAUCCAACGGUUUAAAAUGUGUUUUAUGGUUGUGGAGUGAGGAGAGCCUUCAACCUAAUGUUAUGGGGCCCCCAAUAUGUAGGGAGGGACCACCCAUGUUGUCAAACUUGUGUCAAGUGAAGUUGUUUAGUCUAUGCUGUGAAAAUGUGUUUUGUAAUCGAUUACAAGGAGUUUGUAAUCUUUACACCAGCUUCAACAGGUAUUUGGACAUCCUGUUCCACUGAAGGAGCCACCUGUUAUAACGUGGGGGACCACAGUUGAUCACAGUUCAAUAUCAGUGUUCAUUGAGUGUUGAUUAGUUCCUUCAUUUGUAUUUGGUUGUAUAUAUGUCAAAUAUAAUACGUGAAACAUUAUUUAGUUCCUUCAUUUGUACUUGGUUGUAUAUAUGUGAAAUAUAGUACGCAAAGCAUUCAAACAAGAUUUAUAACUAGACUUUUAAAUUGCGAUACUUAUUUGAAGUAAUAAAAACAUUACAAUAUUCCAGUAGAAGUUCGAAAUGAAAAAAAUACAUAUAAGACCAAAUUAAAACUACGAAGUGAAAUGAUAAAAUGGGUUGGUAGGUUGCUGCAUUCUGUUGUAACUGUUACCAAGUCGUGCUUCUACAACGUCCAAUCUUGUAUCCAGGCCGUCCAAUCUUGUACCAACGUACGUUUGGAGUUGGUCAAUGCGUUGUAUGACAUCAUCUAGUGUUGUAAAAGAACUUGGUUGAUCAUUCUGUUGUACUUGUCUGCGUUCACUCUGUUGGUUGUCAACGUCGUCUUUGUGUACCCACACUCCGUGUACAUUUUGGACAUAACCAAAAGAGACUAUUUUGUCACAUCCCACCUUUUGUUUGUCCAUUAUUUCUGUCAUAGGAUCAAAAGUCAGAGGCACAUUAAAGUGUUCCAACAAUAUAGUUACCAAAUGAGGGUAAGACAUCCUUUCAUUGUCGGAUAGAGCCCUUUUCAUCCUAUUGCGGAUGACAUGUCCCCAGUUAAUCUACUUUGAAUUCAAAAGGGCCCAUAACAGUAUAAUAUCCUCGUUGGAUGCCUGACCAAUAUUUGAGUAACGUGGAAUCAAUAUUCUAGUUAGUACAUAAUGCAAUAUUCUUGGUUGCACCUUCAAACCCCAACAGUUAUUCUAGCACUCAAGUCCGCUUUUUCAUUACAAACUAGUUGCCUUGCAGUGAUGGAAUUGUACUCUUCUUUCCAGUCAUCAACAAGACGUCGUUCGUAACGAACUCCGGUACAUGGGAGGGAGGUGAGUUGUUGAAAAAGAGUUGGGCUCACUCUAAUCUUAACCUUUUUAACUUCGCUUCGAAUAACUCCCGUUUCAGAAAUUUGCGUGUUGCUAUAAAAUACUUUAACUAAUUGUGGGUAGAAGGGUUUUCUCAAAGAUACAAAUUCGCUCAAUGCUGCAUCUCGCAAAAUGUCGUAAAAUUCAAAAUUGCUUACCUCAAAGUAAUCUUCAUCCAGGUAUUUGCUUUCCAAAAUGUGUCAAUUGAAAAAAUACAUAGCAUAUUUCUCAUACUGUGUAGGCGAAGAGAACAAUUCUUGUCCUGUUGGUGGAGGAGACGAGGAUGUUGUUGGAGAUGGGGGUGGGGUAGGCGUCGGACUUCGAGGGCGACAAACACCACGGGAAGAAGCUCCCCUCUAUUUCUUCCUUGUGCGAUCAGCCAUGGAAGCCCAGUGUGUUGCGAAUGACAAGCAGGGAAUUGUGAAGGAGGAUAAUUGAAGACCUAGAGUUGUGGGCACUUAAACCUAAAGAGGGGCACGUGGGCAGUUAAACCUAAAUAGGGGAACGUGGGCAGUUAAACCCAUCUAUUCAUAUUUAUAGGAAGGCAGGAUACAAUGUAAUCGAUUACACAAUAUUGGUAAUCGAUUACAAUGCCUAUUUCCAUCACAAAAUAACACCUUAAUUAAGCUAUGUUACAGGAGGUGUUGUCAACAGUGGUAUUCAUAGGUAAAUUGACAUAGACUUUGCAAAAUAAUAAAAACACGAUUUUCAUAGCUAAAUAACAAGAACAAAGUUAUAUACAUCAAAGUAUGUUAUUAUCGAAAUUGUUAUGCACAGCCGAUAACAAAGACAAAAAUCCCGAUGCGGCCACUCCAGAUUGGUCUGAAACUUGGUAAGAUUGGGAUGCAAAAGGAAUCACUUCAGCACUUUGUAUAACAUGAGGCAUUCUUGUUUCCUAAAUCAACACAAUUACAUUUAGAAAACAUAUAAAAUUUAAGUUAAGUAAAUGGAAAUAGCACACAAAAGAAAUACUCACAGAUUAAUUCUUCUACGAAUGUUGUUGAACACUUCUUUGCUGAAGAUGUUUUUGUUUUUCUCGUCCGUUUCUCAACGUUGGACUUUAACCUGUUUGUAUGCGGUCACCCUUUCGCUUCACUGGUAAAGGGCUGCGGACAAGUACGUCAUCAUUUCCUCGUUCAGUGUUAGAUGUUGGAGAAGUAACCGGAUUUUGAUAUCUGAGUUCAUCUCCAUCACUAAUGAUGUUAGUAGUCAUGGAUGAACUGCAGCCAUAUUUAUUACCAAGUAGAUCAAGAUCCUUUUGUAACUGAUUUGAAUUAACUUCUGACUCACAAGCAACCUUCGCUAUUUCACAGAAUUUUUUACACAAUAGUUGGUAUCUUUGCAUGGUCGGUUGAAGCUUUGAGUUAGUGUAAGCUGCUCGAAUGAGCGUGUGCCUUCUACGAAUAUUUUUACUCCAAUGCCUAAGAACGUAUUUGGAUGGCACAUUGCAAACAUCUUCUUGACCAAACACCAAUAGUGCAUGGCAACAAAUGAUGCCUCUAAACUCAAAUAAGAGGCAAGAACAUUUGGUAUUGUUAGUGAGUGGAUCAAAUUCAACUGUAUAAAAUUUAUCUACACAUUUACCCUCAAACAUCCGCUCCUCUUUUAUUGUGUAAGUAUUCAUAUAAGUNUCCUUNACAGUNUUNUUGAUAAAACAAUUCAUCCUGGACCGAAAUUCUGUUUGAACCUCGUCGAACUUUUCAUGUGUGUACUCUAAUUGAAAUUGUCUUUUGAUCGGUGAUUGGGAGCCACAACCAAUCGUGGUGUUAAGGGAGGAGAAGUCAGCCUGUAUUUCUUUUUGUGCCUUCACUCUAAAGGCAUUGUCGAAUUGAACAACAAAUUGUUGUAGUGUCGUGCUUGAAUUUAAAAAUCCAUCAAAAAAUGCAUUCAUACCCUCGCUUCUUUGUGUAGUUGACAUACCCGCCCAAAAAUAACUCCUUAAGUAACAUGGAACCCGUUUUCUUCUUGCAUCAUAAAGAUCACAUAACCAAUCAUCGACAUUGACCAGUGCAAACUCACCUGAUUACCUACCAACGCACCCGCCCAAAAAUAACUCCUUAAGUAACAUGGAACCCGUUUUCUUCUUGCAUCAUAAAGAUCACAUAACCAAUCAUUUGCCUCCAAUCCAUGCUUUGUAAGUAGAUCUUCCCAUCCAUUCUCGAACUCGCUUGGCGAACCACAGUCAUAUACAAUGGCGUGUAUAUCGGUUUUAAUGGCAACAUAAUUUUUGUAGCCUUGAAAUUUUUCAGGCAACUUCUUCAUUAUGUGCCACAAACACCACCUGUGUCUUGUGUUUGGAAAAACCUCUUCAAUUGCAUUUGCCAUUGCCUUGCACUGAUCCGUUAUAAUACCAUCUUGGGCCUUAUUUCCCAUGCAUCUCAACCAAGAUUCAAACAACCACACGAAUGAUGCAGUGUCUUCGGAAGAAAGAAAUCCACAUCCAAGUAAGAUUGAGUGACCAUGGUGAUUUACGCCGACAAACGGCGCAAACGGCAUGUCAUACUUAUUUGUCAAGUAAGUCGUGUCAAAAGAAACAACAUCACCAAAUUCCUCAAACGCCGCUCUACUUCUUGCAUCUGCCCAAAGAACACUACAUAUUCUAUUCCCUUCGUCCAAUGCAAUGUCGUAGAAGAAGUCAUUGUUUAAAGCUUUCAUUGAUGAAAAGUGUUUUAAGAGGGCUUGACCAUCGUUGUCCUUACAUAAAGACUUCCUGUGUUGCACAACGUAGUUUUUUGCGUCUCGUUCAACGAAUUCCAUAUUCUCAAAUCCACCUACAUCGCUAACGAUGCUAAGGAAACUCUUAUUUAUCCUAACUCCGGCAUCGUCAUUGACUUGCAACGUGUGUUUCGCUUGCAUGCUCAAUUUUCUAUUCCCUGCAAUUAGCUUAGAUGUAUUAGGGCAUAGGUCAUGACUAUGAUGUAGUUCAACGGAUUUUAUAAACCAUUUAUUGUCCUUCUUUCCAAUGGUAAUGCUUGCUGGACAUUUAUUUGUUUGGCUUGCAAGUGUUUUCACUUCAGGCUUGAUGGAAGAUACAUAUUUCCCUUCUCUUGAACAAACUAAUCGCAAGUAGUACACAUUGUUUUCCUUAUUCUUUUUCGAAGAUCUUGUCCUCACAGCAAAUCCACAUGUGAUGGCGUAAUUUGUGUAGAAUUUCUUUGCCUCUUCCAUUGAAUCAAAACACAUAUGAAUCUUAGGCUCGUUGUCCAAACAACUUUCAUUAGGCUCAGGACUAUUUCCUGUGCACUGAGGCAGGUCAUUCAUUAUGAACACAAACUGAUCAUAAAAAGUAUAACACAUUUUUUUCAAAAUUCCAAAAUUGUCAAGUGGUAUAAAAUUUUAUUAAUUUUAAAUCAAAAAAUAUAAUUUAAUAAGUACAAAUUAUAUAAAAAAGUAGAAAUCAAAUGAAGUGGCUUCUUAAAUGUGAAAAACAUAGUCAUACCUACAAGGACCCUUAAGUGAAAUUGUUGGGGUACUCACCAAACUCCUGCCAAGGACUUUGCCUCUCCUCCUUAAAUGAACUUAAAGAACUCUUCACCAAACGCAACACCUGGGCAAUCAACACUUUGCCUUCAAUGAAGAUAGGUUGGUCGUUGAAGAAGUUAUGGAAGAAAGAGACAACGUUUUGGAGGGAAUAAGUGUGUGUAGCAAGGAAUACAAAGCAUUUGUAACUCACAUUGACUAUGAAAAGUUCUUUUCAUUUGAUAUCAUUAAGGAUGGGUGCAUUUAAUUCUGUCAUGAAAAAGUUUUUCUCUCUCCUUUCCCACAAUUAAUGAAGUUCACUUUCCAUUCCAAACAUUUAAUGCAAGGUCAUUCAAGCAAGUUAUUACACUUCUUCUUUCAUCAAUUUGUGACAUAAAGUGAGGGGCCCGUUCAUCAAGUAAUGUACCAUCAUUAAAACCAACAUCAAAUCAGUUAAACUUAUAAUAUUAUAUUUUAAUCAUAAAAAUUGUUGGGUGCAGAGAGGUCUUUAUAUAUCUCGCUCAUACCCAUCUUAUUUGGUGGAAUACUUCAAUCUAUUUGUGAGAUUAGUUACUUAUUAAUUUUCGUUAUUUUUUUUUUCAUUAAACUUGCUUUCUAUUGUUGUUGUUAUGUUCAACUGGAUUCCAUAUUGUUGCAGGUUAUCAAAGGAUUACCAUGGAUGCAUGGGAAGACCUUGUGUAAGAUGAUGAUGUCCUAGAGUCAUUUCUUAAAAAGUGUGAUGCUUCUUCGUCCCUUAUACCUGGCCCUACGGGUAAUGUUCAAGUUGCCAUCCUCAAUAGGAAAAAUCCUGAGGACCACAAAUCCACACAAGAAUUUGCUAAUGAUGUUGCUCAGGCAACAUAUGAAAGAGAUUUCAACUCCAACGCAUGGAAAUGGGAAGAAAUGUUUAUUGAACACCAUGGUACAUGACCUGUUCAUAUAAUACUGGUCAACAAUCAACUUCAACAAUAUAUUUGUUUAUGCCGCUUAUUUUGAGAAUUGCAGGUCUUGUUAAAGAGGGAAAGAUGGAGAACGUUACUCCACUUAAAGAGGCCAAAAAAUUUGAGAUCCUUCCAAUUGUUGCUUGCUUAGUAAAGGAGUGCAAGCCCACUGGUCUGGGAGACAUGUUUUUGACUGUAAAGGCAUUUUUUUUUCCAUUGAUAUUAUCUUAAAAAAUAAAUAAUAAAAUAAUAAUUCAGUCACUGUGAGAAGGACCCGUCCGCUGUCAGGAAGGCUUCAUUGCACCCUAAAGUUCUUUGAAGAUCCUCAAUUUGGAGACAAUAUUCGAGUUGGAUCCGUCAUCAUACUCAAUCUUGUAAACCAUUCAUUAAGUACUUCAUUUAAAAUUUUAUUACUGAUUACAGUUGUUGUGAUUUGUUAUUUUUUAUUUCAUAUUUAACUAGUUCUUAAUUUCCUACUGUUCUAUUAGGUGAAAUCCUUCUGUGCAUAUGGGAACAACCACUACCUCAAUAUCGUUCACCGCAACAUUGUGAAGGUUUUUCCACCUGACAUUUGUCAUCCAUCAGUUGACCUGCUGAAGGAAACGCCAAAACCUAUCAUUCGACUUCCGAUGUGGGCAGAAAACAAUGACAAUGUGGAUGCCAUCCUCCGCAAAUUUGUUCGGCCAACUGACUUACCGUCAUCAUCAUCCACAGAAGCAGACCAACCGUCAUCAUCAUCCAAACAGGCAGACAAUUAAUAGAUUAAUUUACGUAUGCUUUAAUUUAUCUUUUGUAGUGAAGGGGAAAAAUUACUUUAAUGGAGUACUGUAAUAGUAUGUUAUCAGCUCUGAGACUGGUUAUUGGAUGACUGUAAUUGUAUUCAAGUUUCAAUGUUGUUAUUGUGCACUUUUAUAAUUUAGUAAGAUCUAAUGUAAUGUUGUUAUUGUAAUCAUUGUUUUGAGAUGAAUGAAUUCACCACUAUUUAUUUUGUCAAAGCAGUCUACUUUCCUUCAAAAACACCCAAAAUGACCAGUGGUCCCCCACGUUGCCACAUGUGGCUCCUUCAGUUCAACAGGAUGUCCAAAACUGCAUUAUGGCUCGCGUAAUCGAUUACAAGCCUAUUGUAAACGAUUACAAGAGUACUUUUUGUGGCAAAUUACACUAAAACUCACCAAGGUUCAUGUCAUCACCCUAGGUGAGACCCCUCUACAUCAUGGGGUGUCCCAACCAACCAUCACAUCAAACCCUACACUCACGCUUGUACAAAAAACAAGUCAAGUUGUCUUCAAAAACACCCAAAAUGACCAGUGGUCCCCCACGUUGCCACAGGUGGCUCCUUCAGUUCAACAGGAUGUCCAAAAUUGCAUUAUGGCUCGCGUAAUCGAUUACAAGCCUAUUUUAAACGAUUACAAGAGUACUUUUUGUGGAAGAUUACAGUAAAACUCACCAAGGUUCAUGUCAUCACCCUGGGUGGGACCCCUCUACAUCAUGGGGUGUCCCAACCAUCACAUCAAACCUUAUACUCACACUUGUACCAAAAACAAGUCAAGUUGUCUUCAAAAACACCCAAAAUGACCAGUGGUCCCCCAUGUUGCCAUAGAUGGCUCCUUCAGUUCAACAGGAUGUCCAAAAUUGCAUUAUGGCUAGCGUAAUCGAUUACAAGCCUAUUGUAAACGAUUACAAGAGUGCUUUUUGUGGCAGAUUACACUAAAACCUGGACAUCAAUCAUCAAUCAACAAUUAUUUCAACAUUGCACAUAACCAAUCUUCAAAAUCAAUCGUUGUAUUGCAAUAAUCAUUUGUACAAUGUCUUCAAAUAUAUAAACGAUUACAAACACACACGCGUUAACGAUUACAACAUCCUUGUGCAUUGAACAUAAACAAGGUAGAAAUCAUAUUUCUUAUUCAUAUAAGAAUUUGUAAAAUGUGUUUCUAUAUAUUAAAAAUACAUAGUCUCCAUAAACAAUAAUGUUUUUUACAAUGUUCACUACAUUUGAACACAGGACAACUAUCCUACAAAAACCCAUACACCGAAAGCGAAUCUAGUAAUCUUAUGUUUUCGUCGUCCAGGAUUCAAUCAACUACAUAUUGCUUUCUAAAAGCAAGCAAUUCCUCCUGAAAUGAAAACAUUGAUAUUGUCAGGUCAACCCAAUCAUCAAACAAUAAUGAAAAUCAUAUUAUGACUUACAUUCGUAUACAGUGGCAUACUUUUCCCAUUGUAUUUAUCCUCUCCAUCCCAAAUUUCCAUAGCUUUUAACAUUAUAACUGCACAGUUAUGUCUGAAACAAUAUAAAGAUAACAUCAACCACUUUUGACAAAUCACAUCAUUUACAACACCAUAUUUGUAAAUUAAAGACCUAUCACAACUUACAGGUUAGGUUGGGAUGGGAUUUUUGCAUGUACAACAGACAAAGGUCCUAUACUCCCUUCCGGUCUGUUGUACAAGAUGUAAAAAAAACGAGCAAGGUUUUCAGCCUACAAAGUACAAAUUACAAUAACAGGUUAACAAUACAUUAUUAAAUUAUAGUCAAUAUCAGUAUUAAAUGAGGUAAAACAUACCACAACUGUGUCAAUCUUUCUUCGGUUUCUUAUGCCCUUCCCCAAAGAGUCAAGAACAUAUAUGGUUAAUGUGCUAAUUUUAACUACAUAGCACCACCAAUGGUAAUCAUGGCAAAAAGGAAGAAACAGCUACAAACAAACAAAAGGAAAGUAAAUACAUCAACAACAACUACAUGUCAAAUACCACCACAAACACAACGAAAAAUAAACCUCACUCACAAAGUCAGCUGUUGCAAUGUCUUGAAGUCCAAAGUGUCCGGCAUGCAAACAACUACUGUAGUUAUGAAGACUGAACACACGACGAUUUUUUGCCAUUCUCCUAAAAUCAUCGAGUAUAAGGUCCUGCGAGUAGGUUCAAAUCAAACAUACCUAACACAUUAUUCCAACAAUCAAUUAAACCAUCUCACAAACCAAUUACAAACAAAUUACCGCAUAUAAUGAACUAAAAAGAAUCUUCUUCACAACCCCAGUGGUCCUUCUCUCAAAGUGCAUAAAUACGGUAGCAGCAAAUAGCACCACCUAAACAUUCAAAAUUGAAGAAUUACUUAAAAUGAAUAUGUACAUUACAAAUCAACACAAGUUACCAAAAAACUUACCAUGUUAUCAACAUAUUGGUAAGGCGCUAAAGUCUGAAGGGAAGUUGAGUUCAGGGUCUGCCCAAUUAUUUCACAAACAAUCCUGAUAAAAAAAAAGAAUUUUUCAAUUCAAAAAAUAUGACGUUGCAACUUAAAAAAACUAAAUUAUACUUAAUUACCUUUGUGGUUGUCUAUCUCUUACGCUGGCGGCGAUGUACAGGUGGUCAGCAUUGACGCUACACCUUGGAUCACCACCAAUAGCACGCAGAGGGAUGACAACCAAUGCUUCCGGUGCAUCUGCUUGUUCGACAUCCACAUCAUUGUCAUCAAUUUCAACAAUAAUCUGAAUUUCUUUUCCGGUUACUUCAUCCAAGACAACUCCUUCACCUUCUUCAUUCAACACUUCUUCACCACCUCCACCCAAAGGUUCUCCAUCACUUCCACCAACAACUUCUUCAUUCAACACAUCUUCACCAGCUCCACCCACCCCCUUUUCAUCAGCUCCAGCAACACCUUCGCUCAACACAUCUUCAGCACCUCCACCCACACCUUGUUCUACACCUCCACCAAAACCUUGUUCAUGGAACACUUUUUCAUUGAAAAUUGGAAUUCGACGAAUUUUAAAUAGCUCAUUGGUCAAAAAAGCUAGCCUUGAAUUCAAGGCCAUCAUUUCUUCAUUGUUUUUCUUCAAUGUCUCCUCAAGCUUUGCUUCAAAGGUGCCAUCAUCGGAGCUAUCAUCAUCACCUUCCUCAACUCUACAUCGUUUUGGCAAUUGCGCUAGACCUAUCCCUCCAUCAAAAAGCUGAAAAGCAGCUUUGAUUUCGGGCAUGUCACGCACACGCUCGCCAACAUACCACUCCAACUUAAACUACAAGACAUGCAAACAAAUUAAACAGUACAUUCAAAUCAUCAAUAUUUAUACAAAACUUACAUGAAAUACUUACUUCUCCAGUCCGAAAAAUAUUAUCAAUAUUUUCAUAUGACCGUGCCUUAUAGCGGAACCAACGCAACAUAUGAGGGAAAUCCCUAUGAAUUCGAUUACCAUCCAAGGAAAAUCUCUCUACUGCCUAAGCCUACAAUAUUAAACAAAUUUUCAGUCACACAUAAAUCAAAAUGUAAAACAUUCUAUUCAUUCACUUAAACAACUACAAAGAUUUGUACCUGUAAUACAGCGACAUUGCCACUUAGACUCAGUGAGCUUCUGAUACCUCCACCCAUUAUUUUUUUCAUUCCUUUAUUCAAACUAUCAACAAGGUGUUUAUGUACACCAGUAGCCCAAUCAUAUAAACAAAGACUAUCUAGGUCAUCUAAGACUUUUGAUGGCAUAUUAACAACUAUCUUAGACUUCCUAGGAAAGAACAAGACAACCAAGCACACAAAUAUAUACAACCUACAAACAACAUCAACUUUUGUGGUUUCAUCCAAAACAAUCACAUUAAACAUGUCAACCAAGUCUUCCAAAGUUGUGCUUUUUUUAUUAAACAUUUCUCCAACCAAACCUUCUAUACAUUCAUCAAACGGGAUUUCUAAACCCCCUAUACCUAAACCAGUCGUCAUGAAAACAUCUAAAACUGUAAAAGGAACCAAUUGAUGACUCAACCUAAAGCUAACAUCAUGUCCUGUCCACCUACAUACCAUAACCUUUAAUAACUCGCAGUUAACGUCCACAACCUCACGUAGGUACACACACCACCUAAAUGGUGUCAUCGCAAUUCGUUGUACAUGGUCUUUUCUCAUAAAACGAUUCAUUUCAAUAACAAUUGAUGAAUCCAUAGAUGUACGGACCCUCCACUACAAAAGAUAGACAACAUUAUUAUUACUAACCAUAAAAAAUCACAACUAUAACUAAUACCUAAACUUCAACUUACCUUAGGGUUACCGGACGCCAUUUCAACUGCACGAUAAAUCAAUGGUACAUUAGGGUUCACAACACACAAAAACCUAAGAUAAAAAACAAUAAACUAUGGUUCCACCCAAAACAAGAAACAGAGCCACAUAGCAAAACACACCCAAAAGGCCAAACGCGAAAGAAAACGUAAAAGGGAACACACCCACAACGCCUGUAACGCCCCGGCAACUUACAAGGACUGUUGACUGCCCCCACACAUCACCACGAGACUUUCCAGUGUGCUUUGUCCUCACUCGCACACAGGUCUUUACCCACAACGCCUGUAACGCCCCGGCAACUUACAAGGACUGUUGACUGCCCCCACACAUCACCACGAGACUUUCCAGUGUGCUUUGUCCUCACUCGCACACUUUCCGGGAAAACUUCCCNNAAGGUCACCCAUNCCAGAAUUNCUCCAGGNUAANCACGCUUAACCAUGNAGUUCUUAUGGGUUNGGCUNCCGAAAAGUAAAUGCAUUUUGGUGAUAUGGGUAGNCAAAUCAAUUCCUUUAAGCUAUCCUUCAACUGUAUAGUCCCAUACCUAUACAGUCUCCCGAUCCCUCUCAUUUCGGUGUAUGUUCGAUUCGUCCAUGUGCCCCUUCCACUCGAAGCCUGCUAGGAGCCGCUCCUUGUCCGUGCCCCCUGCACCAUGCUUCUUGCACCGGUGAUCACUCCCCGCCCUCGUCAGUGCCCGGGUGUCACAUGCCCACUAGCUUCCGUCUGGUUCGUCCUCGAACCACACCGUACUGGGAGAGAACCUGGCUCUGAUACCAUCUGUAACGCCCCGGCAACUUACAGGGACUGUUGACUGCCCCCACACAUCACCACGAGACUUUCCAGUGUGCUUUGUCCUCACUCGCACACUUUCCGGGAAAACUUCCCGAAAGGUCACCCAUCCCAGAAUUACUCCAGGAUAAGCANGCUUAACCAUGGAGUUCUUAUGGGUUGGGCUACCGAAAAGUAAAUGCAUUUUGGUGAUAUGGGUAGUCAAAUCAAUUCCUUUAAGCUAUCCUUCAACUAUAUAGUCCCAUACCUAUACAGUCUCCCGAUCCCUCUCAUUCCGGUGUAUGUUCGAUUCGUCCAUGUGCCCCUUCCACUCGAAGCCUGCCAGGAGCCGCUCCUUGUCCGUGCCCCCUGCACCAUGCUUCUUGCACCGGCGAUCACUCCCCGCCCUCGUCAGUGCCCGGGUGUCACAACGCCAAACGCCAUACACACCCAAAACGCGAAAGAAAACUUACCGGUAGAGAGUCAAUGCAAAAGACCACUUUUCCUUGAGAUGACGCCUUUCGAUGAACAAAGCCACCGGAAUGGAGAGACGAAGGAUGCUCAGAAUGGAAGAGACGCGAAUGGGACAGGCGAAUGGAGAGAGGCCAAAUGGGAAAAGCGAAUGGGAGAGGAGAAUGGAGACAGGGCGAAUGGGAGAGAUGCGAAUGGGAGAAUGAGAAAGAAGAACAAUGCUCAGAAUGAAACUGAAGGAAGAUGAAAAAUGAAACCGCCAAAUUCAAUUUUCAUACCAUCAUCACAUUUCCAAUUCUACCCUUCUGUGCUUUUUCAAAUGCAAUUUUUUAAUGAGCUUCAGCCAUCCAAUACAAAUUUGACACGUCAGCCGAUGUCAAAUUUGUGUCAAAAGAUGGUGUUAAACAAACAUUUUCGUUAAUGUAAAUAGAUAAAGUUAAUAGUAAAAAAAGUUAUUUUUGUAAUUAAAUUUUAUUUUAAGAGAGUUGGGGAGGUGGAGGGAGCAAGGGUGGAGGUGAAGGAAGCAACACUCAAAAAGUUGUUAGCAUGGAAUUGGGCUGCACUAAUUGGGCUUGCGGAUUUAUUUGAAUGACACCGUUUUGGUGCGCUACUACCGCCCCUAGGAAUAGUUUGAGCUCCAGGUUCAUUUUCCAAUAGCAACCCUCGAGCAAGGUUCCAAAUGAGAGAAAACUCCUUCGUGCUAGGGCUCCUGUGCGAGAAGAGAGAAGAGAAAAGACGAACUCAUGCCCAAAUGCCACUUACCCAAUGAAGUUGAACUAGAGGAGAGUUAAAACUGACGAGGAAGAUCAAGAUGACCGGAGGGAUAAGAUGCAUUGAGAGCGAGCAAACCACAUAGGUCGUCCGAUUGAAGUAAAGUGAAGUGUCGAAGGUUUCUUCCCUUUUUCCCUUUUCCCUUUAAUUUUCACCCUAUAAAAGAGGGGUUUGUAAAUAACUUUGAGUGUGUAUCGCGAAGGGUGACAAACUCCACACAAGAGUGACGAUCUGAGUUCGCGAUUUUAGGGUUUAUGCACAUUUCGUAGUGUAGAUUUUGGAUUCUUUGGAUUUUGAUAAGGAAAUCACGGUGGUAAUAGCCUGUGGUUGACUCAGUUCCUUUCUAUCAGUGUAAUUUCCAUUUUCCUUUGAAUAAAUUUCAAUUAUACUACUCUGUUAUGGUUUCUAGUUUUGAUUUGAUGCAAUUUUAAGGUUUUCUCUUGAUUCAUUUGAGAUUUGAACUUGUUAAUUGUUUUGGAUAGUUUAGUUGAAGUUUGUUUCAAUUUCUGAUGCUUUGGAGACUUGAAUUUGUGCAAUUUACAGUUCCUUGUUAUUUUGAGUUGUUAUUUCUUUUAUGUUUCUAGUGUUAAUUUCCAACAUUUAUUUUCUUCGUCUAUUACUUUCUAAAUUUGUAUUGUGGUUGUUAGUUUUACUGUAGAUUUCAUUAGCUAGAUUUUCAUAGUCAUGAAUUUUUUUUUGCUGGUUUUGAUUGAGUGGAUAAGAAUAACUAGUUUAAGAUUUUGUAACAGAACCUCCAAAACCCCAAAGUGGGCUUGCUUAUCAUUGUCAAAAUGUAUUUUUGAAAAGCUAUUAGGAUUCACUGACUCAAUUGUAUAGUUGGACCAGUUUUAGUAUAUCUUUAUAUGUUGUUUCCAUUCUAUUUUGGUUUCAAUUGUUUAAUCUCACAUAAUCCAUUUAGUUUAUACUACUUUAUAUUUUCUUACAUUUUUUUGUACCUCUUGUUCAUUAGUUUAGGUGUUUCUUGUUAAUUUGAUUUGCAUUCUUGUUCCUGAUUCUUUUAUUUUCAACAUUCGAAUUCUGAUGCUUUGUUUUUAACUCUGUGAAUAGAUUUUAUGAAUUUAGUAUUGAGUAUUCUUUGUUUUUUGUUUUUUAAGUUUAUUCCUUGUUUCCUUUUUCAUAGUAAAGCAUAUACAUUUAGUUUAGAUUUUGUUUUGAGUAUAAACAAAUUCCAUCUCUUCAGUGCUUUAGUUUAGGUUUUAUUUCCUUAUUCUCAUUCUUCUUUUCUUUAAACAUGUAUUGUUAUUAAUUCUUUCCUUCUAAAUUUCAAUUUCAUUUCUUUUUGCCCACCUUGCUUAGUAGUAAUAAUUAGUAAAUAAAUAAUAGGAUUUCAACUUUACACUUUGAACUUAAUUUUUGCCGAGUCUUUGCAUUAAUCCUUGGUUGACCCCUAUAUUACAUUAGUGGAAAAACUGAGCUUGUUGAUCUUUUGUGCGACCAAAAAGCAUUUCAACAGUAACUCGAAUGCAAACACUAUAGGUAUAAUACUUGUUAGGUUGAUAAAGAUUGACAGUAGAAUAAUUCACUAUAUUAUAUGUUACAUUUUGGUUCCUCGUUCAACUAACUUGCACAAGCGACAAAAAAAGAUCUAAUUUUGAUGUGGACACCUUUUACUUCAAGGGACAUUAAGUGAGCUCAUCUCAUCAAACAUUGAAUGAGAAAGGCAUUACAAGACAAUGCUCCUCUACCAUAUCCCAAACUCAUUACCAAAUUUAUGGAGCAUUUUGAAGUUCCUCUUGAUAGUGAGCCUUAUGUACCAGUUAAAAGGUCUUUCAAAAUUGGGACUAGAGUUAUUUGUUCCUUUGGUUUUGUUAAAAACGUAGAUGGACUAUGAGUUCAAAAAUAAGAUUAUGCUCAGUCAAUUUAUAAUGAGAUUUGUGAUCUUCGAGCAUUUGUUGGGAAUAAAUUUUACAACAUUGAUGCUCAAGUUUCACAACUUGAAGACGACAUGGAUUAUCUACGCCAUCACUUUGAGCCACUAGGGCCCUCUUAAAUUUAAUGGUAUCAUGUUUUUAUUUUAUUAGGUUUAAUGUCACUUUAGUCUCUGUUUUUGUCCAAAAUCUCAAAUAGGUUCUCUUCUUUUUCGGGGUUUCAAUUGUGUCCUUAUUUUUGUAAAAUUGAAUCAAAUAGAGGUUUGCCGUUAAAUUGGACAAAAGGUCGUUUAAGAUUAUCUUAUGUGGCAUGCUGAGGUUAUUUUAUUACUUAAUUAUACACUUAGAUACCUUAUAAUGUGGGUACAAACCAUAAACUAAAGAUCACAUUAUCAAUAGAUACAUAAACUAUGUUACAACCUUUUUCCACUAGUAAUUGAUUACAACAUUUUUGUAAUCAAUUGCAAUGCCUUGUCAUUCAAAUUACAUAUACUGGUAAUCAAUUACAAUAAAUAUCUAAUGGAUUACACAUUGAAGUCGUGUGCCCCUAAUGAUUUUAGCACAAAAAAAUUUUAAAUUACCUACAGAUUUUUUUUUCCGAUGAAAAUAAAUUUGUCGAUAUAUUUGAAUUUCUAAUGGAUUUUACUAACAAAUUUAUUAUCGACGAAAAAAAUUUGUCGGUAAAUCUUUCGUUAAUGUGUAUUACAUUUAUUAACGGAAAAAUUUGUCGAUAAAUUUCAUCGGUAAUGUGUAUUACAUUUGCUAACGAAAAAAUUCAUCGAUAAAUCCAUAGAUAAUGCGUAUUUAACUCAUUAACGAAAAAAUCUAUCACUAAAACCUGUGGGUAAUGUAUAUUUCACUAAACUAUAGAAAAUUCGUUGGUAAAAUGAGCGAGAAUUUUCCUACCCAGUUUUCCUCUCUUUGUGCGAGAUAUAGACACUGUUUAUUUUUUUCCUCUUUCACAAGUGUUCAGCCUCUUUGUGCGAGGCAAUUAAAAGGUGUUCCCCUUCUCCUACUUCCCGAGCUUAGACCGUUGCAACUUCAAAUCAAGAUCGCCUCCAUCUCCGUUAAGUAAGGUCGUCGCCAUUCAGCAGGUCACCUCCACCUUGGUUCAACUAGGCCGCCUUUAUUCUUCCUAUUUCACGGAACGAUGCAACCACGCAUUAUCACCACCGCACACUGCCACAACCGCACACUAUCAUCAUCGCACAAUGUCAUGUUGUUUGCUCUAAGUUCAACCAAAACCAAAGUUAUCACUGUCUUUAAUGUGUUCAUUCUUUUGUAUUGGUAAAAAAAAUAAAGAAGAAAGAGAGCAGAAGAAUGAGAGCGAAAGAAAAAAAUGAACCAGAUUGCGAUAUUCAGGGACAAAAAAAAUUGUUAACAAAACUUAUUGACAACUAUUUUACUAACGAAUUUUUUGUCGUCGAUAAUUAUAAUUUAUCAACGAAUUUUACGUAUUACGGAUGAAUUUUAACCGUCGUUAAUAUCUUCUUAUAGUGAUUACGUAAUCGAUUCAACUUCUUGAAAUCCAUUACAAAUGAAAAAAUAUGUAUAGGAUAUACGAUUUCACCUUUUAAAAUUGUUCAAAACUAAACUCGUACACUUUUUACACGACUUUUUCAUUUAAAUUCGUGUAAGGUUGCCUAUAUAACCUAUAAAAGCAAUUUAAAUUUUGUUUGCCUACUUCAAUAACAAGACAAUCAGAUUUACCUAAAUCUAAAAAAAAAAAGUCAACUUUUAAAAAUAAUUUGAAAACAAAAAUACAUAUUUAAUCUAAUAAUAAAUAAAAGAUAAACAUACAAAUUUAUUUAUUUAAUGUCAAAGUAUCUUCUAUCUUACAUUUAUUCCAUAGCGAAUUUAAAAGUCAUCAACUAAGUUAAGGUCUUUGAUUUUGCUUAAGCACAUAUUUCGUCUAUUGAGUUUGAGCUCCUUGCGGUGGAUAAUAAGGCUCCGGCAAGCAAAGUUCCUUAAUGGUUCCUUCAUCAAUGGCUGUCUUUAUAGGAUUAACCUUGAUUUCAUACAACUUUGGCCACAAUUUUCCAGUUACUGCAACAAAACACAUGUUUCAAAUUCAAUACGAUAAACGGUAAGAACAUUAAUUUUCCAUUAUUCGUGCUUCUUAGGAAUUCCUAGAUGGAAAGGAAAAAGCCCACUCAACAAUAAAAAGCAUAUAAAUUGUAUUUGCAUAUUCUUUAAAUUUGAUGAGAUAAUGUUGUCAUAAAAAUAUAAUCAAUUAUAAUAUAAUAAAGAAAAUAAUAACUUAUCUAUAUAUAAAUUUAAAAUUAUAUAGUAAAUUAUAAGACUAUUAAUAUUUUUAGCAUAAAAACAUAAUAACAAAUUUUUUGAACUCUUGUUACAAAUAAAACUAGCAAUUUUCACUUUUUUUUUUCAAAAAAGUUAUAAAUCUAUAAGUCAAGUUAAUAAAAGUACAUUUUUACUGAGAAAUAAAUAUCUGUAGUAACUACAAAAAUUUACUUUUAGGUAAGUAAAAUUAUUUAAGAGUUUGUACUAAAUAUGAAGGAUAAUUGAAAUGUAUUAAAUCAAAUAGUUAGAUUUUAUCUAUAUAUUAAUAAAUAUUUUUCCCCUUUUAUUUGAUUUGUUACUAUUGAUAUUUAACUCAUGUAUAACUGGACUUAUAUAUUUCUAAUAAAUUCCCCUGAUUAAUCUAGAAUGUAAUAUUUAUUAUUUUCAAUUUGAAUAAUACAAGUAUAACUUUCAUUUCACACCCCAUUUGGCAUACUUUUUAUACAUCUAAAUGUUAGAAUAACAAAUUUCAAAUCGAUAAAUUAAUAAUUAGAAGAAAAGAACGUACCAAAUACACGCUUCUGCUCACCAUCCCAUGCUAUCCCAUUCAAAACAUCAUUCUCCUUAAAGAUGAAAGAUAUAUGAAUAUAAGUGCAACAAUACCAACUUUAAUUAUUAUUUUUUAUUUCGAAAAUGAAAUUAGAGUAACAUUUUGUUUUCAUAUAACAUGUUUUUAUAUAAUAGUAACAUUAUGAAAGUGCAACAUAUAUACAAUAAAUAUUAUCUCUUAAUAUCAAAAGAAUAAACUCCUUACAUUGAUCUCUCCAGCAUCUACAAGUUCCUUCCUGCGUAUAAUAGACCAAAUUAAGCAACUAAUGAAUAAAGAAAUUUUCUGUUUUUAUAUACUUCAAUAAAUGAUUUUUUAAACUAUUCAUUCCUAAAAUACUUAUUUUAUGUUUAAAUGGCUCUGAAAAAGAGAAACAUUACUUUAAAUUUUGGAGGAGAAUCCAUCCAAGAAUUCUGCCAUCAUUGGGAGAUAUUCUCACUAUGCAAUCAGUCUACACAAAGAAAAUGUCAAUCACAAACAAAACUAUUUCACUGUGCACUACAAAAAAUACAAAUUUAUUGAUUAGAAAAAAAUACAAAUUUGACUAUGCACCAAUAAAAAAUCACAAACAAAACAACUUAAAAUUAUAAUGAAACAGAGAAAGACAUAUACCGGUAAAACAUUUGCCCAAACUUCACCAUUUAUGUAUUCCAAUUCAUUGAGAUUGUAGACUUGGUGACCCUUAUAGUAGAUAACAUGUCUUGAUACAGCUGCAACAAUUAUGCCAAUGUAAAUUCCACUAAAUACAUCACAAAUUAUGAACACAAAAAUUUUGGGUAAGAAAUAUGCAUACAUAAAUAGUGAGAGAAAAAUAACGAAACUGUCAAGACGUGGAUUAUAGCUAAACUCAAUUCCAAAAAAUCAGACCUAAAUCUCAAAAAAUCAACUUCACAUAUAUAUUAUAAACUGACUUUAUCUUUAAUCGACGUGAAACUUUUAACAGAAUUUUUAUUUAGAUCGACAAACCUUUAAAUGUUUGAGGAUGAAGUUGAUACAACGUUGAACUGCCAUCACUUCCAAAAAGCACUUUUCCAUCCGUUGCCAGACCCCAACCAUCAUUCAUAUCAUGAUUAAAUGUUCCAAUCUAUAUACAAUUUUUUAACUUUAACUUUUAGCAUGGGUGUUUAAAAAUCUUGGUAAGCAAUGAACAAUAGAAAAAGUAAAUGAGAUUGAAGUUAAAACAACAAACUUGGUUCAAAUUUUUAGGGUCAUAUAUGAAACCAUCUUUGCGCAACCAAGUCACUUGAUACAACCUACAUAAAGUGCAGUGGAUAUAAGUGUUAGAAUACAUCCAUAUAUCGAAUUUUAGAGUGAAAAUAAUUUAUUUUUCCUUUUUAAGUCUUAGGAUUUUAGAAGGAACAAGAUAAUUGACACUGAUGAAAAAGCUAAUAUAAAAAACUAAAAUAUCAAUUUCAAUCUAAAAUUUUAAAACAACAAAUUUAUAUAUAUAUAUAUAUAUAUAUAUAUAUAUAUAUAUAUAUAUAUAUAUAUUUCUCUUACUAUUUUUUCUUAACCGCGACAUAAAUAGAAAACAAAAAUGCAACGUGAUUAUCUUUAAUACCUGUUAUUGAGGAGAGUUAAACCUUCCCCAAAUAAGGAAUCAUCCAUCUUAUGAAUAUUUUGAACCUGCAUGUCACAAAUUAUGAUUAGAAAAUUUAUAAUUCUCACUGAACUGCAUAACUUAAUAAAAUGUAGUAAUUUGAAAUAUAAAUCAACUAAUAAUUGGAACAAGUGUAUAGUAAGAGCUUAAGAAAUGAGUAUAUUUGUACCUUUCCAGUAAGAAGAGCAACUUUUCGAACAGAUGACUGAAACAACGAAUUAUUGAAAGGUUAAAUGAUAUUUUAAAACAAGUAUUAAUUAGAAAAAAAAAAGUAAAUGUUUUCUCUUUUAUCUCAUAUUUAAUAUUUUAAUUAUUUAUUUUUCAAAAAAAUUAUUUUUUAUUUUUAAAAUAAUUAACAUUUUAAAUUUUAAUUAGAACAUGACUUUGGACUUACUUUUAGCUUAUUUAAUGUAUUUAAAAACUUGUUUUGUUUUAUUAAAAUUAUUUAACUGAAAAUUAGGGUUUAUCAUUAAGCUGACAAAGAUGAUGCUUUAAGCUUAAUAAUCGAACUGUAAUUAAAUCCUUGAUCUACGAAUUUAUCCUUUUAAAUUCUCAUUUGAAAUCUUUUAUUUUAUUUCUUAUUUCUUUUAAUUUAUGAAGUCAUUUUCAUUACAGAAGUCAACUUAUAAUCUCUUAAUUUACUAGUUCAAAUUUCACAUCUUCCAACAUAAAUCUUUUUUAAAAUACUAUACAUUCUUUUCAGAAGGAAAAUUCAAUCCAAGAGUAAUUGAUAUGGAGUGAAAUCACUAUUUGAAAUAAAAAGAACUAAAAGUGAGAUAAUCCAGUGGUUGAAAAACUUUCCUUUGGUGUUUAUACUUAAAAACAUUUUAUUUUAUGAUUUAUUAAAAUACUAUUUUAAAAUAUUUAUAGUGAAUAUUAAAAAGGAUUAAACUAAUAUAAGUAAGAACUAAAAAUAAUUAAAUGGUGAUAAGAUAAGAAUGAAUUAGAGAAUGUUUACCUGCCCAUAAAGGCCAGUUGACUCAAAUAAGGUGUCAUUUCCAUAAUAAAGAAGGCCCUGAAAUCAAUAACAACAAUCAAAUAAUGUCCAAAUCAACAUUUUGGAUUUCAUAAUUAAUAAUAACAUAAACUUUUUCUUCAACAUAAGGCCAAAUAUUCACACAAUUACAUGAAAGGGUGUCAAUUAGUUCUAUCUAUGAAAAAAAAAAUAUAUUGGACAAUAUUAAAUAAAGUUUUCGCUUUAAAAAUACUAAACAUACACAAUGAAAACUUUCAAUUUGUCCACACAACUUAUUCUCAUUUAGGUUCUUUGGUUUAAGAAAAAUAAAACAUAAAAAAAUGAAGGUUUUUUAAUUUGAAAAGUAAAUAAAUAUACUUUUAAGGUUUAAUUAAAUUUUAAACUCUAUUAAGUUUUUAUUUGAUUGAGAAUGUAUACUCUUUUUGUUUUUCAAUGUGUCUUAGUUCUUUGUUUACUUUUUUAUAUUUGGGUGAUGAGAUUAUUAUGUCACUUAUUUGUUUUAAAAUGUUGAAAAAUUAAAAUAUAAGAGUUUGCAAUUAAUAGAAGAUGAUAUUGUUACUAAUAUAAAAUAAUAAGUGUUUUUUAUUAUUUUAUUUAAAACAUGUUUAAAAAGGAGAACAUCAUAUUUCUAAAUGACUUUUACGUUAUCACUUAUAUUAAUAAAAACCCGUCAUCGUUAUAAUCAUCAAUGUAACUGAAGGUCAUUAUUCAAUUAUUAUUUAAUACGUUUAAAGUGAAAAUAAUAAAUAUCUUUUGUCAUUUUACAUUAACUAUUUUUUUUUGUUUAUAUUAAUUACAAAAAAAAGUCAUAUUUUUUAAACUUGUAAAACAAAUAUAAUUAUUAUCACAUAACCUGAUUAAUAAAUUAAAAAAUCUCAAAAUAGAAUGUUUAUUUCGUCUUAUUCAAGAGACAAAUUUUUCUAAGUGGAACUCUCUCUACUAAAUAAAUAAUAAUUUUGUCUUUUUCUGAACUCUUUACUCCUUUUCUCACUCUCUCAGUGUUGGUUUUCUUAAAGAAAAUAAAAUAGUUUCUAAAAUUGGUUUAGAGAGAAAAUAUUAAUAAAUUUAUACAAUUUUUUUUUUUCUUAAAAAAAAGCUAAAAGGUCGAUGAAAAUAUUCAUCUACGUAUGAAAAGCAAAACUUUCUUUUUUUUUCUAACACAAACUAUUCUAUUAAUGUUAAAAAAAAAGUUACGAAGUCAUCACCAACUUAGAGAUGAGACAUUGAAUCGAACAGAAGAAAAAAAAGUAAAAAGUGAAAUUAUUUAAAUUUUAAAACAAUUCACAGAAUUCGAUGAGAAAUUUGUAAUAAAGACUAAAAACAUAUAUUUUAUUUUUUAAUUAUUAUAAUAAAUAAAAACAUAAAUAUUAAUAGAAAAAGUACCAACAUAAAUACUUAAGUUUUUAUAUUCAUUCCUCGUUAUAACAUACUUUCUUUUAAAGACAUAAUCAAUUAUAUGUUGAUUUCUCUCUUCAAAUUUUAGGUUAUAUUUUAUACUCUCAUUUUUGUGUAUAUACAUAUAAAGUAAAGUACAUUUUGGGUUUUGUGUCUCGGCGUACCGAAGAAGAGUUUGAAAGAUGGAAAGAAGAAAAGAGAGAAUAGAAAUAGGAUGACCUGGGUGAAGGCUUGAGGGUCGUGAGGGAAGACAUUGACGAUGGUGAAGUUGGCAUAGGAAAUUGGGUGUUCCAACGCGCAGCAACUGUUCGACGAAAGGACUGAUAAGAGAAGGAUGAGGGAGAGAAGAAGAGGAGCAGCCAUGGAAGGUGUGAGACUGUGGUGAAAGCGUGAAAGAAGAACGCAUUUAAGGAGUUACAUGAUUGGUGCUAAUCCUAUCUCAUACACCUCACAAGUGUAAAAUGUCGGUGUUUCGUCGAAACAAUUCUUACCCGUUGGUACGCACGUUUUUUUAUCUGUAUUGUUUAUAUCAAUUUAUUACAUUAAAAAAUAUUCAUACUUUAUUUAUUAUAUUAUUAAUAAAAUAUUUUUAUAAUUAACUUUUUAUAUUAUUAUUGAUUUUAAUUUUAUUUUAUUAAUAUCAUAUUUUAAAUGAUUAUAUAUAUAUAUAUAUAUAUAUAUAUAUAUAUAUAUUAUAUUAUUGUUAGCCAUAAAAAUUCUUUUAUAUCUUAAUAUUUGAGAAAAAUCAUAAGCUCGUAUGUUUACUUCAUUCUCAAACUAAUGAAAGUAAGUUAAUAUACUAUAAGAAAUUUUUAAUUUACUUAUUGAUUAUUAUAUACAAAUAAAAAUAUGUAGAUAAGUUUUUCAUUAUAUACAGAAAUUUAUUGACGAAUUUAAAUACCUAUUAAUAUGUACAGAUUUUUGCCAAAAUCAAUUACCUAAGGAUUAAAUUUGUGGGUAAAUUUGAUAUUUUGAGGCAGAAACACUUAAAUUUUUUCAGUAAACCUAACUAAUGAAAUAAAAUCUCUAAUUUUCGACUUUCGUGUUAGUUACAAGGGCUUCUCAGUUUUGAUUUUUACUCUUACUAAUUUAUUUAUAAAUUUUUGUCCAUAGAUAAUUCUUAAAUAAAAUUGUUUUACCAACAAAUCUUAAAACUUAUCUACAUAUUUUUGUUGUAAAUAAUAAUAUUUUAUUCUCGUAAUGAUAUAAUUACCAUAAAAAAAAACCAAGUAAAGACAAUAUAUAUAUAUAUAUAUAUAUAUAUAUAUAUAUAUAUAUAUAUAUAUAUUAUUAAAAAAUUCAGAAACAUGAAAUUUCUAAAAAUUCAAAUAUCCCAAAAUGUAUUGAAAGAUAAUUAGUAUAAAUAUAUACUAUAUUUUAGAUCAAAAUUCUUAAUCAUGUUAUAUAAACGCAAGCACAAAUUACAUUACUAGAAAGUUAGCACAUUAGAAGCUGAAUUAAUAUAGUAGUUGAAUGAAUAAUAUAAGAUCGUAAAACAAAAUAAUCUCAUUAAAAUAUUUAAAUCGAUCUAUGUCUAAAAACAAUGAAAAAACCCCAAAUUAUAUUCAAACACAGUUGCUAUUCAAACUCAUAAAAUGUGCUUAGUAUAAAAUGUCUCAAUAAAAAUAAGAAUAAGAAUGUAUAUAUGCACUCAAGACAUGGUUAGCACAUUAGUUGGCCAAUGAUUAGAUACAAAUUUAGUGAAACAAAAUAAUUAUUGUAAUGCAUAAUCUGUAUUAUAAAAAAUUUGAAAUGAAUAUAGCAUCAUAUAGAUCUUGGUAAAACUAUACAUGUGAAAGCAAAGUAGUUUUUACUUUUUCCUUCAAUCUUACAAACAUCCAAGACCUACAAUAAAAAAAAAAAAGGAUUUGUGUGAAAAAACCAAAAAACAAAAAGCAGUCACAUUUCUCAAUCAAAAUUUAAAAUAAAAAACAAAAACUAAAACAAUUUUGGUAAAAGGGAAGGUGGCUAAACCAAAAAUUGCCUCUUACUUACAAGAUAGAAGGAAGAAGAGAAAAGGUAAAAAAAGUGAAGUGUGGGGGAAAAGAAGAAAAAAAAAAUCAAACCAUAAUAUUUAUCAUUAAACAAUUAUUAAUAAUCAAAAUUCAUUAAUAAUUAUUAAUGAAUUUUUAUCGGUGAAAAUGUUAAUGAAUUUUUAUCCGUGGAUAAAAAUUGAUAGUUUUAGUUUGAAGCAUUAUAAAACAAAAUAAUAUUCUAUUACUGUGAUUUAUUAUCACUAAUUUUAUUUUGUGACUUUCUUCCGUAACUUUAACUAUAAUGUGAAAUGUAUGUUAAAUUAUCUUUAAUUACAGAGAAAUUCAUCGAGCAUUAACAGUUUCAACACAAAAAUCAGAGAAAAAAAAAUAAAACUCAAUUUCAGUCCAAUAGUGAUGGCAGUGGUCCCAUGCAGAAGCAGGAUUCCUCGUUUUUUGUCUUUUCUUGUUCAUGCACCUAACUUUCUUCUUCGUUUAUCUCAUUUUUUAGACAUGUGUUUUUCUAUUAUCACACCGCAUCUAUCUUACGUCUUUUCUACGCAAAUUUUUCCCACACAAUAUUCAUGGAAUGAAAUUUAUAUCUCAACAAAAAAAAAUCAAUAUAUUUGGUGGUUUGGGAUCUUUGUUUCCCAUUUUUUUUAAUGUAACUAUUUAACGUGUAUGCUACUAAUAUUAAUAUUAGAUUCGUUAUUUUUAUUUAAAAUUUCUCGACAGAAUUAGAAGUAUUUUUUCUUGUACUUGUUAUUUUCUUAUGAAAUGUUUUAUUUUGUCUUUUAUAAUGUUUAUUGUUGGAGGUUCUAUAUCGACUAGAGAUAAGACUAAAUUUUAAUAUAUAUAUAUAUAUAUAUAUAUAUAUAUAUAUAAAAGUGAGGUGUAAACCUUAUCUUACAAGUCAGUUUUGUGAAAUUGAGUUAGAUCUAAACUCACUUUAUAAUAUUUAUUUUGAAGUAACAUUGUCUUCUCUUUCAUUUCUUUUUUAUAUUAUUUAUUGUGCAGAUUACUAUAUUUUUCUAACUUUUUUAGCUAAACGUAUUUGAAUAUAAUUAAUUUAAUUUUUCAAUAAUAUUUUAUUUUAUAAUUAUUAUUUUAAAGCUAUAAAUUACUUAGAUGGAAUGACUUUAUUACUUUUCAUUUUAUAUUGAUCUAAAAAUUACAUAAUUAUUACUGUUAGUAUUCGUUAGUUAUUUAGGAAUUGCCAAGAUUUUAUUUAAGAAGAAAGGUUUAUGUAGUCGCUAUGCAGUCAAGGUAUAAUCUUUCUUGGUUUACAUUGCAACACUUAUGAAUGUAUCUUAUAAAUACAAACAAAGUCCCACAUCGAAUAAAAGAAAAAACAGAUAUAGGUUUAUAUACAUACAGAUACAUUCAUUAGUAAGGCCUCUGUGAGGGUUUGACCCAAAGUGGUUGGAUGUCCACUUCGGGUCAAAACUCUCACGCCUUUUUGUGUCUCAUUUUCAUUUGCAUUUCAUAUCUUUUCGCUUAUUAAUAUGUAUAUAAAUUCGUAUGUAAUUAUAUAAAAAAAAAAUCCAUUUAUAACUUUAUGACUAGUGAUCAAACUCAAUUGUCAAAUACUAUGAAUUUAAGAGUUUCAUACAGUUCUUAAGAAUCAAACAUAAUUGUCAAAUUACUACUAGAAAUUAAACUAAUCAAAAGAAAUCAAUAUGGUUGUUAAACUACCAUACAUGAUACAAUAAAGAAGUUUAGAAAAUUACAAUUGAUUAUCCACUUAUAGGAUAUACCAUCAGUAAUUUUCAUGAUAUCCCAAGUUUUUCAUAUGCAUUCACCAAUACAUAUAAAACAAAAAUGCAAUAAAAACAAUAAUUUUCAUCCAAGUUAGCCAAGAAAAUGGAGCAGAAUGACUAAAUAACAUCCCUCCAAACCUCCUUACACAAGCCUGCUUAGAAAGGUAGUAGAACACUGACUGUUGCAACCCUCUUUACUGUCUUUGAUUUCACAAUUGUUUUUAGACUAUGUAGUGCUCCUUCAAUGGCCCUUUUGGUCACAACUUCUUCAGGAUCGUUCACUGUAAAAUCAAUUAGUGUAGUAGUGUCAAAAAUCUCAUCACAUCCUUCAAACAAUUAUAAAAAAUUGGAUACACAAUUCAAUUUAAAGAAAAAAAAAAUCAAAGGACAUACUCAAAACUUAUCUCAAGUUCCAUAAAAUCCACUCUAAUCACAAAAGCUCAUGACCCCUGUAUGCCCUCAAAUACGAAUCAACUAUAUAUCUGAGUCCUACAAUUUCGUUUGUCUUAUAAUUAAGCAAGAAAUGGAGACCAAAAAGUUAUACUUUUAGUUAUAUAGAUCCAUUCACAAUGCAUAAAAGAUAUAGAUCCCACGUAUGUAAGGAAUUCUACUACGCAAAGACAAGCGGUAUUCCCACAACACAUGUUAUCACUUUCACAUAAAUGGACAAAAUGCAAUUAAGCAUAUUCUAUCAUACAUAUUUUAAUUGAAGAAUUAAUUGAAAGCAAUCAUGCCUUAAAAGUGAGUAUUAUAUCAUGUAAUUCUAUUAAAAAGUCAAAUCCAAUUCAGACCUGUUGCAAUGCUUUAAAAGAAAAUGUACAAAAAUAUUCAUAAGGAUCAAAUAGGAAUCCAUGAAUCACUCAUACUAUAAUAUAAAAUCAUGAUUUAAUGGCCAAAUGUAGUACCUAAUUAGGCAUUAAUUCUUCUGGUAAGUAAAGGCAUUAAAACUUACAAUCUCCUAUAAUAUAUCUUAAAAUUUAAUUAGCGUAAAUUGUUAAACAUAUUUUAAAAUAUAUUGUAAUAAUAUUAAAUGUACUUUAUUAAUUUAGUUAAAAUUUAGUCUAAAUAUAAUUUUUUUUGUAAAAUUCAUAUUAGAUGAGUUAGUUAAAUUGAUCUAAUUAAAAGUUAAUGAUGUCAUAUCGAAACAAAAACAGCACAAAAUCAAUACAAAAAAUCAUCUUGAACAAGGAUUUUAAAAUUUAAUAUAAAAGGUGUUAAAUACUAAACAAUCGCAUUUAAUAUGUUGUACUGAAUUAUAUUUUUAUGUCUGAUAUGGUAUACUGAAUUAGAUUUUUAUUUCUGAUAUAAAUGUUAAAGGAUCUUUUAAAUAACGUUUUAUUUUAGAUUUUAAUGUCAUAAAGUUAUAAUAUUCUAUUUACUUGAUACUAAUUACUUCCGGAUAUAGCUAUUGAUAUAAUAUUUUAUCCAAAAAGAAAGUAAAAAAUAAAUGUAGGUAAAUAUCUACAAUGACAAUUGGGCUAUAAUGUAUUUUUUUAUCCAUAAAAUGUUUAAAAUAUAUAUAUAUAUAUAUAUAUAUAUAUAUAUAUAUAUAUAUAUAUAUAUAUAUAUAUAUAUAUAUAAAUGUUAGCUUGUACACUCUUCAAAGAAUUUUUCUACGAUGCAAGACUGGUUCAUUAUAAAAUAACAAUGUUUUGAAAUACUCCAACACACUUUAAUCAGGUUUUGAAAUCCUAGAUUACAAUACUAUAAGGAAUUAAGGACUCUGACAUAACUCUUGCAAGAGCAGCUAUAUCACUUCUAUCUACAAAUGGGGCAGCACCUAUAUAAAGAAAGUUUGGUUUUAUUAAAUAUCCAUCACUUUUCGGUAAAGACCCUGUGAAUGAUUCUCUCCCAUUAUACAAAAGUGAAAAUCAUAUAUAUGCCAAAUUUAAAUCUCGCCAGAUGCUCACUUGUUCAUCUCUUUCAUGCCGCUUCUCUUUGACUCAUGGUGACUCUAUACCUAAGCCAACGUCACCCCCUUCUGCAUCUUCGUAACAGACGGUGUUUGCACCUUGGUCUAUGUCGCCUUCUCUAACGUCCAGAUACUAAAGUAAAAACUUGAAUUAAAGUAGUACUCAAAAAAAUGAGUGCACUUGUGGAUUUAAAAAGAGAAAAGGAAACAUAAGAGGCAUUUUUAAGGGCCAUAUGAAAAAUGAAAAAAGAAUAGAAAGCACCUCGAAUAUGAUUGUGGUUUUCACCUCAUCUAAAGUUCGGUGAGGGGGUUUCAAACGAAAUUGAUGAUAGUUUCUUUGCUACAAGGAAAGAAGCAGAAAGAAGCAAGGGUGUGAGAUGGGAGACAUGUAAGAGUUUCUUCUAUUUGAGGAGAAGGAAGAAGAAAGGGUUUAUGGGGUUUCUUUCAUUCGAAACGAAGGAAGAAGGAAGGGUGAGUAAGGGAGGGUUGAUCAGGGAUUCUUCUUUUUCAAAGUUAGAAAAAGCUCAAGGUUUUUUUCAAAGUCUAUGUAAAUAAUUUAAUUUUCUUUAAUUAUUAAUUAAUUAAAAAUCUGUAUAUAAUAUCUCAUGUAAUUACAUUUUCAUUUAUAUACGGAUUUUACAUAAGAAUAUAUUAUUGGAAAUGUUUUCGUCAAAACACGUCAAGUUAUAUACGGAUUUUACAUACGGAUAAUCCGUAUAUGAAUUUUUUUACAUUACAUACGAAAAAAUUCGUAUGUAAUUAAUCUGUAUGUAAUAUUUGUAUGUAACAUGUCCAUUACAUAUGGAUCAAAAUCCGUACGUAAUAAUUCGUAUAUAAAACGCAAUUUUUUUGUAGCGUUUUUCUUCUCUGCCUUACUUUAAUUUGUCGCUAACCUUUGUCGGUUCCCCUUUGCUCGCAGUUCUUGUUUUCACUAGAUGUCGUUAUUGGUUCUCAUUCUCGUUGGUUCCCUUUCUAGUUACAGAAGCUUGGUCGUGUUGUGGUGGCGUUGGUAGUGUUGUGACACAUUCUCUCCUUCAUCUCACGCUCAAGCUCCCAUGUUAGCUUUGCUUGUGCUGCAAUGCCUCACUCGUGUUUAGGGUUGUAGUGGAUGAUACAUUUCCUUAUUUUUGUCAAAUUGUUAUUGUCAUUGUGUGGUGGCUCACUGAUAUUGCGUUGUUGCUCUCAUUUAGGGUUUUUUGUCAUUAUUGGUAAGUUUUGAUCAAUAUUUAUUGUUGAGGAUGUUGAGUUUACUAGUAUUUACUGUUACAUUACAUUUCUUAUGAGGAAAAUUAGAUAUUGUGAGAUUCUCCAUUUCUUAGAGCUUUACGUGUAUGUGCUAUUGCAUUCAAUUUAUGUGAUUACCCUUCUAUCUUAUAGCUAAUGAGAAAACAGUGAUGCACAUGUGAUCAAUGAGUUUGAAUCCAUGCAAAUAGUGAGGCUGCAAGUGAUGUACAUGCUUUGAAUAUAUUCAAUACGUUAUUCUAACAUUAUUCAUUUUCAAUGUUUAAGGUAUUCGCAUCGUAUGAGCGUUAAGAGCAAGAAGGAUCACAUAUAUGGAUUUAUUGACCCUGAUGUCAUUUAGGCAAUUGGGAAUAAAGGUCAAAAGGUGCAAAAAAUACCUAUUAGAGACCUUUGAAAACGAAAAAAAAAAAAAAAGUCUACUUAGCACAUUAUUUGCAACAAUAAGUAUGUUUUUUUAUAAAUUAAAUUUUAUUUAUGUAAAUCUUAUUUGACACUAAUAUUGUUUGAAUCUACAAAAGUCACUGAUAAUUGCUAGUUAUUCUUCCUCAACAGUCUCUUGUGGUAUUCUUAUGUUCAUUACACAAGAAACCUAAUACAUUGACAAUUAAAUACGUAAGCUUUUUAAUAAUUUAUUUUUUGUGUACACAUAAUUUAAUUUUACUAAGUUUCAUACUAGGCAUAAAUUUCAAUGUACAUUUAACUUUUACAGAGUGGUUGAGGCUUAUUCAAAGUUGUAGGAAGAACAUUUCGUCUCUCGAAAGAAGUUGCAAUUCAUUGCAACAACUAUAAGUAUUUAAUCUUAUAUAAUAUUGAAUUACAAUUAUAAAAAUAUGAUAUUCUAUGAAUUUAACUUGCACUGCUCGUGUCAACCGAGGAGCUUUGAGUGUGAAUAUUAUGUCAUGAGACACAUGUAGAAAAUCAUAUCCACAAGUGUUGUUGAUUCAAGGAAUUUGGUAAUGUGAACAUUUUAUAGCUAACAUCUUAAGUAUUUACCACUAUAAGUUGAUUCAAAUUAUUCAUUUUUUUUAGUUUUUGUGUACAUAUUAGAAGUAUUCAUUGUUUGAUCAGGUUAGGAAGUAUUAUUUGAUGUGUAAAUAAUAGGAAGUAUUAUUUUAUUCCUUUUAUAUGUUAUUCAGACAGUUUUGAACUAUUGUGGCAUGAAUUUUAUGCAGAUUUGUAUGUGGUAGGUAACACAUACAAACCUACAAUUAAAAAAAUGAGAGAUUUUUUAUACCAGUUAAUGCUUAAAUCGGUAUAAAAAGUGACAUUUUUAUGCCGGUUAAAUAUCUAAUUGAUAUAAAAAAUGAGUCUUUUUAUACUGAUUGAGGCCUUAAUCGGUGUAAAAGGCAAAACUUAUUAUACUGUUAAUGCUUCAACUGAUAUAGAAUGUCAAACCUUUUAUACCGAUGAAUUAACUCACUAGUAUGAAAAAUCUUGAUCAUAUACAAAUUUAUCUCUCUCCCUUUCGAUACCACUUGCAUAAUCGAUAUAAAAAGUUGAAUACUUUUUAUAUCCUCUAUUUCUAUACCAGUUUGAAAACCGGUAUGAAAAGUUAUUUUUAAUCAUUAUAAAAAGGUUUUUACGCAAUAGUUAUGGUUAACUAACUUUUAUAAUGUUAAGAAAUAAACUUUGAGUCUGGCUUAAUCUUUCAAAACUAAUAUGUAAGAUGAGUUUGCACCCAUUUAUACAUUAUAAAUUAAGAUAUUAAAGGGUAGUCCGGUAGAGGUCCAAGUAGAAUAAUAGACCCAAGAAACAAUAAAUUUUGUUAGGAUAAGUUAUAACACAUUAUUAUGAUACCAUGUUAAGGAGGGUUUUAUACCUAUUUAUAUAUUGUGAAUUAUUUUAUUUCUAAUUGAUAUGAAACUUCCAACCAUAACUUAAUUAACCAGUCAUUUUCAUCAACAAAUACAAAGUCAAUUACAUGUUUUUCCAGAAAGAAUAAUCUAUUAGAUUAAUUGUAUGACGAUUAUGGUUUCUUCUCAUAGUCAUUCUUUACAAGCUACAUGAUAUGAAAUUGAUAAAUAUUGAACACACUCGUUUCUAAAAUAUAAAAUCCCUCUAUUUGAAUGAUAAGGAUUUAGAAAUAACCCUUUUAAAUAUAUUGAUGUUGUUAACACACUUUUAGAAACAUGUUAAGAAUUGACAUAAUUUAAAGUGGCGAGCACAAUACUUUUAAGCACAAUAAUUGUCUAUAUUAAGUUUCUUCAUCGCUUAGACCUGUCAAUUUGUUUUCCCUCACAUGGUUUGGUCCUGACUCACAUGGGUUAGGAUCAGAAAAAUUUAGGUUAAAAGCUCUUUUUGGUCCCAGUUUUGGUUGGGAAAAUUCGAAAUGGUCCCUGUGUUUAUUUUGUGUUCAAUUUCGUCCCAAAGAACGAAUUUUGUGUUCAAUUAAGUCCUUUUCAGUAACUCCGUUAAAAUUCUUAACGGCAACGUGUCUAGAUGUGCAACUGCUAACUGAGGUGUCAUUUCUUUGCUGACUAGGAGUCCUUUUCAGUUGGAAUUAGGAUUUUUUUAAAUUGAAUUUGUAAUUAAGGUUGUUAUUCUGGUAAUAAAAUUAAAGUUAAGUAUUUGGGAGGGAAACUUGUGAAACUUGCGAGAUUGAGAAGUGGUUGAAUUUGGGAAGAACAACUUGUGAAAGUUGAGAAGAACAACUUUGGGCUUCCACACCAGUAACGUGCUUUUCUAAGUGGAAGCAACCAUCUUUGUGAAAUCAGAUCUGCGAAAUAAGGUUUGUGUUCGUGUUCCUUCCUUUGUAGCAUAUAAAUUUCUAGGUUUUGUUGCUGAAGACUGUAAAACCCAAAAAGAAUUUGUUUCAGUGUUAGAUUUUGGAAAAGUUACAAAUUUUGUAACAAUUUUUGAAAUUUAUAUAGGGCAUUGUUGUGUAACGUAUGAUAAGUGGUUGGUAUUGGUGGAUUUUUGAGUUUGAUAUAGUGGUCACAUGUUAACAGUUACUUUUAGCAUUUCUAUAGUGGUCACAUGCCCAUAACAGUUACUUUUGUAGGGUUGCUUUUGAGAUGUCUAAGGAGAGGUUUAAUGUUGUGGUCCACCAUGGUGGGACCCUAGUAUGUCAAUAUCCUAUUGAAUAUGUUGGUGGGGAAAAGACAUAUUGGAGUGUGGACCCUGACAAAUGGAGUUAUUUCGAAGCAGUAGAUGCGGUUAAAGAAUUGGGGUAUAUUAAUGUGAGAGACAUAUUUUAUUGCAUUGAUAAUAUGCUACUUAAGUUGGAUGAUGAUAAGAGUGCAAUGAACAUGGUAGGCAUUGCCAAACAGUUAGGGGAAGUUAAGGUGUAUGUGGUUCACGGUGUGGAUAAUGACCCAGAGUUGGUUGAAAUAGAACCAAGUGAACAACAACAAGACCAAGUUCUUUUGCUGUGUCAAGGAACUUUAGGUAGGGAAGGCUUGAAUGAUAACGUCCAUAAUGAGGAGGAGAAGGAAGUACACUUGGAUGACAUGGAUGGUGAACAGAGGGAAGUGCACGUGGAGGACGAAGUUCACGUUGAAGAAGUACAUUUGGAGGAGGAGGACAUGGAUGAUGUGGAGGUGCAUGUGGAGGAAGAAGUACACGUUGAAGAUUAUACUUCAAGUGUGUCUGAUGAUUCAGGGGAUGUGCAUAGUCUUGAAGGAGAAGAGCAUGAAGCACAGCGGGAUGUUGAUGAAGGAGAAGGGGGUGAAGGAUUAGUGGAUGUUGAUGUUAAUGUUGAUGAAGUACUUAGGGACAAUAUAGAAGGGGCUGUAUCAGUGGAAGUUAGUGAAAAUGAAGAAAGUGGAAGUGAGGAUUCAGUUGAUAUUGCACAUAGCGAGAAGAACCCAUAUGAUAGAGGGUUGUCUGGUGAUGAGUGGGAGUCAGAGUUUUUGGCCAGUCCAGAUGAAAGUGGAAGUGAGGAUGAAAGCCAAAGUUGUGGUCCAUUUGGGACCUUUGUUAUGCAAAAGAGUAUGUCUGAAUACAAGUGGGAAGUGGGAACAAAAUUUAGGGAUAAAAAUGAGUUUAUGGAGGCUGUUCGAAGUUAUGCAGUCCAUGGUGGGAGAGAUUUGAAGUUUAUUAAGAAUGAUAAUAGACGGGUACGAGUGAGAUGUUUGGGUGCCCAAAAGAGUUGUCCUUGGAUGGCUUAUUGUGGGUAUAUGGAAGGAUGUAGUACAUGGCAAUUGAGAACAGUAGUGGAUAACCAUAGUUACAGUAGGCAAUUCAACAUUAAAAUGAUGAAUGCUAAGUGGUUGAGUGAGACAUUGGAUAAUUCACUGCAACAAAAUCCGAAUUUGAAGAUAAAUGAAAUACGCUCAAAAGCUUUGAGGAAAUGGAAUACGAAUGUCACACUUUCUAAAGCUCGUAGGGCAAAGAUAAUGGCACCUGAGAAACUUGAAAGUAGUUUCAAAAAUCAGUUCAAAAGAAUUCAUGAUUAUGCACAUGAAUUAUUGAAAUGUAACCCUGGUUCAAUAGUACAAGUUAAAGUGGAUAGUGGAAAUGGUCAGUCAGUUUUUCAGAGAUUCUAUGUUUGUUUGAAAGCUUGCAAGGUUAGCUUCGUGUGUUGUAGGCCAUUUAUUGGUUUGGAUGGAUGUUUUCUGAAAGGGUUGUAUAAGGGGGAGUUAUUAACAGCUAUUGGGAGAGAUCCUAAUGACCAGAUGUUACCUCUGGCAUACGCAAUUGUGGAAGUAGAGAACAAAGAUAGUUGGACAUGGUUUCUAGAGUUGUUGUUAGAAGACCUUGGGGUCCUGAAGUUGGCAAUGCAUGCACUUUUAUGUCUGAUCAACAAAAGGUACAUGCAAUUUUCUGUUCUGUUUCAUAAUAAUAAUUGUAUCAGUCAUAUUGUAUUUGGUUCCUAUUUGUAAUUAAAAUGUUCAAAUUGGUCCCUAUUUUAGAUUAUACUGUUCAAUUUUGUCUCUGUUACAAAUAGGGUUUGCUGCCAACUAUUGAACAACUUUUACCUAAGGCAAAGCAUAGAUUUUUCAUGCGACACAUGUAUGCAAAUUUUAGGAAAAAGUUCCCUGGCCAAAAGUUGAAGAAUCUAAUGUGGAAAGCUGCUGCAAGUACAUAUCCCCAAGCUUGGGAAAAAGAGAUGUUAAAUAUGAAGGAAGUGAAUGAAGAGGCUUACAAAUAUCUAAUUGUUAUCCCGCCAAGGUAUUAUUUAUUCAUUAUGAAUACAUUGAUCACUUGUAUUGUGCAUAUAACAAUGAUUUUUAUUUCUUGUAAUAGAUAUUGGUCAAGAUCUAGAUUUACAGGUAGGUCAGUUUGUGAUACACUAACCAAUAACAUGAGUGAAGGUUUUAAUAGUGUGAUUGUUGAGGCACGAGGAAAGCCCAUUAUAACCAUGCUUGAAGAAAUUAGAGUUUUCCUCAUGAAAAGAUGGACAACCAAUAGAAUAAAAACAUGUAAUAUGGACUUUGAUAUCUGCCCCAAGAUUAGAAAGAGACUUACAAAAGAGUCCAAUUUAUCGAAAAAUUGGAUCCCAAGGUAUGCAUUUCAUUUCAAUCUGAUGGUAGUCUGAUUGUGAUUAAAAUUGUGUUAUUGAUCAAAUAUUUCUGAACUUCUAUUCAUUUAUGCCUUAAUGACAGUUGGUCUGCAGAAAAAAUCUUUGAAGUUAGGCAUUAUGCACAAAUUACAAACAAGUUUGCAAUUAACCUGGACAACCAAGAUUGUACGUGCAGGAAAUGGCUUCUUACUGGGAUCCCUUGUUGCCAUGCAAUUGCAAUGAAGUUCCUAAAUUUAGAUCCAGAAAAUUAUGUACCCAUUUGGUUCAGACGGUCAACGUAUGAAGAAGCAUAUGCCUCCAUCAUAUUUCCAGUGAACGACCACCUGUUAUGGGAAAGAACACCCUACGUAGACGUCCUCCCACCAUUCAACAGAAAAUUACCUGACAGACCAAAGAAGAAAAGAAGGUUGGAGCAAUGGGAGCUAAGGAGGGAUGAGACCCAGAUGACCAAAGGUGGCCACCGCAAGAAAUGUAGUAUUUGUCGUCAAGUUGGACAUAAGAGAAAUAAAUGCCCUACUCAACAUCAAGCAGACCUACCAGGACCAUCCCAACCACCACCCCAACAACCAACUAAGGAAAUUACACAAUCAUCCCAACCACCACCCCAACAACCAACUAAGAAAAUUACACAACCAUCCCAACCACCAGCUGAGGAAAUGACACAACAAUCUGAACCACCACCAAUCAGACCCGACAAGUUACCAAUUAGAAGACAACGUGCUUUAUAAUGUUAUAAACUUGUACUUUUUUUUUUGGAAUUGGUCAGUUGUGUGGUAAACAUUAGCCACUGGAUAUGUUUUAGAUGUGCUUUAAAUUUGUUUUGGUGUCAAACAUUAAGCACUUAAUUUGUUGGAAUUGGUCACUUGAUAUGCAUGUAAUGAUUACCUUGGUUCUGUUUAUGCAAAGUUAUCAUUUUAAUGCUUUAUACAAUUUGAAUCAUGUUGUGUUUUAUUGCUUUAUCAACACAUCAGUCGUCAACAUAGGGACCACAUUUAUAACUGAUAAACAAAAACUAGGACUAAAUUGAACAAUUACUUACUAAAUAAUUAAAAUUUCAUUCCUUCAUUUAGUACAAAAAAAUAGCCACAACCUAAACAUCACAACAUUUCAACUCCAUUGACCUUAAAUCACUACGUUCAACCACAUUGGGACCACCUCUUCAAACAUCAUCACUUCAACCAAAAUACACAAAACAUAAGUAUGUUAACUACACUAACAAAACCAGUCACUGCUACUAAUAAUUGGAUCUUUUUCUUCAAAGCUUUGAGUGCGCUUUCCAGAUCAUAAAUCUUCCCACUUUGUCUCCCAAUAAUAACAUCCCUUUCGUCAUCAUUUUCUUUACUGCACCACUUGAAAUAGUUGCAACACAUCGCAUUACCAGUUUCGCUCUAUUAUUCAUCAACAAGAAAAACAUCAAACACAAUGUUAAUUACUAACACAUAAAGAACGUAGGGUUUAUAUUCACAUUACCUUGUAGUUUCGACAACCCCAAAAAUAUCUUCCCGCAUUCUUUGGAGUUCUAGCCAUUUUUACUAUUGUCAUCUCAUUUGCAAAUGGGGAUUAUCCCUAGCCCCAUUGAACCACCCCCAGGUGAAUAAUGAGAAGUACGACGGCCCAAGCUAUUCCAACAAGAUGAAGAAGAAUGGGAAGCAGACAUGGCUCAUUAACUAAGGCAAGAAGGUUGGGAAAUAAAAACCCUAAUUUAGAAUCCACCCUCUUCAAUUUAUUCCCAAAAUAAUAACCCUGAUUAAGAAAUACAAUUUAAAAAAUUCUAACGGCUACUGAAAAGGACUCCCAGUCAGCAAAGAAAUGACACCUCAGUUAGCAGUUGCACAUCUGGACACGUUGCCGUUAAGAAUUUUAACGGAGUUACUGAAAAUGACUUAAUUGAACACAAAAUAAACACAGGGACCAUUUCGAAUUUUCCCCACCAAAACUGGGACCAAAAAAAGCUUUUAACCAAAAAUUUACAAUGCCAAAAAGCUCCUCUUUAAAAAAGUCAUGAGGUCAAAAUAUCCACAAAAGUCUUGUGGGUCAGGAUCAACCCAUAUGGAUAUUCUUUUUAAGAAAAAUUUUCAUUUUGAAUACAGGACAAAAUGAUAUUAACUCUUGAUCUGCUACAAAUCUAAGUCCUUUUAAUUAUUCAAAGAAUUAUAUACAAACAUUUUAAUCAGACUAAUAGUAUUUGUAAGAAGUUUUAAUAAACUCGGUUGCUUACUUAUAUACAAAAAUUACACAACAACAUAGGAUGUUGAAAUCCUCGAUUAACUAAAUAUAUUUAAUUUUUCUUGACUAGUUAAACAUAUUUUUAAGAUAUAUAAGAUAAUCAUCUAAUUUUGUUGUGUAAAAAAAUCAUCUAAAUCUGAACUAAAACUAAAUAAGACAUCUCAAUUUAAAAGAUUAAAAUCAUAAAUUUAUAAAUAAUAAGCUUAUGAAUUUUUUUAUAUAUUUUUUUAAUUUUUUAAUGUAUGACUUAAAUUUAUACUUUAAUUCUACCAAUUAUUUAUUUCUCUGUUACUCAUAAACAGUUUCCUUAAGUUAUCAAUAUCUUUAAUCAAUAUCUUAAUUUAUUAAUUGUUUAUUUACCCAAACCAUUAGCCUAAUAACUAUAACUUUAAUCGUGACCCAAUUUAAAGGAUGGUCCAAACGGUAUUAAACUAUAAGAUACCAUUCAUACAGUUUCCUUCUCUAAGAAAUCGAUAAAAUUAAUAAAUAAUAUAGUUAAUUCUAUUAAAUCAAUUAAUCUAUUAUAACUUAAUUCUUUUAUAUAACUUAAAUCAAUGUUAUAGUAUGUGUAUGAAUAAUAUAGUUUAAAAUAACAUCCUUUUCUUUUAUAUAUCUUUUAUUUAUUUCCCCGUCUCUUAAAUAUGAUAUAUGAUAUUCGAUAAAUUUUACAGUAUAAUUCGAAGACUCAUUUAUAUAAAAGUUUAUUCAUCAGCAUACCAAUCAUCAUCUUAAUUUCCAGCUUUUACAUCUACGAACCAAAUGUAAAUUCUAAUUACAUGGAGCAUCUUGUCUGCAUAGGAUGGCAAAAACAACCCCAAGGUCAAGAAAAAAAAAAAGAAAAAAGCGAAUGGAGUGUCAAUGUCAAUAUCUAAUAACAAACUAACACAGAAUGACUCAACCAGAACAAUAACUUAUGCAUACUAUAUAUUAUCAUAGUGAACAUCACAAGGUAAAUGGGUAUUUGAAUUUGUCACACGGUAAGACAAUACAUAUAUCAGGUAAAUCACAUCAUACUUUCACCAACCAAACAAUGUAAAGUGAUAGACAUAUGAAGCUAUUUUCUCCUGUCCAACAAUAAUCUCCAUGUCGGAACAGGAUUCAAGUGAGCUCGCAGCGUAAUGAUGCUCAAAGCUUACAAUAUAGUACAGCACUGAUUGGUUUUCUUGGCUUGUUUAUAGAACAUCUGUUUCAAACGCCAACAUCAGAUUGAAUCAGUAAAACGAACUAGAGGAAAAAAUAAUGCAUUCAUGAUUAACACAGUUAUCUUCUAAGGAUAAACCAAACAUAGUGCUUUCAAAUGCAUAAAGAAAUCAUAUUCUAUGCAAAUGAAAUAACCAUAUAGCUCACAUAUUCAUAUUAAGUUCAAAAAAACACCAUUUUUACAUCAAUUUAAACUCUGAAAUUAAACUAAUUGAUAUCUUAAUAUUCAAAGGAUGAAAAUGGCCACUUUUCUCUCUUUCAGAAACCAAUGUUACAUCUCAAAUCUUUAGGCACCAAAAUGGUGUUUCAUUCAAUAAUUAAAUAGCAAACAAGUAACUAAAAAGAAAUUAUUGAAAUAAUUACAAGCAUAAAUCUUGGACCAAGCCUUAUAAGUUUACUACUUUGUAGAGUAUAUAUAUACUCUGCAAGAAAUUAUUGAAACAAAUGCGAAAAAGGAAAAAAUAAUUGAAGAACCUUUUGCAUUUUAAUUUUGUUCAGUUUCCUUAAGCUAAAAAGAUGAGAAAAAAAAUAUAUAUCAUCUAAAUAGACUGUAAAACUAUUCAAAAGAACAAGUGAAGAAAUAAAAUUUCAUCAAGAGAUUGUGCUAACUUAGGGUCUGGAUGAACUUCACAAGUACUUUCAAGAGAAAAAAUACCAAAGGAAAAUGAAAUAAGUUUCUCAAUUAAAUAAAAUUAGUUUAUUCAUAAAUUAAGAUGUACAAACUCUUCAGUAUUAGCUUCCCCAAAAUCUAUUUUUUUUAACUUUUGCACAAGGCUAAUUUUAUUCUAUGGAGAAGCUUAUUAUUUUAUUUUUCUUAUUUUGUUCCCAAACAGUGAGUAUGAAAAAUUUAUCCAGAACCUUAGUUACAAUAAGAAGAUAUUGAUUAUAAAAGUCAAUAAAACAUACCCUCACCAAGAGAUUAUAUUCUUCCUUCUAAAAUAAUACAGUAGCGAUGACACAAAUACCCACAAUUUUAUUAUACUAAAAUAACACAAUUUAAAAAAAAAAAAAAGAAACAAAACAAAAAAACGUAUAAUUUUGUAAAAGUGGUUUCGAAAGGAUUAUGUGGUAAAAUAAAUAUUUGUACGGCUACCAAUUUAUAUCUUUAUCAAAUAAUGACUUCUUUAUUGGUAAAUGAUAAAAUAGCCUAAUUAAAAAUAACACCAAAAACAAUUAAAAUAAAAGGUGUCCCCUUUAUAUAAUGGUAAAAUCACACUAGGCAGCAGUGACAACAGUGUUUUAAGACAAAAACGCACAUCCUAAGAAAUAUUUGGAACACCGUGACCUUGCCAAUAAUCUUAUUAGCAGCAUCCCUCAGUUUGCAACAAACAGAGCAGGCUGCACAUGUCAACCCACUGGCUUGUAUAGGCAUAUCCCCGCAUAACUCAAUCGGUUUUCUUAAUUAUCCAUAUAUGUAUAAAAUUGUCUGUAUGUUGAAUAUGACUAAAUAUUUAUAUUCACUAUUUCAUAAAAUAUUAGUACAUUUUUUGUUGAUAAUUGAUUGCACAAAAGGAUUUAUCAAUGCAUGGACGAGUUCAACUAUCAAGUUGUACUGUCAUCAAUUAUGAAUGAUUUGAACUUGCGUACACUAAUAUACUUAUAAGUCUAGAUUUUAUUUUGUAUUAUAAUUUAAUUUUUUUUUCACAGUAUGUAUUUUUAUUUACUUGCAAUAAAUAAAAAUCUUAAUUUUUAAAUUUUUCCUUUGACUGUUUUAAACAUCAUUUUAGUUGGCAGUAAACCCUCCUACAGAUUUGUACUUGGGAUCAAAAGUUGUCGAUGACCUUGUAGAAUUUAUUUAUUUUUUCGAAAGCACAUGCCAGCCUGCAGUUAUGUGGGAUGACGGAGGAAAAGUAGUCCGCAAGUAUGUAGAUAGACCCACUUUUAGCCUAUUCUUACCCCUAGGGAAAGCACAUUCUAAUGUACAUAGACUCAAAAAGCCAAAAGCACAGAUGUGUAUUGUAUAAAACAAAGUCCCAGACUGGCAUGUUAUUUAUUGCACAUCUUCCGUAUCAAUGCAUUUUGUAUCUAAUGGAAAAGCAUAUAUAAAAGUUUUGCACAGCAAGAAAAGAGAUUAAUCACAAAGCUACAUAAUACAUUUAUCAUGCACGCAUACUCAAUGAUGACCAUAAUCAUAUAGACAAGAGAUAAAAUAUGUCAGACAAUAAUAGAUGCCUGACUAUAUGUAGCAUUGCUGUACUAGUCCCAAAUGCAAAUUAGUGUAACAGGAGUUGUUUAGAUGUACCUGGGAUGCGGCACUCAGAUCAGAACUCUUCUCAACUAAACUGUCCAGCUUCUCCCCUCUAGCCAGCACACUAUCAAUAGUCUUAUGCUGUUCAUAAACAGAAAGCAAUCAUAUGGUCAAAGAAAUCUACACGCCAGAAAACUGGAGAAUCUAAACAAGCCUAUUGUGUAGGUAGAAACUAACAAAACCCCACAACCCACCUAGAAGGCCCAUCUCUCGGCUACCCAUUUAUAGUAACAUAACCAAGUAAUCAGGAAGAAAUAACUAACAGCAACUAAAUUAUUGAUGAACCACUGACAGACAUAAUGUAAAAUCCAGGGCAUCUUAUCACAAUGCUAGAAAGAGACAAAUUAGCGUUACUUCGUUGCAUUUGAGUUCAUUAAAAUGAUACUUAACUAACAUGCUGCUGGUAUUGUAAUCUAAACCUAAAUGUAUUUGGUUAAAAGUGCCAAUUUCUCAAACGAAUUUCAAACAAAAAAUACAGACAUAGCUAUAUAAUUGAACAACUACAUGACAAAAAUAUCUUAUGUAACUUUUGGAAGACAAUAGAUGCAGGGAAUCGGAAUACUGAUUUGCAAAUAUAAAUCAAUGUAUGCUUACAAGGAUGAUUUUUGUUUCAUCUAACUCUCUCUGGAUUUUCAACAAUUUGUCAGCCUCUGCAGGAUCCUGAUGAUUUGACAGGAACAGAUAAAGGGGGUUUGAGACAUAAGUAAUGGUGUAAAAAGGAUACCAAAAUGUAUCAAUUUAUUAAAGCGAAAAAAGAAAAAAAAAAUCAACGAGUCCUUUAGCUGCAGCUCACAAAAUAUAGACGAGGAAUUUACAUGCCUGGAAUUUUGUCAGAGCUUCAUUCAAAUAGGGCCAUGGUUGAGUACCGUCUUCCGUUACAGUUCUCCAUGACUCACCAAAAGCUUUUUGAUAUUCAUCUAUCACCUGCAUUUUUAUAGUUACAGUCAGCUCUUCCUAUAGAAUCUCCACAAAUUAAAUAAAUAAAACACAAACCCCUUACACAAUUAUAACAUCCUCAGAAUAGUUAUCAUGUCUCAUCCUAACAAAGGAAGUAGCAAAAAUCCGUCAAUAAAACAUAACGCUGAACACACACGCGAUGCUCUGACUCUCACCUGGUUUAGAAGAGAAAAGGCACUUCGAAUCGGGUAAUGAUCAUCCAUAAAUCCCAACGCACAAAGACCAUUUCUGUUAUAGGUGUGCACCUUAUACUCUGCAAUCAAAAAAGGAAAGAACAUGUUUCCAAUCAUUCACAAUUCGGCAAAAAAAAAAAAAAAAAAAUUAAAAUCGAACCCUCCAGAAAACCAAAGAAAUCACCGCAGAUCAAAGAACAGGGUUAUAUCACAUCGCCAAUUUUAAAAACUACGAUUUCUAUUACUCUGAAGGGGAGCAAAGAGGGAAAAAUAUGAUAAACGGAAUCCGGAUCAACAAAAACGACCGCGCAAUGACCCAAACGCGCGAUCGGUGUCGGUAAGCAACAAGGUGGGAAAAGAAAGAAACCCUAAAAACGGGAAUCUAAAGGACAAGAACCUUCGUGUUGUACAGAUUGGCGUUGGCCUUGAGGGGUGCGUUUGGCGACGGUACGACCGACAAAGACGAUGAACUCCCUGACGCUAUGGCGUUGAAAGUAGCCGAAGUGGCUAACGUCGGAAGCAUUCGCGAGAAUCACGGGAUCGGAACCUUCACCUGUGCAUUUAAGCACCAACAACGCUGUGAUCUUCAUCUUUUCUCUAUCUCUCGCUCUAGAUUUUCUCUCUCUCUAUCUCUGAAAAAUUGUAACACUACAACGAGAAAGAAAGACAGCAGAUCGGAAACAGAAAAAAUUGUUCUCUCUAUUAGAAAAAAUAUUGACGUGCGUAGUUGCAUAAUUUUAUUUAUAUAAUAACACCAACCAUAAUUAUAACUAUAAUUAUUAUUAUUAUUAUUAUUAUUUGUCUUUUUGCAAAGAAAUAUUUUGUUAUAAAAGUCAAAGAAAGCGUUAAUUUUCUUGAUUCUCGUUUUAUAGAGUAUCUAAAUAACAAAAUAUAAGGAAACGAGGAAAUAAUAUAACUAAAAGACAUUUUUAUUGCACUAAAAUCGGGAAUAUGAGUAAAAUAAUAGCAAAUGAAAUAAAGAAUAAAAAGUAUUUUUUAAUUGAUAUUGAGUGUUUAUGUUGGAAGCUUCAAAACUAAUCCAUUCAAUUUGGGCUUCUUCUUGCACCCUCGUUUUGAUUUCUUCCGACAAACCCAAAGUUUUUAUAAUGGCCAAAACACCCUUUUGAGUUUGACUAGGUUUGCGUCGUCGCACCUCCUUUCUGGUCCUGCACCUCUUUUUUCACUUUUUUUUUCCACCAUUACAAGCUCCGGAUUCUAGUAGCAUGUGACUUUCAUUGCGACCUACUUUGUUCUAGGCACAUCCUUUGGUUACUUCCUGCACCGUCAUUUUUGUCAUUCUCCAAUGAUUCUGCACCUCCUUUUUGCUUUUAAAGCAAAUAUUGUUUUAUCUCAGCAUUGAUGGGUUUGUAUUAUUUUUUUAAACGUGUUCUUGCCAAAAAAAAAAUUUAAUAUUUAUGAAGAUAACAUAUUAUAAUUUUGUAAGAAGUUAAAAUUCAGUUGGAAAAUAGAAUUCUAAUUUUUUAUUUUAAUAAUCUUUAUGAAGAGAUACGUUAGAAUUUAGUUUCUGAAAAAUUUAAUUCUUAUUUUAUUUUUUAGUAAUUUUUGCAAAAAUAAAGGUUGAAAAUUUUUAAUGAUUUUUAGAAAUUAUUAAAAGUUUUUUUUUGAAAAUUGUUAAAGGCUUAAAUGAUUUUAGAAAAUCGUGAAGGUUAUAUUAAUGAAUUUCAAAAAUGAUUUAACAUUUUUUUAAUUCUUUUUAAUUUUAAAUUAAUAAAUAAUUAAUUAUAAUUUUAUUUAUAAUUAAAAAUAAGUAAAUUAAUUAUUUAUUAAUUUUAAAUUAAAAACAAAUUUUAAAAGAAUAUGUUAAACAGUUUUUGAAAUUCGUUAAUAUAAUAUUUAAUAGUUUUCGAAAACUGUUAAAAGUUUAAACAGUUUUUACAAAUUGUUUAAGUCUAUAACAAUUUUCAAAAACCGAUCAAAUUUUGAAAUUAAUAUAAGUGUUUGUUGAAGUAAUCCACAAGCAAAACAACUGAGAAUAACGAUAACUAUAUGCUUGAUUUUCUAAUAUGAAAGCCAAGAAGGUUUAGUGUACGAAGAACGGUUGGGGUCAGAAGGAAGAAGAUGAAAGUUAUAUUAAAUUAUUUAAUAUAUAAUUAAGAGGGAAAAAUGGAAAAGAAAUGAAAAGUUAAGAACUAUAGAAAGAAAAUAAUGGGAUGCAGGAAUAAACCUAUCAAUUGAGAAAGAUGAUUAUUGAAGGUGUAUACAGUGGACAAAAUCGAAGGGUUAGAAGUUACAAACACAUAAUACGGUCACAUUAGCACCAUUUUUCUAAAAUAAUAUUUUUUUUUUAAAUCCUCAAAUAUAAUUGUUUACUCUAACGUUGAGAAUUUGGGUUUCGAAAAACCAAAUUCUUUAGAGAAAAAUAAUUUAAAAUAGAUAAUUAAAAAUACUGAGAUAAAAUUUUAAUUGUUUAAAGAGAAAAAUAAUUUAAAAGUAUAUUAAAUGUUUUAAACAUUUCUGUUAUACAUUUAUUGUUUUUCUGUUUAAGACAAUUGUUUCUAUAAACAAUAAUCUGAUUUCUAGGAUUUCUGUUUUAGGAGUUCUAUGACUUUAUGUUAGACAAUUAGAAAGUUUACAUUUUGUAAUUACUGGAACUCGAACCCUAUAUAAGGGAUUCUAACUUUUGUAAUAAAAUACAACAUUUUUCUUUUUCUCUUUAACAUUGAACGGUUAAACUCUUACCUCUGUUGUGCGAUGACCCACUUGGUCUUCCUCUUUCUGACCGGUCACUGCCGCUGGUAGCUUUGCCAAAGCAACAUGAAGAUUGCCUUCUUCCUCUUGCUUUUGCAGUUGGCUCGCGUGUUUUUUAUCUCACCUAACUUCUUACGUUCAGAAGAAUCUAGUGAGAAUUUUGUCUCACGUGUUUGGGCCGCAAGCUUUGGACUUCUUUCUUUAAGCACUGGGCUAACGGUUUUUCUUUAUGGUAUCCAAGCUUGGUUUUACACCUGUUCUGCCACUGAUUCCGCUGCAUAUACCUCUUCUUCUUGACCUUAUUCUUGUUUCUUUAAAGUUUUCUUAUUGUCAUGGAGAAAGUGGAGAAAGUGGACCAAACCAACAACCCAUCCAGUCCCUUCUACUUGCAUCCAAGGGAGAACCCAGGCACCUCCCUCAUAUCUCAAGUUCUAAAUGAAUCCAACUACACUUCUUGGAGUAGAAACAUGAGAAGAGUUCUCCUCUCCAAGAAUAAACUGAAAUUCAUAUAUGGAGGAAUCACAAAGCCUAAAAGAGAUGACAGCCUUUUCGAUUCUUGGGAAAGAAGCAACAUGAUGGUACUAUCUUGGAUUACCAAGACUCUCCCACCCAAAAUAGUAGAGAGUGUGAUAUAUGUUGAAAAUGCUCAAGAACUAUGGGAAGAAUUGAAAGAAAGAUUUUCCAAAGGGGAUCACUUCAAAUUCUCAUAUUUACUCCAAGAAAUUCAUUCCAUCAAGCAAGGUGAAAGGAGUGUAAACCAGUAUUUUACUGAUUUGAAGAUUUUGUGGGAAGAAUUGGAGUUUCUAAGACUCGUUCCAAGUUGCAGUUGCAAAGUCCCUUGCGGUUGUGAUUUGUCUAAAGCCUCACACAAAUACAGAGACAUGGAACAUGUCAUAUGCUUUUUAAAGGGCUUACAUGAAUGCAAUAACACUGUAAAAUCUCAGAUAUUACUCAUGGAACCCCUACCCAACAUUAAUUGCGUCUUUUCUCUCAAGAAAGGCAAGGGAAAUACGAUUCUAAUCAGAAUGACAGCAAGAUCCUUGCCAACACCACUGAGAAACAAAAUCAGUGGAAGAACAACCAGGGCUGGAAGACUUAUGGACAUGGAAAUCCCCCCAAAAAUCAAGGAAGAGGGAGAGGGAGAAACCCCAACUACGGGAAACAGUGUUCCCACUGUCAUAAAAUGAACCACACCAUUGAUGAAUGUUAUUCUAAGCAUGGAUACCUACCUUGGUACAAGAAAAAUGGCAACAAUGGUGAAAAUGGCAUCGAACGAAAUGAAUAGGGCUCAACUAAUACUUGUUCAGCAUCUACUGGAAUACAAACCAGCCAAUAGAAUGUUAUUUAAAGCCCGUUCACCCAUGAACAGAUGCAGAAGAUACUACAAAUGCUGGAGAAAGCUGACAGCCCAUCUCACAGCAUCAGCCAAAUACAGAAAAACAACACAGAGGACACACGAGGUAUGUUCUCAUGGAUCAUAGAUACAGGUGUCACAGAUCAUGUGACCCAUGAUAGAAACCAGUUCACAUCUUUUUAUAAAAUCAACCCAUAUCAGUUAAAUUGCCUAAUAGUUCUAUUGUUACUGCCCAUUAUGCAGGGACCAUACAUUUCUCUAAAGAAUUUGUGAUUUUUAACGUUUUAUAUAUAACCAAAUUCACUUUUAAUCUCAUAUAUGUUCAGAGUCUAACUAGAGAUAUAAAUUGUACACUAACUUUCUCUUCUAAGAUGUGUGAAAUCCAGGACAAUUCUACAUUGAAGAUGAUUAGAUAUGCUAGUGUGUGCAAAGGCCUCUACCAUUUACAAUCUUUUGGAAGGAAUUUAGCUCCUAGUUUUACUUUUUCUUAUGAACAUAACAAUGUAAAUCUAUGGCACUAUAGACUUGGUCAUCCUGGACAUAAAGUUCUUGAGAAAAUGUGUAAAGCUUUCCCUUAUAUUCAAAUUACUAAUGAUAACACUUGUGACAUUUGUCAUUUUGCUAAACAACACAAAUUACCUUUUCCUAAGAGCAAUUCUUUAUCUGCUGACUGUUUUGAUAUGAUUCAUUGUGAUAUUUGGGGUCCUAUAUCUACACCCUCUGUGCAUGGUCAUAAAUACUUCUUAACUGUUGUUGACGACUAUAGUAGGCAUACAUGGGUCUUCCUCAUGCAUAAUAAGGGUCAAACUAGGGAACUCUUACAGACUUUUAUUGCUAAAAUUAAAACCCAAUAUAAUAAAACUAUCAAAGUCAUUAGGAUAGAUAAUGGACCAGAGUUCAAUUGCUUUAAUACUUAUGAUUCUCAUGGAAUUGAACACCAAAGGAGCUGUGUCGAAACCCCACAACAAAAUCCUGUUGUGGAAAGGAAACAUCAACACAUGUUAAAUGUCACCCGCAGCCUAAAUUUUCAAUCAGGUAUGCCUCAUAUAUACUGGUCUUAUGCUCUAUCACAUGUUGUUUAUUUGAUCAACAGAUUGUCUUCUCCUAUCAUUAAAGAUAGAACACCUUUUGAGCUCUUACAUAAUAAUUCAUCCACCUAUCUUGACUUAAAGGUGUUUGGUUGUCUUUGUUUUGCCUCUACCUUGGAAAGCAACAGAAAUAAACUUGAUCCUAGGGCUAGAAAGGGUAUAUUCCUGGGAUACAAGAGUAGGGUAAAAGGGUAUAUAGUUGUGGACAUCAACAGUAGAGAGAUAUUCAUAAGUAGAAAUGUUGUAUUUUAUGAAGACAUUUUUCCAUAUAAAGACAAACAAGAAGAGAGAAAUAAUCAUAGUAAUGGAUUAGACAACAUGUUUUUUCUUGAUGAUAUUGCUUGCAGCCAUGAAAAGGACUCUGUUGAGAAUGAAAGAGGAAACUUCAAUCCUACUCAGAGCAGCUCUGCUGAUAAGAGCUCUGUUGAGGACAACACUGCUAUCGGGGACAUUAAUCCUAUAGAGCAGGAACAGGGAAAUGUGCAAAGGAGAUCUAGCAGAGUUAGAAAGACUCCGGAAUACUUAAAAAGCUACAUACAACAAAGUGAUCAAUUCCCAUCUGCCCAGUUGUGUGCCAAGAAUGGUUUGAUUACUCCUUAUCCUAUUAAAACUGUUUUGUCUUACAAAUCUCUUUCAAAUAAGCAUUUGAAAUAUACUCUUGCUAUAACUGUCAAUAAAGAACCCAAGUCCUAUGAAGAAGCUAAAAACAACCCUGAAUGGAUUGAUGCCAUGCAAAAGGAGAUACGAGCACUACAAAUGAACGUGACCUGGUAUUUGACUCAACUUCCUUUAGGAAAGAGAUUUAUUGGAUGUAAGUGGGUCUAUAAAAUAAAGCAUAAGGCUGAUGGCACAGUUGAGAGAUAUAAGGCUAGGUUGGUAGCCAAAGGCUACACUAAAUAAGAGGGAAUAAACUUUUUAGGCACUUUUUCUCCUGUUGCUAAACUCACUUCUGUUAGGCUGCUUCUUGCUCUUGCAGCCUCUAAAAACUGGUUUCUACAUCAAUUAGAUGUGGACAAUGCUUUUCUUCACAGAGACUUAAAUGAGGAUGUUUAUAUGGAUCCUCCACCAGGAUUAAAUGUUGACACUAAAGGACAAGUUUGUAAACUAACUAAGUCUUUGUAUGAGCUGAAACAAGCCAGCAGACAGUGGUUCAAGAAGCUAUCUACAUUUCUUAUCUCUUCAGGAUAUAUCCAAUCUAAAUUUGAUCAUUCUCUAUUUGUUUAAAGAACCCCUUCUGACUUCACAGUUUUACUUGUGUAUGUUGAUGACAUUGUUUUAACAGGAAAUUCAAUGAAGGAAAUCAACCUCACAAAGACUCUUUUCGACAAUCAGUUUCAGAUUAAGGAUCUAGGAGAACUCAAGUACUUUCUUGGAUUUGAGGUUGCUAGAUCUAAGAGAGGAAUACAUUUAUGUCAAAGGAAAUAUGCCCUAAAUAUUCUUGAAGAAACAGGAAUGCUAAGAAGUAAACCUAGCUCUACACCCUAUUUGAGCAACACCAGUUGUCUAUACAAGACAAAAGACUAUAUGGAUAAUCCCAAUGAUUAUAGGAGGUUAAUAGGAAAAUUAUUCUAUCUUACUAACAAUAGGCCUGAUUUAUGUUUUACAGUUAACCUUUUAAGUCAGUUCAUGCAGGAACCAACUAAACACCACUAUCAAGCCUUACAACAUGUUCUUAGAUAUGUCAAGGCAAGUCCUGCUGAAGGACUCUUCUUAGCUUCUGAUUCUAAUACACAGAUAAAGGGGUUUAGUGAUUCAGAUUGGGCCACGUGUCCUAAUACAAGAAGGUUAACUACUAGUUAUUGUAUCUUCUUAGGUAACUCUCUUAUCUCAUGGAGGUCAAAGAAAUAGAGUAUGGUCUUGAGGUCUUCUAUAGAGGCAGAAUACAGAGCUCUUGCAGCUACAGUGUGUGAGAUGCAAUGGUUACACUAUCUUCUCCAAGAUCUUCAUGUUGAGCCAAUAGCUACUGUUGUCCUAUAUUGUGACAACAACUCAACAAGGCACAUUGCUCAUAACCAAAGUUAUCAUGAAUGAACCAAACAUAUAGAGUUGGAUUGUCACGUUGUUCGUUAGAAAAUACAAGCCAAGCUUCUACAUUUGCUUCUCAUUCGAUCAGAAGGACAACUUGCAUAUAUAUUCACUAAAUUUCCUCACCGGACUCGAUUCAAAUCCAUUAUUCCCAAGCUUGGAAUGGUGAAUAUCCAUCAUCCAGCUUGAAGGGAGGCUAUUAAAUGUUUUAAAUAUUUCUGUUAUACAUUUAUUGUUUUCUGUUUAAGACAACUGUUCCUAUGAACAGUAAUAUGAUUUCUAGGGUUUCUGUUUUGGGGGUUUUAUGGCUUUCUGUUAGACAGUUAGAAAGUUUACAUUUUUGUAAUUACUGGAACCCUAUAUAAGGGAUUCCAGCUUUUAUAAUAAGCAUAGAAACAUUCAGAAUAAAACACAACAUUUUUCUUUCUCUCUUUAACAUUGAACGGUUAAACUCUUACCUCUAUUGUGCGUUGAUCCACUUGGUCUUCCUCUUUCCGACCAGCCACCGCCGUUGGUAGCUUUGUCGGAGCAACAUGAAGAUCGCCUUCUUCCUCCCGCUUUCGCAGCUGGCUCGUGUGUUUUUGAUCUCACUAACUUUUGGCGUUCAGAAGUUUUUAGUGAGAAUUUUGUCCACGUGUUUGGGCCGCAAGCUUUGGGCCUCUUUCUUUAACCACUAGGCCAACAGUUUUUCUUUAAAGUAAAUAAAUUUAUUAUGAUUAUAAUGGUUUGUAAAUAAAUUGAAUGAAAAGUAUAAAAGUAAAUACAAAACUUUCCAAAAUGGUUUAAACCCUGCCUUAGUCGUAAUUUUUGUAUGGAAAUCUCAGUUCGGUCCUCAUGUUUUCAUUCAAUUGGGUCAUAUUUAUUUUGUAAAAAUGAACACAUUUUAUCCUAACCGUUAAGUGCUCUGAGACGGCAUUAAGUUUAGCUGACAUGGUGGAGAGAGAAUAUGCUUAUGUGUGUUAUUUGAUUACAUGGAUUUUUUAAUUAAACAAACAGUAUUAAUGUGACAUUAUUUCCUUCCCAUUAACGUUGAGUUCUCUCCUCCUUCACCGUCUCCUAUCACAAAACUCAAAAUGCUCUCUUUAGCACUAUGAUAUGAUAUUUGGUACAACUGUUUCCUCUCCAAGGUGGAGAUAAACACAAAAAACAAGAAGAGCUCAGGUGACAAUUGCGAUGACCUUGUGGAGAAUACGUUGCGCAGGGUGACGCUGAGUGAAGAAGGUUGAGGAGUUGUGAUGGCUCUGUCGAUAUUGGCUCGGUCUGAACCCUCCUCAUUUGGCGGUGGCGGCAGAAGUAGCCAUGGUGGCGGAGGAAGGAGAGAAACUUGUUGAAGGCAUCCUCUAAUUCCCUGCAGGUUUGAGGCGCGAUGGAGAAAACGCGAUAUGUGCAAAUUGGUUGUCAGCGGUGGCUUUCCGAUUUAGGGGCCGGCCUUGGUUGCGCGAUCGGAGGCACAGGGAGGGAGCUGUCGUGGAUGUCGGCAGCGAUGGAAACUGAUGUUGGGGGCUGAUCUGAACGACUCGACAGGAUCGCCUUGCAAGCGGCGUGCGCAGAUGAUGCCGCCAAGAACCAGGUGGUCCGUGAGAAACAUUGCAACACCUUCAUGUUCGGUAGCAUCAUGUUUAUUGUAUUGUCAUGCCAUUAUGCUUAUCAAUAGGAUGCAGAAAACACGUUUUUAGAAUCAUCUUCAUGAUUGAACUAGGUGAUCUUGUUUGUGUCUGAUCCAUAUUUUAACAAUGUUUGUAGGUUUAGUCUGUCAACUCUAUUUUUUCCCACAGUAAGUGAAACCUCGGUUUCUUUUGUUUUUUAUUUUUUUCAUUGUUUCUGCAUGAGAGAAUACCAUGAAUGGUCUUGGUCUAUUUGUGAUGCUUCUAUGGCUAUUUGUGGUCUUGAUCCUUACUUCCAGCUACACUACAGGUUUAACAUUCAUACUCACUCUGCAACAUUUAUCUUCUCCUAUCAGUGGAAUAGAUAGCUUAAAGGCUGGUUGAUGGGUGUUGCCGCCCAAUCAAAUUUAAUGUGCAUUUUAAAGUACAGUAUAACUAGGGAAUGACUCCUAGGUCGUCUCUCAAGGACCAAUUUUGCGAUUCAGAAUCAGGUCUAACACGAAGUGGGAGGGUUUGACGGUGUUUGAGACGAGAAUUAAAAUCAAUUAAAAUGCACAGAAAUUAAACGCAACCGAAUAAAAUAGAAAACAUUAAAGUAAAAUAAAGUGCUAAAACUAACACUACAAAAGUCAACUAUCUAACACGGUUAAAAUUAUUAAAAGGCAAUUCUAAACUAAAAAGAUUAAAAACAAUUAAACAAGUAAUGUAAAACAUUUCUAAGGCAACAGAAAAAUAAAAAAAAUAAAAAAAUAAAGUUGCUUCUAUACCAAAUUCAUGUGACCAUGCAUCUUAUGAUAUUUAAUUGCAAAGCGUCAACAAAAAUGCACAUAAGCUGGAAUGUAAAAUUGCAACACUUAAGCUACUAAAUAAAAUAAAGAUUGCAGAAUGAAUGAUAAGUAAAGCUUCUUUUUUUUAAAAAAAAAAGAAAUUAAAGGUGCUUCUAAACUGAAAUUGUAAUAGCGUGCUCCAAGGCAUCACAAAGCUCCAACUAAAUCACUGUAAAUUUCUCUCAACCCAAAGUCAACGCAGUUCCUUUUUCUUUCUUCGAGCAAAGCUAAAUUAAUUACCAUGUUCACCUUCCUUCCAUGCCAUGAUUGAAUAUAUAAAAAAAAGAAAAAAUAUCCAAUGCCAAAAAUUGUUAGCCGUAACAGCGUUGAAAUCAAUAAAAGAAAGUUUCUAACAUUCAUCAAAUGCAACAAUGCUUUUCAAAAAUAAAAAUGUGCUUCUUCAUUAUCUAAUAAACGCAAAAAAAAAAAACUUUCUUUCACUAAUUAAAUCCAAUCAACGUAAUAAUACUUAAAAAAAAAAGGAAUACUAACCAUAAAAAAUAAAUAACCGAGCAACAAUCAAACAUUCAUGCUUCUUCUCGGUUCCAGCAUUGCAAAACAAAACGGCCCAUUUACUACUAAAUAGGAAAAAAAAAACGAAAUGUCCUACAAAAUGCUGUGUUGAUGUGACCAUGAGCAAUUUCAAAGCAAAGUAAUUAUAACCGUGGUGCACUAGAUGAAAUGUGAAUCAACACCUCUUGAAAUUAAAAGUGUUACUUCCCUGAAGCAAAAAAAAGUGGUUCUAGAUUUUCUCUACUACCAUUGUGACAUCACGUGCCUUACAAUUGAAAACUGGAUGUGUCCUAGAAUUAAAUCAGCUUGCUGCACCGUCUCUCAGCUUCAAUUCAGCCGUAAUCAAACACUGCAGACAUUUUUUUAGCUAGAGCUCUCUCCCCCCAAAACAAAUGUUGCAGCAGCCAAUGUGAUCCCCGUUGAGUGACGGCUCCUCACCUUUUCUUAGGGCCAAGUGUCCUAAAAUUGGGGUGGGGUCCACCCUAAAAAUAAAAGGAAACCUUAGGUGUCAUGUGUUUAUUUUUUUACUAUUGGGCUCAACCACAAAUACCAAAAGUUGGCUCACAAUGUCAAAGUUUGUCUAAAAAUUAUAAACUACUAAAUUAAAAUACAACUAAUUCUAAAGCGCUUAUGGAAGAGUCUUGAUUUAUUUUGUCUUCAUCCUAAUGCUCCAAAAUAUGUCUCCAAUAUUUUUCCUGCAAUUAAUAAUGCAAAUAAUUAGCUCAGAAAAUUCAAAUUAAUUAAAAUUAGAAUUUCGGGUCAAAUUAAGCAUAUUUAGGAAAAACGGGAAAAUACCGAAAAAUUAAACACAAUUCUCUGAUUAAUUCUAGCACAAUAAACUAAGUGAAGUCGAUAAAAUAUCGAUUCAUCUGGUGAUGAACCUAUAAGUUACAAUAACAUUCCAUGACUCAAGAUAUUGGAAUAUCCAAAUCCAAGCUUAUUGCCCUUGGAACUCUAGAAGAAUAUGCUAUGGCCCUAAAGCUUUGUCCUAAAAAAAGAGGAGAUGUUGCUGCCAUUUUUUAUGAACGGCCUUAUGUUGAAAUCUUCUUAUCAAGCCAGUGCACCUUCAGAAUUGUUGGUCAGGAGUUCACCAGAAGUGGUUGGGGCUUUGUGAGUACCUCUAGUUCUCUACUUUUGGAUCAUUAAUUUCUGAAAUCCUAAUAUAUAUGCAUUAGAUGAACUAAUUUGUUACGAACCUAGUAGACGUGCAGUGAUAUGCAACUUUGUUCAUGCCUUUCUUCCUUCAAGAAUUCUAGUUGAGAAAUUGAUACAGAUCCAGGGCGCUCAGAAAUGCAUUCCUAAAUGAGCUUCAAUGUGGCACACUGGACAGGGUGGAAAGGAAUCUCCGCCACAUACUGUAACGUUGGGAUAAAAGUUUCCUCAACAGUUGAUAAAAGGUGCAAGUCUUGAGGUUCUAGCUUUGGGAGACGAAACAGACAUCUUGUCGGUCUCGUUCCAGCUCCGGUUGUGAGACUGAUUGCACCGGUCGCGCUACCUCCGAUGACUUUAUUUUCUGCGCCGACGAGUUAAUCGGUGUAAAAUUCUUAGUAGGUAUUGUGUCACGUGAAACACUACUUAUUUUAAAAUAUAGUUCACAUAAUUAAAUAAUACACGUCAACCCAUUCUUUGUGUACCACGUCAGCUAGCUAAAUUUAAUACUGUUUGAGAUCAAUUAACGGUUAGGUUAAAAUGUGUUCAUUUUUACAAAAAAUACGAUCCAAUUGAGACAGAUAAAAACAUGAAGACCGAAGGAAGGUUUAAACCUUCCAAAAUUACUACUAUUAUUAUUUAUCAUAUAAUUUCUUUAAAAUAAUUUAAAACAUAAAGUAAAAAAAAAAAUGAUAGGAAAUAUAAAGUAAAUUAUUAAAUUUAUAUCAAAUAAAAACAUUUAACCAUUUGUAAGUAUUUCCUUAUGACAAACUCACUUUAAUAACCCAAAAUUAUUAUUAAUCAUUUUUUAUUGUCAAAUUUAUAAUAUAAAAUAUACUUUUAAUUAUCAUUUCAAAUCAUCUGACGUUUCCAAUAAUCUUACCCUUCUAAUAUGACAUUACACAUGUUAAAGAAAUAUUUUAAAUUUUUUUAACAUUCAAACAUUUUAUUAUGAUCAUAACAUAACAAUAUUUUUUUUUAAUUAAUAAAUACUAUUUACAAGAUCCAAAAUAAUAUUUAUUUUAUUUAUACCAUUAUGUUUAUUUCUUAAUCGAAAAGUCCAAAAUUAAAAUUAUAUUUUUUAUUAUAAUAUUUUUAUUUUCCAGAGACCAAUAAUAACAAAUUUACUUUCAAAUUAUAUUACAAAACUAAAAAUUUAUUCAUUCUUAAAUUAUUUCUUAUUUCAUUUCUUCUCUUAAAACAAUUAAAUUUUAGACCUAAUAUUUUUAGUUAAUUAUUUUAAAUUAAUUUUCUAUAAAUUUCUUUUUUUCGUAUUUAAAAAAUCAGAAAAUCAUCCCAGAAUUCUCAACAUAGGAAAGAAUUUUUGCUACUAAAUAUUAAAAAAUCAAUUGAAAAUUUUGAUUUUCCAUAAGUUUAAUUUUGAACUACUAUAGUGAAAAGGUUAAUUUAAUAAUGUUGUAAUAAAGAAAAUGUUUAAAAGUAUAUUAUUUUAGAAAAAAAAAAUGGACAUCUACAUUUGAAAAUUUCAUUGUAAUUGAUAAAAUAAUAUUUUAACACAAUUCGAAUUAUAAAAGCUAGAUGUGACAACAGUGGAUUCUUCCUUCUCUACAAAUCAAGCAACAACAGUGGAGCAUAACAUUCCACUCAUACUUUUCUUCCACCUUCCUCCUUAUAAAACACUUUUUCUUUUUCUUUUUCUUUUUCAUCUACUAAAGCAACCACAACCUAACAUCAUUUUCUAGAAGCUCAAAUACAUGCCACCCUCUUAGGACACAAUGCCUUAUAAAAGAAAGUUUAGGACACCAAUGAGUACCACUUAACCAAAUAAGGUAUUUUUGUCCCAGAAAUAAUAAAUAACUAUAGGACAAAAAUAAUUAUAUUGUACUAUAGUUAAUUAUAUUAUAUUAUACUAAAAAAAUUGAUUCACUUUUACUAAAAGUUUAGUAUAUUAUUUUAUAGCUUAAUUUUUAAAAAUUGAACUUAUAACAGUUUUGGUUCAGUUAAGUGUGAGAACAGUAUCUACUCUUUCCUUUUCUCUAGUUUUAGUUCAACUUACAUUAAAAUAAAUAUCAAUAUUAUUAUUUUUAGAUGAUAGUAUUUUACAGAUUAAAACUAAAAUAUAUUAUUUAAUGAUAAAUUAUAUUACAUGACUAUAUAAUAAAAUCUCAUAGAAAAUAUUAAUAUAACAAAAAUAAUUAAUAUUAUAUAAAUAUCAAAGGACAAAAAAAUUAACAAACAUUUAUUAAGAGUAACUUUUCUAGUAUCAUCUUUUAUCAUAUUAUAAUAAUUAAUAAAUAUUAGUUUAAUUUUUACAUAAUAAAAUAUAAAUAAUAAAUAAUUGAUUAAUAAAAAAAUUUUAUGAGGCAACAAAAUAAAUAUAAAUAAAAAAUUGUUUUAAAAUAAAAUAAGUAGCUAAAAAGAUAAAAUAAAUUAUAUACACGUAUAAAACAAAAAAUUUAAAUAAAAAAUAAAUAUAAAAGUAAAAUAAUAUUCAUGAAAAAAGAAAUAUAAAUAAAAAAAUAAAAAAUAAAAUAAAAUAAAUAAAUAAAAAAUAAAAUAAUUUCCAUACACAUAUAAUAAUAAAAGAAAUAUAAAUAAAAUAAAAAAUAAUAAUAUCAAAUAAUUAAAAAAUUAAUUUGUAAGACACUUAUGAAUAAAAUAAAAUGAAUUUCAAUUAAAAAGAACAUGUAUUCUUAUACUAUUCAGUUUAAAAACUAAUAUUUCAAUGUACUAAUGUUUAUCCCACCAAGGUAUCACACACAUAUAGCCUAAAUCACCUUAUACCUAUCCCCAUUGGAGACACCACACAUGAGGAAAAUGAAAACCAAAUGCAUAACAACGAUUAUUUCAAUCGAUGAAGAAGGUGUUGCGUGAUGACGAAAACCUUACAAAGCUUCAAUAGUGAAUCAUUGAGAGUGAGAAGACUGAAGGAAACAGAAAAUGAAAAAAAGAUUUGAAGCGGUGAUUGAACAAAUAAGGUGAUAAAAAGUUAACUUUUCACAUUUUUAUUUAGGGCAAAUAAGAAUAUGUUAAUGGCGGGGGAGAAUUUCUUCUUGCAUCUCCAUGUUUUUUUCUUGUAUAUUUUUUAAAUUUCAAUUAUACCUUGUUUUAAUUGUAGUACAUAUAUAUAUUUUGUUUACAUUUUGAAUUGUACAAUUCAAAAUGUAGAUUUAAAAGACAAUCCAAAAUGCAAGUAAAAAUAUGAGGUACGUAGCACAUUAAACCAAGCAAGAAUAAAGUAAAAGUUCUAAAGAGAAUAUAGGGAAGUAGAGGUGGAAAAAGAUAAUGGGAUAGAUGUAACGGUUGUGGAAAAAGAUGGGGUGGAGGUAGCGGUGGAGGAAUAUGUAGUAGAGGUAAAAGAAGAAGAUGUAUUAUAGGUAAAUCCGUUAAUUUCACCCUUUUUACAUAGUUUGAUUCUGAUUCCAUGGAUUGGAGUUAGAAAAAUGAACCGGACCAAAAAGUCUUAUAUAGAAAAAAUUCACGAGACCAAAAUAUUUAUAAAAGCCUAGUAGAUCAAGACGAACCCAUCAGUUUUUUCUUUAGAAAAAAAUAUUCAUUUUAAAUACAAAGAAGUAGUGGGUCACAUUCAUUGAAAUGUACAACUUUCAUUUUAUCUUUGUUAACUUGUAAUCAUAAUUUUGUUCAUGUGUAAUUAUAUUUUUUGCCAAUAAAAUUAAUUUUCUACUUCAUAACUAUUUCUAUAUUAAUUAGCUUACUAAUAAUGCUCUUAUAUAAUUAUUCCUUAAUUUCCAAAUUCCGUUUUGAUAAUUUUUCAUCUUAAAUUUGAUUUGUAAAUCUGACCGGUUCAGAGAGAUCAACAUAAAAUAGGUUUAAAAGUUAAAAUUUAAUUUGUAAAAGUUUGAUAGACUAACGAAUUUAUUUAUAGAUGGUAAUCUAUUUUGUCACUAGUUUAAAUCAAUAUUAUUCGAUUAAGAUAUGCAAUCAAAAAUAAUUUUUUUAAUUUGUGUGAACUUAAUGACUUUUUAACUUUUUUUAAUUUUCCAAAUUUAAUAAAAUUGAUAUUUAUUAUUUAUAAAGUGAUAUAACUCUUUUAGAAUUUUUUUUAUGAAACAUAUAAUUUACUCAUUUACAUCAAUUUAUAUUUUUUUUAUGUCUUUUCAUAUAUUUUAUAUUAUAUUCAAUUGUCUUUUUUAUUAGUUUCUUAUUAAGAGACAUUAAUGUAAUUUAUUUAUUAUUAUAAUUAUUAUAUUUUUUAUUUAUUUUAUAUGUUAAUAAUUAAAUACAAUAAUAAUUUUAAUUUUAGUGUUAUACAUUAUAACAUUAUAUUUAUUUAAAAUUAUUGUAUCUAUUAUUUAAUUUUUUUUUAUUACAAUAUAGCUCAAUUAUGGUAAAUAAUUCAAUAUUAAAAUCGUCUCUGUUGGAUAAAGAAAGGUUUGAUUUUAAAAUAUUAAUUUAAUCUAAAAGGUUAGAAGAAAAAAAAAUCUUAAUUGAUUUUAGGGUUAAAUAUGUUUUUCGUCCCCCAACUAUUGGCCGUUUUUGUGUUUAGUCCCUCUUUCAAAAUAUAAUACAAUUUAGUCCUUCAAUUUUAGAAAACUAUGGUUUUAGUCCUUUUUAUCAAAUUUUUUAAACUUUAUUUGUUGUUUCAAACACGUUACAUUAUAACAUUAUAUUUGUUUACACUGUUUGACACAUUUUUGCUGUUAACUGAGAAACGCGUUUGAAACAGCAAAUAAAGUUAAAAAAAUUUGGUAAAAAGGACUAAAACCAGAGUUUUCUAAAGUUGAAGGACUAAAUUGUACUAUAGUUUGAAAGAGGGACUAAACACAGAAACGACCAAUAGUUGGGAGACGAAAAACAUAUUUAACCCUUGAUUUUAUAACCACUAGGAUUACAUAUAAAUCUUGGAUACUAACAUAUAUGAUAUUUAUAACAAUUUUGCCUAACAAUUUUGGUGUGAAUUUAAUUUUAAACUUUAUAAAGUUUGUGGUUUAAUUUUUUAAUGUAUAUAUAUCUAUACAAAACAUUCCACAAAAGAAUUUUAUAUGAAAGACUAUAAAAAUAAAAUUUUUACACCGAUAUUUAAAAUUCAUCCAAAAAUAGAUUUGAAUUAAAAUCUAUCCAUAAUUAAUAUAUCAAAUAUUUAUAUAAAUAUCAGAUAAUUGAAAAAUCGAAUUUUGAACUGUUACUUUAUAAUUUCUUUUUUGAAAUUUUUUUCUUCUUUUCUUUUAAAUAAAAAUAAUAUUUUUUUUUAACUUUUCAAAAUAAUAAAUUAUAUAUUUAAAAUAUACUUAUAAUUGUAAAAUUAUUUUAAAUAGUUUUCUAUAAAAUCAAUAUUUAUAUAUUUAUAUUUAAUUAAAAAAGAUAUUAGUAAAAUAUCAUGUAUAAUAUGUAAAAUUUGGAAACUAUUGUACUUGUAAAGUAAAUAAAUAAAUAAAUAAACUAAAAAUACGUUAAUAGUGAAUUAAUUUAGUUUGAAAGAUUAGCUCAUCCUACUCCUACACCAAUCCAUUUUAUGUGCGGCUGUGGAGUUAGAGUUUUUAAAAAACCUCCUCUUAAGUGGGUUAAAAUAAUGGAACUUGAUUUUAGAAGGGUCAGAAUCAACCUAUGCACUACGGGUUCAAAUGACAUCCUAGAAGUGGAGGUGAAAGAAGAAAAUGGGAGUAAAGGUGGAUAAAAGUAUGAAAGGUGCAGAGGUAGAAGAAGAUGGGGUGGAGGUGGAUGAAAGUAUAAAGGUGUUGUUAGGAAGAGAAAAAAAUGAGGACAAAUUUAACUUUUUCACAUGAAGUUGCAGGAAGAAAUACCCAAAAUUAAGACAUGGCUUUGGUUCUUUUUGAAUUUUUGGACACAUUAAUGUCAAACUCUUGCUGAUCCUCCUAUCCAUCAAUGUCAACGUAUGUCUAAUUUAGAUUCUUUUUCUUUUAUAUUUUAAUCCUUUCUUUCUGCUGUGUUCUUCCAAGUUAUGCAAAUAUCAACAUAUAGAACAAUAAUUGUGAAUAAAUAUUAAAGAAUGGUGUUUAAUCACGCUUCAAGAAGGUGUCUUGUUAACAUUCUUAGUCAUAUUUUACUAUAUUAAUUUAGAAUACAUAUUUUUUAUAUAUUAAUAAUAAUUGCAAUGAAGCAAAUAAUUAAUUUGUUAAUUAUGAUAAAUGUUAACCGAAUAUUUUAACAAUAUUCAACAUUAAUAAAUUGGGUGUUGCUCCUUCCACCUCCCCAAGUGGAUCUGCUCCUCCCCACUGUUUUAAUUUAUUUCAAAAAUAUUUUAUAUCUCUCCACUAUUUUCUUUUAUUCCAAAAAUAUCUUACACCUCCCCAUUAUUCUUAACAAUCUUUCCCUUUCUCUCUCUAUAUUAAUGGAGCAUUUAAUAUGGUGAGAGCUAUCAAAAUGAGUAAUCUGGUCCGGCCCACCACGGGCUAUCAAAAUGAGUAAUCUGGUUCGGCCCAUCACGGGUGGUUACUUAGUAAGCUAACUCAACUCAGCUCAUUUAUUAGUGAGCCAGAAAAAUUCGAACUCGGCUAUUGGUGGAUAAACGGGUUGACUCACUCACUCAUUUAAUUAAAUUUUUUUUUCAAAUAAAAAAAUUAUAAAUUUUCUAUAAUUCAAAUUUAAAUAAAUUUCACUCCCAAAUUUUACUUCCAACAUGGAUGUUUACUUAAUUUUUAAAAUAAGAAACUUAAAUAAUUUUUUCAAACAAAAAAAAUAAUAAAUAUCUUUUCAUAAAAUUAAAAUUAAAUUUUAAUAAAAUAAAAUUAGGUAGGUGGGUUGGUGGGCCGGUGGCCCACCACAGAUUCAACCCGUAUAAAAAAAGUACAAUUUUCUCAAACCUAACCCGACUCGAAUCCGUAGUGAGCCGGAUUGACCCACAAAUUAUGACUCAUGUUGACAGGUCUAAGUAUAGUAUACUAAGAAUUUGAGAAUAAAUGUAAAAACAAAUAUUGAAUUAUAUGAGAACAUUAAUAAAUGAUUUUCAUCUUUAAAAAUGUAAAAUUUAAACUUUGAAAUAUAUAAACGAGGAAGAAGAAGGAAUGAAAUCUAAUGAAAUGUAUGACGAUAUCAAACUUAUCUGUGUAAAAAUAUAUUCCAAUGGUUGCCAUGCAUGCGGAUCUUUUACUGAUAAAAUAACUUAAAAAGAUUAAAAACUUUCUUUCCGCUAUAGAAUGAAAGGGUGCAAAAAGUAUUCCCAGGACAGUGGAUCAUAUUUUCAUUACCAUUUUUUAUGAUCAAUUUGUCCCUAUUUUGUUGACCAUUCAACCUAUCAUAGCUUUAAUUUGUUGUUGAUUUCAGAUUUUUCUAUAAUAUGUAGUUGCUUAAAUGGAUUGCUUAUUUUAGUUAAAUUUAUCAUUUUGCUUUAACUUGUUGAUAAGUUGAGAUGGUUUUAUUAUAUACAGUUGUAAUUUUAAUUCAUAAAAUUAUUCUAAUUUUAUUAUUAUUAAAACGAGUAUUUCUUUUAAAUUUUAGAUCUUGUAAUUAAUCUCAUAUAUUUAUAUUUAGAAUACUUUAUUACUAAUUGCUCUUUUUUAAAAUAUAAAAAUAGAUAAUAACAUUCUUUAUACAAAUUAUCAAACUUAUAUAAAUAAUGUUAUGCAUAUGAUUUUAUGAAAAAAAAGUUCAAACCAUGAUAAAAUUCAAUAGGACCUUCGUUUUUUUUUUGGUUUAAAUUCUUUUUUGUCUCUAAUUUAAGUGUUGAUGUUCAGUUUAGUCUCCGCUUUUAAAAAUGUCAACCUUUGGUUCCUAUGAUAUGAAAAAUGUAUCAAAUUAGUCCUAUCCGUUAAUGGUGUUAAAAAAAUAAAAGUUGAAGUGACUGUGCAUGGCAGGUGUCUAAGAAUCGUUGAAGUUUCAUUUACUUGGCAUAAAAUUAGUUGAUGUGGCAGGCAGAGGUGUAAUUGGUAAAAUAAAUUGAUUAAGUUACUAAACCAAUUUUGAAUUCUCUAGUUUUUGUAGGUGCUUUGUGGUGCUGGUUCGUGAAGAGAAGAUGACGUGAGGGUCUCGUGGUGGUUGUCGGAAGGUUCUGCGAUUUUUAUGGUGGCCACUGGUGCGUCAUGGUAGUUGACGGCAAGGACUGUUGGAAAUGAGGGAGCUAGGGUUAUGAUGUUACACACUUUGUCUACUCAACUAAGUUCAAUCCGAACCAACCAGGAUCCACUAUGACAUCCUCGGACCACCAUGAUUCCUCUCCACAACCAAGCAAGGAACCCAGAGCCAAUGCCAUCAAGUCUAAAACGAGUCCAAACCGGUGUCUGCAAGCCACUUUUAAGAUGGAAACCACCACAAAUAAUCCCAAACCCCAAUCGAAAACGCAACCAAAUCAAGAAACAAGAUUUCCCAAACCAGAAUUUCCAUUUAGCAAUUUCAGAAACCCUAUGCCCCAAAAGUUUCAUUUCAUAACCAUCAAGAAUCACAGUCGUGAAUAUAAGAGGUAAAAAGGAAACCUGAAAUCGUAGCUCGGAAUCCUAAUCCUAAAUCAAAACCCUUGCCGCAUCGUCGUCGGAAAAUCAAUCACGCCACUGCAACACUCACCUCGCCACGAGAAGGGAGGACACGUCCUACCAACCGAAAUUCAUAUCCCCUCCCUGCAAAAUCCCAUGCGGAACCAAGAAAAAGAUAAAGAAGAGGGUAACGCCUACUCUCUCUGCAAAACGAAGUCGCACCAGGUCGAAAGGAGGAACGAAAACCUCCUAGCCAUAGUUCACUGCGCGAUAGCGAACCUCGCCUGAAACGCGCCUUCGUGGCAUCAUCGCCAUGCCGUCACCACGUCCCUGGAUAAUCCUCCAAGUUCGUUUGUCAAUUGUUAUAUUCAACACCCAUGAUGAAGAGAAAAGGAAAAAGCUUGAAGCUUCUGAUUAAUGAAUCAAAACAAAAGUUGUUCAUGUUCUUGAUCUGUUCAAUAUUCUUGAGCUUUGCUUUUUCAAGAUUUCAGAAUUUAGUUCUGUUUUUCUUUUUUAAUUUCAUUUAUAUGCAUUUUUUUUUAGUUUAAAAUAACUUAAUCAAUUUAUUUGACCAAUUACACUUUUAUCUACCACAUCAACUAAUUUAAUGCCAAGUAAAUGAUACGUCAACGAUUUUUAGACACCUGCCAUGCACAGUCACUUUAACGUUAAUUUUUUUUAACACCGUUAAUGGAUAAGAUUAAUUUGAUACAUUUUUCAUAUCAUAGGGACCAAAGAUUGACAUUUUUAAAAGCUACUAAUUUGAUACAUUUUUCAUAUCAUAGGGACCAAAGGUUUACAUUUUUAAAAACGAAAACUAAAUUGAAGAUCAGCAGUUAGGGAAAAAAAUGAUUUAAAACUUUUUUUUUUUCAUGUUUCAUGGUGUUGUGUCUAGUGAGCAGAGAAAAAAAUUGAAUUUUCUUUUGCUGUGCUGCAUAGCGGAUGCAUAGACUGGCCACGUUGGAUGGGAUUUUACAGUUUUCAUUAUUAUAGGUAGGUCAAACACAAUUUAAUUUAAUUGUUAGAUUUAUAUUUUUAUUUUUAUAAUCCAAUUAAUUUAAUCCAAUCCAAUCUAAUUAAUUGAAUUAGGUAAGUUAAGUCAUUGAAUUGAGUGCCUCAAAAACUAAUUAUUUAUACUUCAAAAUAAAUAUUUAUAAUAUUUUUUAAUAAUUAUAAACUAACACAUCAUUUAAAACAUCCAUAGAUAAUAUAUACAUGAUAAAAUAUAUCAUUUUAUACUAAAAUUAUAUAUAUAUAUAUAUAUAUAUAUAUAUAUAUAUAUAUAUUAUAUAGAUAGAUAGAUAAUAGCUUUUAUUGGAUUAUAGAGUUUAAAAUUCACAAAGCCGUUAUCAAACAUAAUUGUAGUUUGGGUGCCCUAAAAUAAAAUUGACAUUUAUAUUUAAAUUUACAUUAUUUAUAUAUAAAAUGUAAUCUUAUUGAGUUAUAGACUUGCUGAUUGAACACAACCAGCUUAUAUAGUGAUUAUAAUUGGAGUAUUUGAUUUUUUUAGUAAUUUGUGUUGACAAUUUAAAUAUUUAAAUAUAUAUAUAUAUAUAUAUAUAUAUAUAUAUUAUUUUAUGAGUCACCAAAAUAAAACUUUAAUUUUAAUCGGUAAAGACACAAAUAAUCUCUAUGUACAGAAUUACCCAUAAAUUCUGCGUGCAAUUUAACAAGUCCGAAGAAGAAAUACAGGAACAAGAAAGGGAAAAUAUAAUAUAGAAAAUAAAGAGGAAAUAAAUAAAUAAACAAAUAAUUGUAAGUAUAAUUUCUGGUCAUGCGAGGUAGUUAUUGUUUCUUUGAAAAGUUGGUUUCUUCUUUAAAGUCCGUCUCUUUAAUAGAUCUAAUUACAGCAACGACAAUUUCGGACAAUGCAAAUGAGUUGCCGACAACAUAGGAUGUUGCUAAUUUUUUCAGAAAUAUUUACGAAAAAAAAUAUAAAAUAAAUGUAUAAGUUAAAUUUCAGAGUUCUGUUAUUUAUUUAACAUAUUUCAUUUAUCGCCCGUAAUAAACUUUUAAGCGAUAAUAAUGCUUUGUUCUAUUUAUAAGCAUGGAAGCAGGGUGUUAUACUUCAACAAUGGAAGAUUUCACUUUCAACAACCCUCAUGACAUGUGCAGAGUGAUCACAAGUUGAGACAGCAUGUGACUCGUGGCACCUAUUUUAUUUUAUUUUUAUUUUUAUUUGUCUUCUCACAGACUAUAAAUAAAUAAAAUAAUAUCAUCUUUAAAUCGUGCUCACAAUUAGAAUUAUAAUAAUGCAUAUACUUCAUCCCAAUCUAAAACUCUAAUACACUAUCUAAAAACUCUAUUUAAGGAAAUAAAUUUUAAUUAUAAAAAAUAAAACAAUUUAUAUUGAAUUACAAAUUAUGAGAUUCAUACUAAAUCCAUUCCAGUGAUGAAACUCGAAUUUGACUUUCCAAGUGUCAUGCAGUGAUACGUUUGGGACAGGUGUGUCCAUUAAGCAAUUAACGCUCAACAGGUGACUCCAGACAUUAUGAUAACGAAAGACAGAGACAGUUUCAUUUUAAAAUUAAAUAACGUGUGAACUUAAUUGUGAGAAUGAAUAUAAGAAAUGGAUAAAGAUAUUUCACUGCUAAAUUCUAACAAAUCUUUUUUGCCAUUCUAACAAUUUUUUUUUCAAUCAGAUACGUGUCAUAAAUUAAUUGGUCCAUAUAUUUUAAUUUUUUUAAACAUUAAACAUAUAAACUAAUUGAUUCAUGACACUGAUAUAAAAAAUUUAUUAGAAUUUAGAUGUAAAAAUAUUAUUUCAUAAGAAAUUCAACUAAAGAAGUUUAUUUCUAUUUCUAUGAUAACAAAAAAAUGAGCAAUAACCAAAAUUCAAACAUACUAGUAAGUGGCCGAAACAAAAGGACAGAGAAGGUGUGAAUGAAUUGAAGUUCUUUGACUUUGAAUGGUACGUUAUCCAGUGUUGAUGUGGGCACGCGAGAGUACCUUGGAUCUGAAUCAUGGGUGUAGUCACACCCCAAUCAUAUGAUCACAUAUUCAAAUAAAAAAAUUAGAAGUCUACUCUUCAAUUUGGUCGUUAUUUCGUUGGGACCAUUCUUUCCGUGUGACAUGAGUGUGAUCCAUAAAGCAUUCUUCAACUGUGUAUAUAAUAAAAGAUGAAACGGUUGUAAUACUGUUUUCAGCGCGCAUCACUCAUCCUUUCCCUGUUCUCUCUCUCUUUGUUGUUCUCUUCUCUCUAGAAGAUGGACCAGUCUCUGCUGAGAGGCGAAAGCAGUGGCUUCGGCUCCCGCCGGCGAGGACUGUUCCGGCGUUCCGACGCUAUAACCUACGGUUCCAACUACGAGAAAGCCGCUGCGCUCAUCGAUCUGGUUCGUUUAACUCUUUCAUGUUUCGUUUAUUCGUUGUUUGGAAAUCUAUUUCAGUGAACUCAGUGAUGUUCGUCUUUGGUUCUAUUUUACGUUUACUGCGAACUGUGGAUUUUUGUGCAUUGAUUCAGCUUUUAACCGUUGUGCUUUGCAAUAGCGAGCUAAUUAGUGUCGCGCAUUGUGUUGGAGUUAAUUAUUGAACAUAUGUAGGUAGAUCUUGUCAUCGAUGGCUUGUUACGGACUCUUAAGAAUAGUCGAUUGAAUCUGUUCUGGCGGUAAUGAAUUUUGUUAUCAUGUUUGAAGUUGCAUUGCAUCGUCUCUUAAGCUGUUCAGCAUCGUUCAAGUUUUGAAAGUCUUGAAUUGUAGGGGGAAUUGUUCUGUAUGUUGUGGGAAAGUUGUCACUGAUGUUCGGUUUUGGUAAAGCGAGAAUUACAGAAUUGCGAAGUGCAGAGACAAAUAGUUGUAGAUAUAAAAAAAACAAACACGGAGAGGGUGACGAAAUAUUUCGAAGUAAAUAAAUUUGAAAAAAGAGAGGUGUUUUUGUGUGGUACUUAAGCCUUGAUGUUCUACCUGCUGAUAGAAUGGUCUCUUUGGGUUGAACUCUUUGUUGUGUUUAAGUUCUAUCAGUUGGUGCUUUCAUUAAGUGUUGAGUUAUGGAAAAGAUUAUCUAUAAGAUGUAUAGAGGAGCAAGUUGAAUUUAGAAAAAUGAGUUAAACUAUCUUAAAGAGAAAAGGAUUUCUACCGGAUCAAUAUAAAUAGAGUGGAAGUCAUUGUGAUUGUUGGUUCUUAAAAGAAGUGACAAUGUUAAGAGUCCCACAUUGUUAGGAACUACUUGAUGAGGUACUUAAACCUUAAAACUCUUUUACCUGAUGGGUUAAUCUUUUGGAUUAGACUCUUCUCUUGUGCUGAUAUUAAGAUUCUGAAUAGUAUUUCGGUAUAAAACAAUCAGGACCACCAAAUUCUCUUUCUAGGUCUCUGACUUCAAGUUUGCUCGGUGAGUCAAGUCAGUAGGUUAAGACUGCUAGGUGUGUCAUGUUAAUAUAUUAAGGGAGAAAAAUGUUUAUAAACUACUCUUUAUCUUGAUUUUCUACAUGAAAUCGGAUUUUUUACCAUACCAGAACGGUGGUCUUCUGUCAAAGCUAAGGACUAGAGGGCCUUACUACCAACCUAUGUAGUAGCCUUGACUCGUUUUAGGACCAGUAUUCUAACCUCAAUAGCCUUGACUCGUUUUAGGACCAGUAUUCUAAUACUCAAUGGCCUUGACAGACCAAUAAUUUUUUUUUUAAAAUAUAUUUCUACUAACCUCCCCUUUACAUUGAUAUGUAUUUAUUGAUGGACUUUCUUUCGGGUCAUUAAUUGCUUGUUAUUCUUGUUGGAAAUUCUUUAUGCAGGCUGAAGAUGGUGUCGGUCUCCCUGAACAAAUUCUUGAUUCAUCAAACUUCCAAAAUUAUGCAAGAUUUUAUUUUAUAUUUAUUAAAUUCAAUCUCAUAUGGUCUCUUAGUUAUUUUGCUUUGAUAGUCCUGAAUUUCCUGGAGGUAAGCAGUGACAAGCUCCUUAUGAACUCUAGUUCCAGUUAUAUGUAUUUGAGGCUUUCAUACCAAAGAAAAUAUGAUGGAAAGAAGAUAUUUCAUUAUGUACUUUACUUGGAACAGAAACCUCUGUGGUGUAAAAAACUCGCCACACAUUCCUGCAACGAUAGAGAGUAUUUCUAUUUGGGUCAGUUGCCGUAUCUUACUGAUGCAGAAUGUCUUAUUUAUGAGGUAAGAGUUCAGUACUUCAGACACUGUUACUUUUAUUGGGCAAAUCAGCGAGCCUUUUAGUUGUUGUCACUUUGAAAAUGGUGAUUACCUUAGUUAAUAUUUGUCAUUUCCACGUUGAAGUUAAGUUAUUUAUUCAGCUACACUUCGAAACUAAAGUGAAACAACUAAUACUACCUGUCUAUGUGAUUCUAUUAUUUCCUUAAUGUCUCUUAGGAAUGUGUUACUGUUGAGCUAGAAAUUUAGAUUGAUAAAGCAAGUGCGGGCUCUAUCCCUUCACUGUAUACCUACAUCACUUUGUUGCUUUUUUGUUUUUAUUUUAUUUAUGCAUAUCUGCUGAGAGUCACCUUUUCCUUUGGUAGUGCUUACUUCCAUAGGAUUUUUAUUAGUGAGUUACGAAAAAGUUUUCACAUCUUUUAUCCAAUUUGGUUUAAUAUGUAUUUUUCCCUUCCUUUUAAAGUUUCUAAUCCUCCAAGAGUACAUGCUAUAUUUUCUUUCUAAUAAUUUUUCUUCUCUUAUUGAAAAAAUGGGAGUGUCUUAUACUGUAAGAUGGUAUGGAGAUAUUAGUUUAUUUGUGAAGCUGUUGAAGUGUCCUUGUAUUCAUUUCUCAACUAUCUGUACAUUUUUUUUUUCUUACACAGCCUUUUCUAUGUAAUACAGGCAAUAGCUCUUCUUGUGCUAAUCAUACAUACUUUCUUCCCAUUGUGGUACGAAGGAUCUCGUAUAUAUUGGAAAAGUACUUUUAAUCAAUUGAAGGUAUGUUGCUUCAAGAUCCUACUAAAGAAUAUAAUAUGGUAGAAGACAACAAAACUUUAUUAGCUAUAAUGUUGCUUUAGAGGACCAACUUUUGAACAAAGAAUUGAAAAUAAGAAUGAUUUUAUUAUUCUCAAUCAUGUAAAUUACAUUCUCAUUUCCUCUAUUUGUAACCAUCUAAUCUUCUAAAAUAGGGAAAUAGGGAAAUAGGGAAAAAAAAAUCUAGAAGAUUACACAUCUAUUUUCUCUAAUUAGGAAGAUCUAUAGAUAUGUUCUUUAAUUAAGAAGAUAUUUUCUCUAAUUACAACACUCCCCCUUAAGUUGGUAAAUGAAUAUCAAUCAUUCCCAACUUGCCUACAAGAUCUUGAAAUCCACCCGGAAGGAGCCCUUUUAUAAAAAUAUCUGUUAUUUGAAAUUCUGUAGGAACAUGAGUUGUAAUCACAAAGCCUCUAUCUAGAUUAUCUUUGAUGAAAUGUCUGUCAAUCUCAAUGUGUUUGGUCUUGUCAUGUUGUACUGGAUUAUGGACUAUGCUCAUGGAAGACUUAUUGUCACAAUGUAGUUACAUAGGGUUAUCCAUCUCGACUUUAAGAUCAUCCAAAAUGAUUUUCACAGUGUAGAACGAGAUACUUUAUCUUGUUUUUUGCUUCUCCAUGUUAUCAAACUAUCUCCAAGAAACAUACAAUACUCAGAUGUAGAUUUUAUGUCAGUAAUAGAACCUGCAUAGUCAGCAUCAGUAUAUAUUUUCAUAGUCAAUGUGUCUUUCCUUUUGAAUAUUAGCCCCUUCCUGGACUUGACUUCAAGUAUUGGAGAAUUUUGUCAACUUCUUGCAUGUGUUUCUCUCUUGGAUCAUGCAUAAAUUGACUCAUUACACUAACUGCAUAAGCAAUGUCUGGUCUUGUGUGUGAUAGAUAAAUCAAUUUUCCUACCAAUCUGUGAUAUUGGGCCUUCUCUACAGGAGCACUUUCCUCACUUCCAAUUCUGUGAUUCUGUUCUAUAGGAACUGUUGAGGUAGGAAUUUCUGUGACAUCAAUGGCAGCAAUAAAGCUUUUGUCCUUGUUAGAGAGAUUAUUAGUGCAAACAUACUGAGAAAUAGGAAAUUUAACAUAUGAUCUUCUUUCUUUUUUCAUUGUGAUGGGUAAAUCCUCAGUAAUAUUUACCUCCGCACUGAUAUCUUCAGGGAUCCUCACCUCUGGAUUAGACAAUUUUUCUCGCUCUAGGGUCAGAGUGGGUUGUUUUCUUCUUUCAUAUUUUUUGCCAAAAAAUUUGUCUUCUUCCUCACUGUGGACUAUGGUAGCUUCAUUGCUCAGAUCUUGGGCAUCUUGCAAAGAAAAACAUGGUAAUGACAAGAAGGAGAGUUCAUCCACUUCAAGUGCUUUCUCUCCCUGAAGUGGUGGACUGACAUUAAAGGGUUCUGUUUCAUGAAAGGUGACAUCCAUGGUGAUAAAGACACGAUGACUCUGAGGAUGAUAACAUUUGUACCUUUUUUUAUUAGAGGGAUACUCAAUAAAGACAAAUUUAAGAGCUCUGGGAUCUAAUUUACUACGAUUAGGAGGAUAAGAGUGAACAAAACAACACAUCUAAGGACUCAACUAGGUAGACUCGUCAUUAAAAGAGAAGAAAGAACAAAAGACAAUAGAGACUCUAUAGGAUUAAUGUCAUUUAAGAUACGAGUGAGUAACCUGUUGAUGAGAUAUCUUGCAGUUAACACAACUUCUCCGCAGUAAUGUUUUGGAACAUACAUUUGGAAAAGAAGAGCUCUAGUUACUUUAAGAAGAUGACGAUUCUUUCUUUCUGCAACCCAAUUUUGUUGAGGGGUUUUACAUAUGUUAUUUCAUGAACAAUACCAUUAUGAGACAAAAAAUUGAGAAAUUCAUGAUUAACAUAUUCAGUACCAUUAUCAGACCUGAUUCUUUUGGUAUUUUUUCCAAAUUGAUUUUGGACAGGAAGGGAAAAAUUAACAAAGAUUUUAGAAACUUCUGAUUUAUUUGUCAUAAGGUAUGUUCACGUGACAUGGGUACAAUCGUCAAUAAAGAUAACGAACCAUUUGGCUCUGGAAUUAGAUUCUAUGAUAGGACUCCAAACAUCAAAUUGAAUUAAAUCAAAUGGAGAAGUACUCGUUUUAUUACUAAUAGGAUAAGAUGCACGAUGGUGUUUUGACAACUGACAAAUAUCACAAUUUAAAGACUCAACAGACUCCUUGGUAAACAAAUGGGGAAAUAAGGACUUGAUAAGAUUAAAUGAAGGAUGCUCAAGCCUUUGAUGAUGUAACCAUAUUUGGGAAUUCGCCCACGUCUUCGAUGUAGCUUGUUGACUCAUGUUUUUUGUGUUUCUUUGGUCUUUAGACUCCAAAAGAUACAACCCACUCUGUUCCUUAGCAGUUAAAAUCGUCUUCCCCAUGGCAAGGUCAUGAAAAGCACGAUAAGUUGGGAAAAAUGUUACCAAACAAUUUAAAUCCUUUGUGAGUUUUUGCAUUGAGAAAAGACUAUUAGCUAAUUGAGCAACAUGUAAAACAUCCUCCAAUACAAUAGAUGAGUCCAAAAUUAUAAGGCCAAAUUAAUGGGUAAUAGGCACAACCAAAUACUUUAAGAAAAGUGUAAUUUGGAGAUUUGUGAAAAAAAAAUUUGUAAGAGGAAAUAUUUUUUAAAAUAGAUGUAGGUAACAUAAUAAUAUGAACAAAACUAAUGAAAGCUUCACCCCAAAUUUUUCUAGGUAAAGAAGUUCUUGUAACAAGAGACAAGCUAGUAUCAACAACAUGCCUAUGUUUUCUUUCAGUAGAACCAUUUUGUUGAUGUGUGUGUGGGCAGAUAAGCUUAUGUCUAUUACCGUGUUUAUUGAGAUAUGUGGCAAGACAUAAAAAUUCUUUAGCACUAUCAGUUAGAAUGGCCUUUAAUUUGUGAUUUUUUUUUUUUUUUAAUUUUCAGCAAAAGUUUUUAAAAGAACAAAAAUAAACCGAGACUUGAGAUUUUGAGUGAAGAAGAUAUAUCCAAGUAAAUUUAGAAUAAAAAUUAAGAAAGCUAUGUAAUACUUUGCAACAAUUGUACUAGACAUGGGAUCAUGAUAAGAGUUCACCCUGUUGAUUUUUUAUAGAACAAGUUGUUAUUAGUGUUUAAGUGGAUUAAGAAAACUCCAAGAAGAUCCCCGUUGGACAUUAAGAUAACUAGGUUAUCUAGUUGUGAAGGUUCACUUCAUAGGAGUUCAUAAGAAAGAAGAAAGUAUGAUUUCAAGUUAUUAAAUGGAAGAACAAAGUAAUGAACAAAGAACAACAUAAGAAAGUAAAUAUAAGCUAGAAAAUGAAGCAAGAAGAUGAAAAGAAGAGGAAUGGAAGAAAAAGGGGAGUGAAGCACGCCACUUGUGGGAUGGGCCAACCCAAGAUGAGUUGUGGUGCCACCACUUGGUGAGACAAGGGGAGCUUAAGAACACUAAAAGGAGCACUCUCUCAACUCUCACAAAUGAUUGAAACACAAUGACUUUUCUAAUUAAGUGAUCAACUCCCUUACAAGUGGCAGAGACAUGCUUUUAAAUAGGUAAAGGGAGGGUGGGAGAAGUGGGUUCAACUCUUCCUACUAAUAUUUGGGAGAUAUAAGGUUGGUUUUAAGGGUUUGGAAGGGAGGGUGGGAGAGGCUGUGGGUUUAACUCCUCCCACUAACAAAAACUAACAACUAACAUUUUCUGAUAAAAGAGAAAGGUAAAGAGAGGAACCUCUUAGCAAAUACAAAAAGGUAGGGUCUCCCUAACAUUUACACAAAGAAUCUUUCUAGAACUUAGGGCAGCGCAAUAAGUGAAAAUAGGUGGCACCAUGGGAGAAAAGUCAACCCAUCACUACCUUUUCAAAAAGUAAAUUUUGUCACUAUGUAGGGAUGAAUCCAAG
rnacentral:lncRNA from 1 species